GUCUGCUUGGGCGUGGGUGGCAGACGGCUGGUCGGCUGCCGCAGCCCCCAACUCGGGCGGGAGGGACCCUAAGGAAGGGUCCGCAGCCCCCGGGCUGGCUGGAGCAGGCGGCGGGGUGUUGGCAACCCCCGUGUCGGUGUUGGCAGUCUCCGGGACUAGCGGCGCAGGCGGCGGACCUGCUGGAUCAUGCGACGGGCCGGUCGGAGCAUGCGGCUGGCCGGCUGUAGUUCCAGCCGGCAGGCUGCCGGCAGCCCCUGAGUCGGCAUCGGUAGUCCCCAGGACCGGUGGCGCAGCCCCUGAUGGAGGGCUUGCGCAGGUGCUCGAGGGACACGCCGACUGGGAUGGGCUGCCUGGUGGAGCCGAUCUUUGCUAGCGUGUCGGCACCCUCAUUGCCGACUCGCAGGAUGUGGUGGAACUCACAACCCUCGAGGCCAUCGGUCAGGUAUUGGACCAGGAAGCGGUAGCUGGCCAUGUUCGAGUCUCUAGCGUCCUAUUCGCAAGUGACUUGCUCCACCACCAGGUUGGAGUCGCCAAAGCAGAGGAUGCGUCGGAAGCCGAUCUCCCUGGCCAGCAGGAGGCCGCGGGUGAGCGCUUCGUACUCCGCUAUGUUCGCGUCAUUAGCGUCCCAUUCACCAGUGACUUGCUCCACCACCAGGUUGGAGUCGCCGAAGCAGAGGAUGCAUCAGAAGCCGAUCUCCCUGGCCACUCGAAGUGGAUCUGCAUGGCGUACUGCAACCGGUCUCUCUUGGGGAGGAGAGAACGAUGCCGGCUUCGAGGCCGGUGCGCAUCUUCGAGCCAUUGAAGUGCAUGCGCCAAUGGGUGGAGUCGGGUGGUCGCAGCAGGUAUUCCGUUUGCGCCCAGUCGACGAGGAAGUCUGCCAAUGCUUGUGACUUGAUGGCAGUGCAGGACUCGUACCUGAUUUCAUGGUCGACCAGCUAGAGAGCACACUUGGCGAUGCGGCCGGCCGCGCCCCUGUUUCCCAUGAUCUCCCCAAGGGGAGCGGUGCUCACCACCGUGACCGGGUGCUCUUGGAAGUAGGGCUUGAGCUUCCGGGCCACCAGGAACACACCUAGCACAUAUUUUGGUAGUGCGGGUAGUUUUGCUUCGAGGCAGACAACACCUCGCUCAAGUAGUAGACCGCUCGCUGGACCGGAUGGGCUCGACCCGACUCCGAGCGCUCGACUGCCAUGAUGAUGCUGACGACGCGGCUGGUUGCUGCAAUGUAGAGCAGCAUCUGCUCUCUGUCCGUCGAUCCGGCCAGCACCAACGCUGUGGUCAGCACACGCUUGAGGCCGCGCACGGCCUUAUCUGCUUCGUCGCCGCAGACGAAGUCGUCUGCCUUCUUGAGCACGUGGUAUAGUGGGAGGGUGAUAUGUCUCCGUCGAAUCUAUAAUUUUUGAUUGUUUCAUGCCAAUAUUAUACAACUUUCACAUACUUUUGGCAACUUUUUAUAUGAUUUAUGCGACUAACCUAUUGAUCUAGUGCCAAGUGCCAGUUCGUGUUUUUUGCAUGUUUUUUUAUCACAGAAAAUCCAUAUCAAACGAAGUCCAAACGUGAUAAAAAUUUACGGAGAAUUAUUUUGGAAUUUAUGUGAUUUUUGGGAGGUGGAAUCAACCCAAACGGGCCCCACAGAGCUCACAACCCACGAGGGCGCACCCGAUGCCCUAGGCGUGCCUUGGUGUCUUGUGCCCUCCUCGAACGUUGGUUGGAGCCCUUCUUCUGGUGCAAGAAAUAUAAUUUAUGGAAAAAAAUCAUGUAAAUAUUUCAGCGCAAUCGGAGAUACGGAUCUCCAGGAAUUUUAGAAACCGUGAAGGGCCAGAUCUGAGAAGUGCGAAACAUAAGAGAACAGAGAGGGAGAUCCAAUCUCGGAGGGGAUCCUGCCCCUCCGCUGCCAUGGAGGCCAUGGACCAGAGAGGGAACACUCCUCCCAUCUAGGGGGAGGCCAAGGAAGGAUAAGAAGGAGGAGGGCUCUCUCCCCCCUCUCCCGGUGGCGCCGGAGUGCCGCCGGGGCUAGGAUCGUGAAGACGAUCUACAUCAACAACCUUGCUACCGUCAACACCAGCUUUCUCCCCCUCUAUGCAGCGGUGUAACACCCCUUCUCCCCGUUGUAAUAUCUACUUAAACAUGGUGCUCAACUCCAUAUAUUAUUUCCCAAUGAUAUUUGGCUAUCCUAUGAUGUUUGAGUAGAUCCGUUUUGUCCUAUGGAUUAAUCGUGAUCUUGAUUGGUAUGGUUGUAUAUUUUAUUUAUGGUGCUGUCCUACGUUGCCCUCUGUGUCGCACAAACGUGAGGGGACCCCGCUGUAGGGUGUUACAAUAUGUUCAUGGUUUGCUUAUUGUCGGUGUUGCGGGGGUGACAGAAGCCUAAACGUGGAUAAGUGGGUUAUGGCGUAUGGGAGUAAAGAGGACUUGAUACUUAAUGCUAUGGUUGGGUUUCACGACCUUAAUGAUCUUUAGUAGUUGCAGAUGCUUGCUAGAGUUCCAAUAAUUAGUGCAUAUGAUCCAAGCAGAGAAAGUAUGUUAGCUCAUGCCUCUCCCUCAUAUAAAAUUGCAAGAAUGAUUACAGGUACUUGUUAUCAAUUGCGUAGAGAUAAAUGACUUUCUUGUUGACAAAAGCUAUCCACUUUUCUUACCUUGCAAUUUAUUCGUAGUUUUAUUCUCGCAAAGUACUCAUAGUUUUAUUCUUGCAAAAUAGUUUCAGACUUGUUUUAGGUAAAGAAAAUGUCAAGCGUGAGUAGAGUUGUAUCAGCGGUCGAUAGAGCUUGAGGGAAUAUUUGUUCUCCAUUUAGAUCCUCAUUGGGUUCGACACUCUUAUUUAUCGAAGAAGNNNNNNNNNNNNNNNNNNNNNNNNNNNNNNNNNNNNNNNNNNNNNNNNNNNNNNNNNNNNNNNNNNNNNNNNNNNNNNNNNNNNNNNNNNNNNNNNNNNNNNNNNNNNNNNNNNNNNNNNNNNNNNNNNNNNNNNNNNNNNNNNNNNNNNNNNNNNNNNNNNNNNNNNNNNNNNNNNNNNNNNNNNNNNNNNNNNNNNNNNNNNNNNNNNNNNNNNNNNNNNNNNNNNNNNNNNNNNNNNNNNNNNNNNNNNNNNNNNNNNNNNNNNNNNNNNNNNNNNNNNNNNNNNNNNNNNNNNNNNNNNNNNNNNNNNNNNNNNNNNNAAGACCUUUUUCUGGCGCCAUUGUCGGCGAGCAAUAGCGUGGGGUGAAUAUUCUCGUGUGUGCUUGUUUGCUUUAUCACUAAGUAGUUUUUAUUUCCCGUUCUAAGUUGUUCCCUAUCUUUAGUUACGGAUAUGGAACACGAAACACCAAAAAAAUUAGUGGUACUUGCUACUCAUGGAGAUGGGGAACCUCCUAAAACCAUCGAUGCUCGUUAUGUGAAAAAUAUUAUUGUCACGCCCAAGAUGCGACCCUAUCCUCAAUUUGGCAUGGGGGCCUCGUCAGGGAUAGAAGCGCAUCUCGUUGUGUCGCAAGAAUGGAUAUUGUUACAAGUACAUGUACUGAAAAGAAGAUAUAUAUAUAUAUAUAUAGAAUUGGCUUACACCCGCCACAAGCUACAUCAGAGUCACUGCAGUACAAUACAUAAUCAUCAUGAAGAAGAACAGGGUCCGACUACAGACAAAAACAAACGAUAAAAGAAGAACGACGUCCAUCCUUGCUAUCCUAGGCUGCCGGCCUGGAACCCAUCCUAGAUCGAUGAUGUUGAAGAAGAAGAAGCAACUCCAAAUGAACAAUCAACGCGCUCGCGUCAAAUAAUCUUAAUUGUAGUAAUCUGUACUUCAAGUUACCUGCGCUCGCGUCACAGAUUACUUCAAGUUAUCUAGAACCAGUGUUAAACAAAGUUUCCACGUUGCCACAUAACCUCGGGCACGACUUUCCGAAAGAUUUAACCCUGCAGGGGUGCUCCAACUAGUCCAUCACAAAUUACCACAAGCCGCAUAGAAAUCCUCGAUCACGAAGCUCGCGAUCUCGUCGGAUUCCUUAGUGGAAAACCUCAACUCUGAGAUUACCCAAAGCAUCACCGGAAUCCCGAUGCACAAGAUAUCUCGUCAAAGGUAAAACUAAUCCAGCAAGGCCAUCCGACGUGUCGAUGACCCCGAUAGAAGCCGCGUAUCUCGUUCUCAGGACACGACGGAUAAGCGAAGCAUACGGUGGCUUGAUAGACAUCACCCGAGUUGCCACGGGUUGGCCCCGCACGGUGCUCUGUUUUGGACCAGCACCAUCAGCACUGACCCUCCCUGUAUUAUGUAGAAUUACUCCUCGGGUAGCGCUAACUCCUUAUGCAUUCAGAUUAACAGAAUUAUUAUGUUGGGCAAAUGUAGAACCAAUAUUGGGCCUUGCCAGACCAACUUUAAUCUAAAACGAAUUAUCAAGGGGGUCCCCAUAACAACCCUGAUCGUGUUAGGAGCGCUCAAUUAUGGAACAUAACACCGGUAGCCGAAAGUAAGUGGGCAAAGUUGGAACAAAACACCAGGCUAGAAAGGCAGAGCCUUCCACCUUUUACCAAGUAUAUAGGUCCAUUAAAUUAAAUAGCAUUUAAUAGGGUGAUAUAACAAGGACCCAUGUUAUCACAUGGAAGAAACUGCACCUGCAACUAGCAACGCUAACACAGGGUUAAGUAAGCGGUAACAUAGCCAAUCAGUGGUUUGCUAGGUUGAACAGGUUGAAGGUUUUCAUGGCAUUGUUGAGAGGCUGAUAUUUAACAUGUGGUAGGCAACGAGACAUAAUCGAUAGAAGCGAUAAAACUAGCAUGGCAAUGAUAGUAAUGGUAUCUGGAGAAAUGGUCAUCUUGCCUGAGAUCCCGCUUGGAAGAAGAACAACUCCAUGAAGUCGGCGAACCAACGUAGUCGAACGGGUCCUCACAUUCCGACACGCUUGCGGAACUCUAUCGAGACGGAGCAACCGGAAACAAGCAUCAACACAGAUAUUCACCACACGAUGCACAAUAUGAUGCACAACCUACUAUGAUGCAUGAUCAGUUCACUGAUGCAAGGCAUGGCAUGGCAAUUCGCCUCACGCAAACACUACACAUUAAGUAAAGCUCGAUAUGCAACGAGUUGCAUAUCGACGAAACUCCACGUUUAAUUAUUUAGUUCACUCCCGGUUAUUUACACGGCAAUAUUAAAUGUUGUUAACAUGGCAAGGGGUGAAGCGGUGAUUCUACAAGUCAUCCUAGUCGCUUAACACACGGGACUUGAAAGUCGCUACGUCUCAAGAAACAUGCAACACAAGAUAUCAUGCCAUGAAUGCGUCAUGCAUGCAAGUUCAUAACAACACGGGCAAGAAGAGAAAGAAGCAUGUGUCGCCACGGCGAGCGAAAGGGAACCAUGGCGGCAAAACGGAAACGAUGCCACGGCAAUGUUCCUAUCACGUUAACUCAAGAGAUCUCGGUGCCAAAGAAUAGGGAGCACGUGCGGGUCAUGCCAAAUAAAGAUGGGGUGAUCCCGGUUACCGGGUUCCCAUGUGUCGGGGGCACAACCAAAGAGGGACAACGUGCAACGGGCAACAUAUAUGACGCUAGCAUACGGUUACAUCUCAUACAUCACAUGCAUUCGGUUCACGACAACAUUCCAACGGAUACCUUCGAAGCGUGCAUAUCGGAGCGGUUCGGAUCGUUGCGGUGUGAACAUAGGUCGUCGUGGUCGUCGUGGAAGUAGUGGAAGUCGUGGUACUCGGGUCUCGUCGACGGUAGUCGUACACUUGGCGUCGGUACACGGGUCUUCGCAUCUAUAGACGUACACGCUUUGUAGAUGUUCGGGGUCGUCGAGGACGUCGUGGUACUCGGCGAACUUCUCGGAUCCACGUUGGCGGGGAUGGUGCAUGCGGCGACGGCAGGCGACACAACAACAACAUCGACGGCAGCAAGCUAGCAGGCAGCUAGCAACAAGCACAACAACGGGCAGCAGACAACAAGCAAGCACAACAACAUCUACAAGCAGCAACCGACAGCACAAGCAAUAACAGCUAGCAGGAGCCGGCAGGCAGGCAAGCUACAACAACAACAACAACCUAGCAGCAGCUACUACAACACCAAGCGGCAGCAACGGCAUCGACAAGCAACAACAACAUCAGCUACCUGCAGGCGGCGGCAAGCUACAAGCAGCAGCUUCAGGCAACGCUACAGGUAACAGCAGCAAGCUGCAUAGCGGCGAGCAGGCCACAGCAACAGCAACAGCAGGCCACAACAUCAACAAGCAACCACAUCGCGGCAACAGCAAGCAGGCACGACAGCAGGCAAGCGGCAGCAUCAGUAGCAGCUUCGGUGAGCAUCCGGCGGCAGCCAGCAGCGGCAACAACGAGGACAGAGGAGGUCGGGGCCCUAGAGGGCUUGGCACGGGGUUGGUGAGCACGGCGGGGUGGCGCGGGGAGGCGACCACGGCGGGGCGGCGCCGGCGGAGGGCCUCGGGCCGGCCGGGAGCGAGACGGGCAGCGAGCUCCGGCCGGUCCUGGCACGGGCACAGGGCGCUUGGGGCGGCGGCAGAGGGCGCAGGUGGUGGGGCUGGCGAGCAGCGAGGCCAAGCCGACGCGUGCUCUGGACGAGGCCGCGGGAGGCGACCACGGCGGGGCGCGCGGGAUCGAGGGAAGGGCUGAGCGCGGGCUCUCUAUUUUUGGGCAGGAGGCGGCGCUAUCGGGACGAGGGGAGAGGAUCGGGGCGAGGGGCUGUGUACGCUAGGGCUAGGUCUAGGUUGACUAUAUAUAGUAAUUGGGUUAGACUAAAUGGCGUCUGGACCCUCCGAUUAAACUGGACGAUCGGAAAUAGCUGGGUUAGGGAGUCCAAUGGACAAACCGAUGACGGUUUGCGGUAAAACGGGGUUGAUUCAGACCCAACGGUCACGAGCACCCGGUUUGGGUUUUGGGAGGUUUUUCGGACUAGGCUGCACGCAGGACGGUGCACUGUGCAGAGGGGCUAGGCAUAGAAGAGGGGUAAAACGACACCCGACAAUGAAAUUUUAAAACAUCAAAAAACGUCCGACGGUAGACCGAAUACAGUGUCGCUACGGUCGACCGUUCGGGUACCAGACGGACUCCGAUGGCGACGAAAUUUGACAGGCGGCCUAGCUAUAUAAAAAUAAGACCGCAUGUCAAAUCUCAACCCAAUCAGAGAAAGUUUUACGCAUACUUUUAAAAACAUGGAUUUGACGAUGCCGUGGGUGCGUGCGUGUGUGGUCGGGCUCAGAACAGACAACGACGUGAACUGGCAACUAACAACGUAUGCAAGUUUUGAAAACUAGCGGCAACGGAGUGCCGAUGCAAUGCUGAUGAUGCGCAUGACGCGAUGAAGAUGCGACAAAAGAAAAUAGACACAGGACAGAAACGGAAUAGAAGGGGAAUCUUCUGGAACGUCGGCAUCGGGCUGUCACAACUCUCCUACACUACAAGAGGAUCUCGCCCCGAGAUCCAAGAAUGAAAGGGGGAGAGGAUGAGAAAGCAAGAGGUAAAACUUAAUCGCUUCUUUGACAAACGAGUGAAACCAACGAUCCUUGAAGGUUGCAAAGAGAUGAAGAAUGAUAUGAGAAACAAGCAAGAAUUCACGGAAAAUUUCGGCAGCACUUCGUUUGGAAAAUGGGACAAAAAAUUCGACAAGGUGGGAGAAUUAGACAGUAUUCAUAACAAACAACUAAAUAGAACAAGGGAACACCAUGAUCUUGAUAGAACAACAUAAUAGACCCAAAAGAGCAACAUCACCAUGCCUCCGGAACAAUAGAAUAGGGACUAGCUCAUACGGAGGAAGAGAAUUAAGAAAAGAAUGACAACUACUAUCUCAAACGAACUUGGCAAGCAUCCUUGCGAGAAGAAUUGAACGGAGUUGUUAGAAAAACAACAACGAAAAGAACAAGAUAGUAGUGGGCUUAUGGAAACCUUUCCAAACUAAUGAAGUGACAACCAGCCACUAACAGAAACUAGGAUUGUUUGGGAGAAACAAGAUAUGAACAAUUUCUUACACCAAGAGGAUACAUUGAGAACUUGGAUUAAUGACAAGCACCAUAAUAGCAACAAUCCAUAGGAAAAGCUUUAGGUGAAAUCCAACCAAGAUAGCCGAAUGAAGAAAUCAUGGGUUGAAAAUAUCUCAUGAUCAUAUAAUUGGUGGGUUUAAUUAUUUCAUUCUUGAAAGGAAAUCUCUUCGAGGCUCCUACACUAACAAGAAUGCUAUAAUACCACCUCAAAGGAUAAAGGAAGAAACAAAUGCACUUGGAAAUGCAAGAGAAGAAAACUUGAGGUUCUCCAAUACGAAUCUUGAAGAACACUUUGAGAAUGAAUUGACAUCAUGAGCCGCUCCGGAAGAAGAAUUCAGAUUACUAUGAACAAGAAUAAGAAUUAUGUUAUGCUUAUCCUUCAUCAAGUUUAAUUGAUGACAAGCAACGGAUUUAGCGUAGCACUUAUUCUUCUAGAAAUGAAUCUUGAAGUGGUAGAGAGAUAAGCACCACUUGAGGCAUAAUUGAAGGAAGCACCGGUAAGAAUUCACAAUUGAAUGGGAACACCACGAAUUAAUGGAGAUACAUGAGAAUGAAGAGAUCAUGAGCCACCUGAGAGAAAACUAGAACAAGGCACCGGAUAAUCGAGAAACGAACAAAGAGAUAACAAUGGAGAAGAAUUUGAGAAUGAAAGCUGAAAGCUGAGAACGAAGAAGUCUUCUGAAGUGCUGGCCUUCGGAGGAUCAAGAAUGAAAACUCAAAAAUGCACCAGAUAGCAAGAAAGGGAUUACUUAUGAACGAAAACAACUGAGAAGACAACACGAAGCUGAAAUGAUAUCUUCAAGAGAAUGGACCAAGAUUGAGAGAAACACUCCUUCGAAUUGCAAGCUGAGAAUGAUGACGAGAACAACACCAAGAAUUACUGAGACACUCCGGAAUAGUGAAGAAUGAAAGGUUGAGCCAAAUAAGAGAAUUAAUUCAAAUUGAUCCUGAAGAAGGAAUAUGACUGAUGAAAUCCAUACUUACGUCAUAGCUGAAAAGAAUUAAUGUUCUCCGGGAAAAAGAUUAAAAGAGCUAGGAAAGAUCCUGGGAAAUAACCUGUGGGUUAUGGGCCCACUCGAAGAAACCACCGUUGAAACAAUUACUAACAAAGAAAGAUACUGCACCGGUAGAAAUGAAAACUUGAUGAGGUUGAGCACCUCAAAAUAAUGAAAGAUCUGAAAACAAGAAACUUCUGGGAUAACUUCAACGCUCCGGAUAGAAUAGAGAUAACUGAAUAAACAAGAUAUGUUGAUAAGAAUCUCCAACAGGGGAAAGAACUACAAGGAAGAAUAGUAUUUGAUGAACACGAAUAACUGAAUUGAAUUCACCGGUAAAGAUAACACGAUUGAAUAAAGAUGAACACGAAGCUCCUGAGAAUCUUCACAACGAAUCACCGGUUGCGAAAGGAAGAAGAGAUAGCGGAAGCCUCACUCAAAAUAAAGGCACUUGGAUGAGAAUUGAAUCACUGAAGAAAAGGGCGGGAGGGCGGGGAAAAACAANNNNNNNNNNNNNNNNNNNNNNNNNNNNNNNNNNNNNNNNNNNNNNNNNNNNNNNNNNNNNNNNNNNNNNNNNNNNNNNNNNNNNNNNNNNNNNNNNNNNNNNNNNNNNNNNNNNNNNNNNNNNNNNNNNNNNNNNNNNNNNNNNNNNNNNNNNNNNNNNNNNNNNNNNNNNNNNNNNNNNNNNNNNNNNNNNNNNNNNNNNNNNNNNNNNNNNNNNNNNNNNNNNNNNNNNNNNNNNNNNNNNNNNNNNNNNNNNNNNNNGGAGGGCGGGGAAAAACAAAGACAACUAGGGACAUAUGAGACAAACUCCGGUAAGAAUUGAGAGAAUGAUAUGCAAUAUUGGAGAGGAUUGAAUUCACUUGAAGAGAAGCACACCGGUUGAAAAGAAUUUACAAGACAAUUCCGGUUGACAAGAAUUGAAAAGACACUGAGCAAAAGAAUUAAUUAGCAUUCCCAUAGAAAUAUGAGAACCGCUCUUGGAAAGAUAUGAAAUCACCAUCUGACAUCGAAGCAACUCGAAUUACCAUAUUCCAACAAAACAAAGGAUGAGGCUUACGAAACAAGCUAGAACAAACUCAUGAGAGAGAUUUCCGUUCGAUAUUUUCGUGGACAGGAUCGCACGGGCUCGAACCUUACAGUAGACCGAAUACAGUGUCNNNNNNNNNNNNNNNNNNNNNNNNNNNNNNNNNNNNNNNNNNNNNNNNNNNNNNNNNNNNNNNNNNNNNNNNNNNNNNNNNNNNNNNNNNNNNNNNNNNNNNNNNNNNNNNNNNNNNNNNNNNNNNNNNNNNNNNNNNNNNNNNNNNNNNNNNNNNNNNNNNNNNNNNNNNNNNNNNNNNNNNNNNNNNNNNNNNNNNNNNNNNNNNNNNNNNNNNNNNNNNNNNNNNNNNNNNNNNNNNNNNNNNNNNNNNNNNNNNNNNNNNNNNNNNNNNNNNNNNNNNNNNNNNNNNNNNNNNNNNNNNNNNNNNNNNNNNNNNNNNNNNNNNNNNNNNNNNNNNNNNNNNNNNNNNNNNNNNNNNNNNNNNNNNNNNNNNNNNNNNNNNNNNNNNNNNNNNNNNNNNNNNNNNNGCGGCAACGGAGUGCCGAUGCAAUGCUGAUGAUGCGCAUGACGCGGUGAAGAUGCGACAAAAGAAAAUAGACACACGACGAAAACGGAAUAGAAGGGGAAUCUUCUGGAACGUCGGCAUCGGGUUGUCACAAUUAUGCACUACUUUGAUAAUCCUGAGAAAACCCCAUUCAACAUGAUAAUGGGAAAUCUCGUUGUAUCAACGUGAAUACUUUAGGGAUUAUCGCUUGACACAAAAAGGGAAACUGUUAUGGGAUCAAAUUGAUAUGUUGCAUUGGUAUGCUUGGAAUUUAUGCCAGAGACAUGAUUUUACUUAUUGCUCUUGGAUUAAUGAUCCACACCUUCCCUUUUAAUGGAAAUUUAAUGAUAAUGAAUCCUUGGCUUCUUAUGCUAAUGGUAUAUAUGAUUACUAUGAUGUGGAACGAAUAGAAGAAUUUGUUGCUUUUAGGGGUGCUUAUGAAAUUGAAUCUUUGUUUGAAAAGUUUGAAGAUAUUGAUGAUUCAGUUAUAGACCUGAAAAUUUUGUUAUCCUUAAAUAUUGCUAUGAUAAUUAUAGAUAAAGUUAAGAUAUUGAUGCAUUUAUUGAGAAAGUCUCCACUGUGCAAGAAUAGACUAAUAUUUUGCAGGAGUCUAUGGAAGAAGGAAUUGAUGAAACUGUGAGCUCAUUGGAUGAAAAAGAUGACGAGGAGAGCGAAGAACAAAAGGAGGAAGAGCGGAUUGAUCACCCGUGCCCACCUUUAAUGAGAGUAACUCUUCAACUCAUACAUUGUUUAACGUCCCUUCGUUCUUACCGAAGGAUGAAUGCUAUGAUAAUUGCUACGAUCCCGUUGACUCGUUUGAAAUAUCCCUUUUUGAUGAUGCUUGCUAUGCUUGUGGCCAAGAUGCCAAUAUGAAUUAUGCUAUUGGAGAUGAACUUGCUAUUGUUCCUUAUAUUAAGAAUGAAAUUUUUGCUAUUGCACCCACACAUGAUAGUCCUAUUAUCUUUUUGAAUUCUCCAAACUACACUAUAUCGGAGAAGUUUGCACUUGUUAAGGAUUAUAUUGAUGGGUUGCCUUUUACCACUACACAUGAUGAUUUUUAUGAAUAUAAUAUGCAUGUGCUUGCUGCUCCUACUUGCAAUUAUUAUGAGAGAAGAACUACAUCUCCGCCUCUCUAUGUUUCCAACACGAUAAAGUUGCUGUUUAUGCUAUGUAUUGGCCUUUACUUGAUGUGCAUGAAUUGUUCUUGUAUGACAUGCCGAUGCAUAAGAAGAGAGUUAGACUUCUUCAUUGCUUGAUAUAUGUUGCUUUGUGCUCACUACUAAACGCCAAAUCGCUGCUAAUUAAAAUUGGCUUUGAUAUACCUUGGGAUUCGGGUGGAUCCAUUACUUGAGCACUUUAUGUCUAUCUUAAUGGCUUUAAGGAAACCGCUGCGAGGGAGACAACUCGAAAGUUUUAUAGAGUCAUUUCAUUUUGUUGAGUGCUUUUAUGAAGUUUAAAAACAAAAAAAAAAUAUAGAGGGCAAUUUAAAACUUCACAAAAAUUGAAUCGAUUGAAAGGUGAUGCAUUGGUGAAGUGAGGAUCGACCUUGAACACUUGUCUUCAUGCUCAUGGAAACAAUGUAGAAUGUUUCAUGAAUAUUCUCACAAAAAUAAUUAUCCCAUUGUAUUAUAAAAAUAAUGUGCCAAGAUUUUCCUUUAGGAUGGGUAGAUUGCUUGUUGGUAUGCGCGGUGUAGAAACAUAAACUUUGGCUGUAGCGCGUGAAUUUUCAUUUUUUACUAGAAUGUAAAAAGGUUCUGAAACUUUUUGCAUAGUCUUUCUAUAAAUUUUUUUAUUUCUUCCUAAUUGUUCAGAAUUGUUGGAGUACCAAAGUAUGGUAGACGCAAAGAUUGCUACAGACUGUCCUGUUUAAGACAGAUUCUGUUUUUGAUGCAUUGUUUUGCUUGUUUUGAUGAAACUAUCGAUUUUUAUCGGUGGUAUGAGCCAUUGAAAAGUUAUAUUAUAGUAGCUACAAUGCAAAAAAAAAAUAUGAAUUGGUUUGCAACAGUACUUAGUGUUGGGUAACGUAGCAUAAAUUCAAAAAUUUCCUACGCCAUAUUCAGAUCUUCCUAUGGAGAGACCAGCAACGAGAGAGGGGUGAGUGCAUCUUCAUACCUUUGAAGAUCGCUAAGCGGAAGCGUUGCUAGAACGCGGUUGAUGGAGUCGUACUCGCGGAGAUUCAGAUCGCGGUGUGAUUCCGAUCUAGUGCCGAACCACGGCACCUCCACGUUCAACACACGUGCAACCCGGUGACGUGUCCCGCACCUUGAUCCAGCAAGGAGGAGGGAGAGGUUGGGGAAGAUCUCCGGCAGCACGAUGGCGUGAUGUCGAUGGAGAGAGGAGGUCUCCCGGUAGGGCUUCGCCAAGCACCGUGGGAGAGGAGGAAGAAGAAAAGCAGGGCUGCGUCGAGAGAGAGAGAUGUCAAACCGUAUCUCCAAAGGCCAAAUGCCCCACUAUAUAUAGGGGGAAGGGAGGGGUGGCUCCCCUUUAGGGUUUCCCCUUUGAGGGGGGGGGGGCAGCCCUAGANCCUAGGUGGGCCUUAGGCCGACGAGCACCUAGGGUUUCCCCUCCCUCCCUCUCUGGUGCGCUUUGGCUGAGUGUGGGGGGCGCACCAGCCCACAUAGGGGCUGGUUCCCUCCCGUACUUGGCACAUGUAGCCUUCCGGGGCUUGUGGGCCCUCCCGGUGGGCCUCCGGAACCCUUCCGGUGGUCCCGACACUUUGCCGGUGGUGCCCGAAACAUUUCCGGCGACAAAACCCAUCCAUCUUAUAUAUCAAUCUUUACCUCCGGACCAUUCCGGAGCUCCUCGUGAUGUCCGGGAUCUCAUCCGGGAGUUCGAACAACUUUCAGUAACCUCGUUUAACAAUUCCCUAUAACCAUAGCGUCAUCAAACCUUAAGUGUGUAGACCCUACGGGUUCGGGAAUCAUGCAGACAUGACCGAGACACUCUCCAGCCAAUAACCAUCAGCGGGAUCUGGAUACCCAUGGUGUCUCCCACAUGUUCCACGAUGAUCUCACCGAAUGAACCACGAUGUCAAGGAUUCGAUCAAUCCCUUAUACAAUUCCCUUUGCCUGUCGGUAUAGUACUUGCCCGAGAUUCCAUCGUCGGUAUACCUAUACCUUGUUCAAUCUCGUUACCGGUAAGUAUCUUUACUCGUUCCGUAGCAUAUCAUCUCGUAACUAACUCCUUAGUCACACUGAGCUCAUCAUGAUGAUGUUCUACCGAGUGGGCCCAGAGAUACCUCUCCGUCACACGGAGUGACAAAUCCCGAUCUCGAUUCGUACCAACCCAACAGACACUUUCGGAGAUACCCGUAGUGCACCUUUAUAGUCACCCAGUUACGUUGUGACGUUUGAUACACCCAAAGCACCCCUACAGUAUCCGGGAGUUGCACAAUCUCAUGGUCGAAGGAAAAGACACUUGACAUUAGAAAAGCUUUAGCAUACGAACAAUACGAUCUAGUGCUAUGCUUAGGAAUGGGUCUUGUGCAUCACAUCAUUCUCCCAAUGAUGUGAUCCCGUUAUCAAUGACAUCCAAUGUCCAUGAUCAGGAAACCAUGAUCAUCUAUUGAUCAACGAGCUAGCCAACUAGAGGCUUGCUAGGGACACAUUGUGAUCUAUUUAUUCACACAUGUAUUACUGUUUCCUGUUAAUACAAUUAUAGCAUGAACAAUAGACGAUUAUCAUGAACAAGGAAAUAUGAUAAUAACCAUUUUAUUAUUGCCUCUAGGGCAUAUUUCCAACAGUCUCCCACUAGUUACAUUGUGAUGUAUUGAACACCCAUAGCAUUGUGGUGUUGACCAUGUUUUUCUCGAGGAAGAGGUUUAGUCAACGGGUCUGCAAUAUUCAAAUCCGUGUGCACUUUACAAAUAUCUAUUACUCCGCUCUGGACAUGGUCUUAGAUGGAGUUGUAGCGGCGUUUGAUGUGCUUGGUCUUCCAGUGAAACCUGGGCUCCUUGGCUAUGGCAAUGGCCCCAAUGUUAUCACAGAAGAGUUUCAUUGGACCCGACGCGCUUGGGACCACUCCAAGGUCGGUGAUGAGCUCCUUCAUCCAAAUCCCUUCAUGAGUCGCUUCUGAAGCAUCUAUGUACUCCGCUUCACAUGUAGAUGCUGCCACGACUUCUUGCUUGCUGCUGCACCAGCUCACUGCCCCGCCAUUCAAAACAUACACGUAUCCGGUCUGUGACGUAGAGUCAUCCGGAUCUGUGUCGAAGCUAGCAUCGACGUAACCAUUUACGAUGAGCUCUUCAUCACCUCCAUAAACAAGAAACAUCUCCUUAGUCCUCUUCAGGUACUUAAGGAUAUUUUUGACCGCUGUCCAGUGUUCCAUACCGGGAUCACUUUGGUACCUCCCUACCAAACUUAUGGCAAGGUUUAUAUCAGGUCUGGUACACAGCAUGGCAUGCAUUAGAGAGCCUACGGCUGAAGCGUAGGGGACAAUACUCAUCUUCCCUCUAUCUGCUGCCGUGGUCGGUGACUGAGUCUUACUCAAUCUCAUACCUUGCAAAACUGGCAAGAACCCCUUCUUUGAGUUUUCCAUAUUGAACUUCUUCAAUAUCUUUUCAAGGUAUGUACUUUGCGAAAGUCCUAUGAGGCGUCUCGAUCUAUCUCUAUAGAUCUUGAUGCCUAAUAUGUAUGCAGCUUCUCCAAGGUCAUUCUUUGAAAAACUCUUGUUCAAUUAGGACUUUAUGCUCUCCAACAACUCUAUAUUAUUCCCCAUCAAUAAUAUGUCAUCCACAUAUAGUAUGUGGAAAGCUACAGAGCUCCCACUCACUUUCUUGUAGAGACAGGCUUCUCCAUAAACCUGUAUGAACCCAAACGCUUUAAUCACCUCAUUAAAGCGAAUGUUCCAACUCCGAGAUGCUUGCACCAGCCCAUAGAUGGAGAGCUGGAGGUUGCAUACCUUGUUAGCACUCUUAGGGUCGACAAAACCUUCUGGUUGCAUCAUAUACAACUCUUCCUUAAGAUACCCGUUAAGGAAUGCUGUUUUGACGCCCAUUUGUUAAAUUUUAUAAUCAUGAAAAGCGACAAUUGCUAACAUGAUUCGGACUGACUUCAGCUUCGCUACGGGAGAGAAAGUCUGAUCAUAGUCAACUCCUUGAAUUUGUCGAAAACCCUUUGCGACAAGUCGAGCUUUGUAAACGGUAAUAUUACCGGUUGCAUCAGUCUUCUUCUUGAAAAUCCAUUUAUUUUCUAUGGCUUGCCGAUCAUCGGGCAAGUCCACCAAAGCCCAUACUUUGUUCUCAUACAUGGAUCCUAUCUCGGAUUUCAUAGCCUCAAGCCAUUUGUUGGAAUCCGGGCCCGCCAUUGCUUCUUCAUAGUUCGAAGGUUCACCAUUGUAUAACAACAUGAUUUCCAUGACACGGUUGCCGUACCACUCUCGUGCGGAUCGUACCCUUGUGGACCUUCGUGGUUCAGUAGUAACUUGAUCCGAAGCUUCAUGAUCAUCAUCAUUAACUUCCUCUUCAGUUGGCGUAGGCGCCACAAGAACAAUUUCCCGCGCUGCUGUACUCUCCGGUUCGAGAGGGGGUGUAAUUACCUCAUCAAGUUCUACUUUCCUCCCACUUACUUCUUUCGAGAGAAACUCUUUCUCUAGAAAGGAUCCGUUCUUGGCAACAAAGGUUUUACCUUCGGAUCUAAGAUAGAAGGUAUACCCAAUAGUUUCGUUAGGGCACCUAUGAAUACGCAUUUCUCCGCUUUGGGUUCGAGCUUUUCUGGUUGAAGUUUCUUCACAUAAGCAUCGCAGCCCCAAACUUUAAGAAACGACAGCUUAGGUUUCUUGCCAAACCAUACUUCAUACGGUGUCGUCUCAACGGAUUUAGACGGUGCCCUAUUUAAAGUGAAUGUUACAGUUUCUAAUGCGUAUCCCCAAAAUGAUAGCGCUAAGUCGGUAAGAGACAUCAUAGAUCGUACCAUAUCUAAUAAAGUGCGAUUACGACGUUCACACACUCCGUUACGUUGCGGUGUGUCAGAAGGCGUUAGUUGUGAAACAAUUCCACACUUCCUUAGGUGUGUGCCAAACUCGUGACUCAAAUAUUCUCCUCCACGAUCAGAUCGUAGGCACUUAAUUUUUCUGUCACGUUGAUUCUCAACCUCACUCUGAAAUUCCUUGAACUUUUCAAACGUCUCAGGUUUGUGCUUCAUCAUGUAGAUAUACCCAUACCUACUCAAAUCAUCGGUGAGAGUGAGAACAUAACGGUAGCCACCGCGAGCUUCAACGUUUAUUGGACCACACACAUUAGUAUGUAGUAUUUCCAAUAAGUCGGUCGCUCUCUCUAUUAUUCCUGAUAAUGAAGUCUUAGUCAUCUUGCCCAUGAGGCAUGGUUCGCAUGUGUCAAAUGAUUCAAAGUCAAGAGACUCUAAUAGUCCAUCAGUAUGGAGCUUCUUCAUGCGCUUAACACCGAUAUGACCAAGGCGGCAGUGCCAUAAGUAUGUGGGACUAUAAUUAUCAACUUUACAUCUUUUGGUACUCACACUAUGAAUAUGUGUAGCAUCACGAUCGAGAUUCAUCAAGAAUAAACCAUUCACCAGCAGAGCAUGACCAUAAAACAUAUCACUCAUAUAAAUAGAACAACCAUUAUUCUCUGACUUAAAUGAGUAGCCGUCUCGCAUUAAGCAGGACCCUAAUACAAUAUUCGUGCUCAAAGCUGGUACUAAAUAACAAUUAUUAAGGUUUAAAACUAACCCCGACGGUAGAUGUAGAUGCAGCGUGCCGACGGCGAUCACAUCGACCUUGGAGCCAUUCCCGACGCGCAUUGUCACCUCGUCCUUGGCCAGUCUCCGCUUAUUAUGUAGUUCCUGCUUUGAGUUGCAAAUGUGAGCAACAACACCGGUAUCAAAUACCCAGGAGCUACUACGAGCGCUGGUAAGGUACACAUCAAUAACAUGUAUAUCAUAUAUACCUUUAACGUUGCCGGCCUUCUCGUCCGCUAAGUACUUGGGGCAGUUCCGCUUCCAGUGACCUUUUCCCUUGCAAUAGAAGCACUCAGUCUCAGGCUUGGGUCCAUUCUUUUUCUUAUUCCCAGUAUCUGGCUUACCGGGCGCAGCAACGGCUUUGCCGUCUUUCUUGAAGUUCUUCUUACCCUUGCCCUUCUUAAAACUGGUGGUCUUAUUGACCAUCAACACUCGAUGCUCUUUCUUGAUUUCUACUUCUGCCGAUUUCAGCAUCGAGUACAACUCGGGAAUGGUAUUUUCCAUCCCUUGCAUGUUGUAGUUCAACACAAAACCCUUGUAGCUUGGUGGGAGAGACUGGAGGAUUCUGUCAAUUACAGCGUCAUCCGGAAGUUCGACUCCAAGCGAAGUGAGACGACCGUGUAACCUAGACAUUCUGAGUAUAUACUCACUAACAGAACUGUUCUCCUCCAUCUUACACCUAAAGAACUUGUCGCAGACUUCAUAUCUCUUGACACGGGCAUGAGCUUGAAAAACUAGUUUCAGCUCCUGGAACAUCUCAUAUGCUCCGUAUUGCUCAAAACGCCUUUGGAGCCCCGUUUCCAAACUGUAUAACAUGCCACACCUAACCAGAGAGUAGUCAUCACUCCGCGUCUGCCAGACGUUCUGAAUGUCCUGGGCCGCUGCGGGAGCAGGAGGGUCACCUAGCGGUGCAUUAAGGACAUAAGCCUUUUUAGAUGCUUCGAGGAUGAGCUUCAAGUUGCGGACCCAAUGCGCAUAGUUGCUACCAUCAUCUUUCAGCUUGUUUUUCUCUAGGAAUGCGUUGAAAUUGAGGUUGACACGUGCGUUGGCCAUUGGAUCUGUAAUAUUUGUAAAGACAACUUUUAGACUAAGUUCAUGACAGUUAAGUUCAUUUAAUCAAAUUAACUAUGAACUCCCACUUAAAUCGACAUCCCUCUAGUCAUUUAAGUGAUACAUGAUCAAUAUUGACUAACCCGUGUCCGAUCAUCACGUGAGACGGACUAGUCAUCAUGGUGAGCAACUUCAUGCUGAUCGUAUUCAACCAUACGACUCAUGUUCGACCUUUCGGUCUCUUGUAUUCGAGGUCAUGUCUGUAGAUGCUAAGCUCGUCGAGUCAACCUAAGUGUUUCGUGUGUGUAAAUCUGGCUUACACCCGUUGUAUGCGAACUUUAGAAUCUAUCACACCCGAUCAUCAUGUGGUGCUUCGAGACAACGAUCCUUCGCAACGGUGCACACUUAGGGGAAUACGUUCUCGAAGUUUUAUGAGGGAUCAUAUUAUUAUGCUACCGUCGUUCUAAGCAAUAAGAUGAAAAACAUGAUAAACAUCACAUGCAGUCAUAUAGUGACAUGAUAUGGCCAUUAUCAUCUUUUCUCCUUCGAUCUCCAUCUUCAGGCAUCGCAUGAUCAUCAUUGUCACCGGCGUGCCACCAUGAUCUUCAUCAUCAUGAUCUCCAUCAUCGUGUCUCCGUGAAGUCGUCACACCAACUACUACUACCACUACUACUAUAGCUAACAGUUAGCAAUGAAGUAAAAGUAGUAAACACAUGGCGUUGCAUCUCAUACAAUAAAUUAAGACAACUUCUAUGGCUCCUGCCGGUUGUCAUACUCAUCGACAUGCAAGUCGUGAAUCCUAUUACAAUAACAUGAUCAUCUCAUACAUCACACAUGUAACAUCACAACUUUGGCCAUAUCACAUCACAUGUCAAACCCUGCAAAAAUAAGCUAGACGCCCUCUAAUUGUUGUUGCAAGUUUUACGUGGCUGAUUUGGGUUUCUAGCACGAACGCCUUCUUACCAACGUGACGGCCACAACGAUGAUAUGCCAAAGCUAUUUACCCUUCAUAAGGACCCUUUUCAUCAAAUCCAAUCCGACUAGAGUGGGAGAGACAGACACCCGCUAGCCACCUUUAUGCACGGUGUGCAUGUUGGCCGGUAGAACCUGUCUCACAUAAGCGUACGUGUAAGGUCGGUAUGGGCCGCUUCAUCCCACAAUACCGCCGGAAAAUAUACAGAUUAGUAGCGUCAAGAAAUUGACAAAUCAGCGCCCACAACCUUUUGUGUUCUACUCGUGCAUAGAAUCCACGCAUACAAAACCUGGGUCUGAUACCACUGUUGGGUAAUGUAGCAUAAAUUCAAAAUUUUCCUACGCCAUAUUAUGAUCUUCCAAUGGAGAGACCAGCAACAAGAGAGGGAUGUGUGCAUCUUCAUACCUUUGAAGAUUGCUAAGCGGAAGCGUUGCUAGAACGCGGUUGAUGGAGUCGUACUCACGGCGAUUCAGAUCGCGGUGUGAUUCCGAUCUAGUGCCGAACCAUGGCACCUCCGCGUUCAACACACGUGCAGCCCGGUGACGCCUCCCGCACCUUGAUCCAGCAAGGAGGAGGGAGAGGUUGGGGAAGAUCUUCGGCAGCACGACGGCGUGGUGUCGAUGGAGAGACGAGGUCUCCCGACAGGGCUUCGCCAAGCACUGUGGGAGAGGAGGAAGAAGAAGAGCAGGGUUGCGUCGAGAGAGAGAUGUCAAGCCGUAUCUCCAAAGGCCAAAACCCCCACUAUAUAUAGGGGGCAGGGAGGGGUGGCGCCCCCUUUAGGGUUUCCCCUUUGAGGGGGGGGGCAGCCCUAGAUGGGAGAGGGGGGGGGGUGGCCAGGGAGGAGAGGGGGGUGGCGCACCCCUAGGUGGGCCUUAGGCCCAGCACCAGCGCCUGAGCUGAGUGUGGGGGGCGCACCAGCCCACCUAGGAGCUGGUUCCCUCCCGCAUUUGGCCCAUGUAGCCUUCCGGGGCUUGUGGCCCCUCCCGGUGGGCCUCCGGAACCCUUCCGGUGGGCCCGUCACUUUGCGGGUGGUGCCCGAAACAUUUCCGGCGUCCAAACCCAUCCAGCCUAUAUAUCAAUCUUUACCUUCGGACCAUUCUGGAGCUCCUCGUGAUGUCCGGGAUCUCAUCCAGAACUCCGAACAACCUUCGGUAACCUCAUAUAACAAUUCCCUAUAACCCUAGCGUCAUCGAACCUUAAGUGUGUAGACCCUACGGGUUCGGGAAUCAUGCAGACAUGACCUAGACACUCUACGGCCAAUAACCAUCAGCGGGAUCUGGAUACCCAUGGUGGCUCCCACAUGUUCCACGAUGAUCUCAUCGGAUGAACCACGAUGUCAAGGAUUCAAUCAAUCCCGUAUACAAUUCCCUUUGCCUGUCAGUAUAGAACUUGCCCGAGAUUCGAUCGUCGGUAUACCUAUACCUUGUUCAAUCUCGUUACCGGUAAGUCUCUUUACUCGUUCCGUAGCACAUCAUCCCGUGACUAACUCCUUAGUCACACUAAGCUCAUUAUGAUGAUGUUCUACCGAGUGGGCCCAGAGAUACCUCUCCGGCACACGGAGUGACAAAUCCCGAUCUCGAUUCGUACCAACCCAACAGACACUUUCGAAGAUACCCGUAGUGCACCUUUGUAGUCACCUAGUUAUGUUGUGAUGUUUGAUACACCCAAAGCACGCCUACAGUAUCUGGGAGUUGCACAAUCUCAUGGUCGAAGGAAAAGACACUUGACAUUAGAAAAGCUUUAGCAUACGAACAAUAUGAUCUAUUGCUAUGCUUAGGAAUGGGUCUUGUCCAUCACAUCAUUAUCCCAAUGAUGUGAUCCCAUUAUUAAUGACAUCCAAUGUCCAUNNNNNNNNNNNNNNNNNNNNNNNNNNNNNNNNNNNNNNNNNNNNNNNNNNNNNNNNNNNNNNNNNNNNNNNNNNNNNNNNNNNNNNNNNNNNNNNNNNNNNNNNNNNNNNNNNNNNNNNNNNNNNNNNNNNNNNNNNNNNNNNNNNNNNNNNNNNNNNNNNNNNNNNNNNNNNNNNNNNNNNNNNNNNNNNNNNNNNNNNNNNNNNNNNNNNNNNNNNNNNNNNNNNNNNNNNNNNNNNNNNNNNNNNNNNNNNNNNNNNNNNNNNNNNNNNNNNNNNNNNNNNNNNNNNNNNNNNNNNNNNNNNNNNNNNNNNNNNNNNNNNNNNNNNNNNNNNNNNNNNNNNNNNNNNNNNNNNNNNNNNNNNNNNNNNNNNNNNNNNNNNNCUAGGGCAUAUUUCCAACACUUAGAGCAGUGAUUUGCUUUAUUAUACUAACAGAUCUUAUCGAGCUUUCUGUUGAGUUUUGUGUGGAUGAAGUGAUCAAAGAUCGAGGAAAUCUCGAUAUGAGGAGAAGGAGGAGAGGCAAGAGCUCAAGAUUGGGUAUGCCCAAGGCACCCCAAGUAAAUAUUCAAGGAGACUCAAGCGUCUAAGCUUGGCGAUGCCCCAGAAGGCAUCCCAUCUUUCUUUACAAAGUAUUGGUAUGUUUUCGUGUUUGCUUCGUUCAUGUGUUAUAUGCAAAUCUUGGAGCAUCUUUUGCAUUUAGUUUUUAUUUUUUCUUUUAUGCACCAUGCUGGUAUGAGAUAGUCCAUGGUUGAUUUAUAGAAUGCUUCAUGUGCCUCACUUGUAUCAUUUGAAGUUUGGAUUGCCUGUUUCUCUUCACAUAAAAAAUUGUUGUUUGUAGAAUGCUCUAUUGCUUCACUUCUACUUAUUAGAGCAUGAUCUUUUGUAGAAAGAAUUAAACUCUCAUGCUUCACUUAUAUCUAUUUAGAGAGUCAACAUGAAUUGGUCAUUUGCAUGGUUAGUCAUAAAAUCCUACAUAAAACUUAUGGAUCACUGAAUAUGAUAUGUUUGAUUCCUUGCAAUAGUUUUACGAUAUAGAGAUGGAAUAUGUGGGAGGUACUAGUAAACGGUUGUGGUUAGUAAGAAUAUUGAUCUUAAGGUUUGUAAUUCCUGAAGCAUGCACGUAUAGUCUCUUGUUAUGCCGGGAAGUUGGAGCACCAUUUAUCCUUGAUUGUCCAUCUUUGUGUGAAGGUCGGGGGCGCACGAUGGUUAACUCCUACCAACCUCCCCCUAGGGGCAUGCGUAGUAGUACUUUGCUUCGAGGGCUAAUAAAUUUUGCAAUAAGUAUAUGAGUUCUUUAUGACUAAUGUGAGUCCAUGGAUUAUACGCACUCUUACCUUUCCGCAAUUUGCUAGCCUCUACGGCACCGUGCAUUGCCCUGUCUCACCUUGAGACGUGGUGCAAACCUCGCCUGUGCAUUCAAACCCCGUGAUAUGAUACACUCUAUCAACAUAAGCCUUAUUAUAUCUUCCUCAAAACAACCACCAUACCUACCUAUUAUGGCCUUUCCAUAGCCAUUCCAAGAUAUAUUGCCAUGCGAUUUACACCGCCUCCGUUUGACUUGAGCAUUCAUUGUCGUAUUGCUUUGCAUGAUCAUAUAGCUGACAUAGUAGUUGUGGCUCAGCCACCGUGUAUCAUUUUUUAUACAUGUUACGCUAGAUCAUUGCACAUCCUGGUACACUGCCAGAGGCAUUCAUGUAUAGUCAUAUUUUUUUCUAGGUAUCGAGUUUUAAUUUUUAUUUCUUUUGAGUUAUAAGUAAAUAGAAGUGUGAUUCUCAUCAUUAUUCAUGAUUAGAGCAUGUCCGAGUGAGGAAAGGAUGAUGGAGACUAUGAUUCCCCCACAAGUCGGGAUGAGACUCCGGACAAAAAAAGGAAAAAAAAUAAAAAAAAUAGGAAAGAAAGAAAGAAUAGAAAGACAAAAGAAUAAAAAAGAAAAAAAGAAAAAGAGAGAAGGGGCAUGCUAGUAUCACACUUGUGCUUCAAAGUAGCACCAUGUUUUUCAUAUGGAGAGUCUCCUAUGUUGCCACUUUCAUAUACCGGUGGGAAUGUUUCAUUAUAGGAUUAGAUGCACACCCACUUACUUUUCAUAUGGGGCUUUCAUACACUUAUAGCUCGUAGUGCAUUCGUUGCAUGGCAAUCCCUACUUCUCACAUUGAUAUCAAUUGAUGGGUAUCUCCAUAGCCCGUUGGUUAGUCGCGUCGAUGUGAGACUUUCUUACUUUUUUGUCUUCUCUAUAUUUACCCCUAUCAUCAUACUCUAUUCCACCCGUAGUGUUAUAUCCAUGGCUUGCACUCAUGUAUUGCGUGAGGGUUGAAAAAGCUGAAGCGCGUUAAAAAGUAUGAACCAAUUGCUUGGCUGACACCGGGAUAGUACAUGGUUUAUACUUUGUGUUAAGAAGACAGAGCAUGACAAGAUUAUAUGACUUUGUAGGGAUAGCUUUCUUUAGUGUUGAUAUUUUGAAAGACAUGAUUGUUUAUUGGGAUGCCUAAGUAUUUAUAUCUUUAUGUCAAAUGAUAUACUAUUGCUUUGAAUCACUUAUGUCUUAAUAUUCAUGCCAUGAUUAGAUGUAUGAUCAAGUUUAUGCUAGGUAGCAUUCCACAUCAAUUUUUUUUACCAUUUACCUACUCGAGCACGAGCAGGAACUAAGCUUGGGGAUGCUGAUACGUCUCCGUUGUAUCUAUAAUUUUUUAUUGUUUCAUGCCAAUAUAAUACAACUUUCACAUACUUUUGGCAGCUUUUAUAUGAUUUAUGUAACUAACCUAUUGAUCUAGUGCCCAGUGCCAGUUCCUGUUUUUUGCAUGUUUUUUGUAUCUUAUAAAAUCCAUAUCAAAUGAAGUCCAAACAUGAUAAAAAUUUACGAAGAAUUAUUUUGGAAUUUAUGUGAUUUUUGGGAGGUGGAAACAUUGCAAACGGGGGCCCACAGAGCCCACAACCCACCAGGGCACGCCACAGGCCUCAGGCGCGCCCUGGUGUCUUGUGCCCUCCUCAAACGUCAGUUGGAGCCCUUCUUCUGGCGCAAGAAAGAUAAUUUAUUGAAAAAAUCGUGUAAAAAUUUCAGCGCAAUCAUAGUUACGGAUCUCCAGGAAUUUAAGAAACCGUGAAGGACCACAUCUGAGAAGCGCGAAACAGAAGAGAACAGAGGGAGGUCCAAUCUCGGAGGGGCUCCCACCCCUCCGCUGCCAUGGAGGCCAUGGACCAGAGGGGUAAAUCUCCUCCCAUCUAGGGGGGAGGCCAAGGAAGGAGAAGGAGGGGGGCUCUCUCCCCCUCUCUACCGGUGGCGUCGGAGUGCCGCGGGGGCUAGGAUCAUGACGGCGAUCUACAUCAACAACCUUGCUACCAUCAACACCAACUUUCUCCCCCUCUAUGCAGCGGUGUAACACCCCUUCUACCCGUAGUAAUCUCUACUUAAACAUGGUUCUCAACUCCAUAUAUUAUUUCCCAAUGAUAUUUGGCUAUCCUAUGAUGUUUGAGUAGAUUCAUUUUGUCCUAUGGGUUAAUCGUGAUCUUGGUUGGUAUGAUUGUAUAUUUUAUUUAUGGCGCCGUCCUACGGUGCCCUCCAUUUCACGCAAAUGUGACAGCCCCCCCUGUAGGGUGUUGCAAUAUGUUCAUGGUUUGCUUAUGUCGGUGUUGCGGGGGAGACACAACCUAAACGCGGAUAAGUGGGUUAUGGCAUAUGGGAGUAAAUAGGACUUGAUACUUAAUGCUAUGGUUGGGUUUCACGACCUUAAUGAUCUUUAGUAGCUGGGGAUGCUUGCUAGAGUUCCAAUCAUAAGUGCGUAUGAUCCAAGCAGAGAAAGUAUGUUAGCUCAUGCCUCUCCCUCAUAUAAAAUUAGAAGAAUGAUUACCGGUACUUGUUAUCGAUUGCCUAGGGGCAAAUGACUUUCUUGUUGACAAAAGCUAUGCACUUCUAUUACCUUGCAAUUUAUUCGUAGUUCUAUUCUCGCAAAGUACUCGUAGUUUUGUUCUUGCAAAAUAGUUUCAUAAUUGUUUUAGGUAAAGCAAACGUCAAGCGUGCGUAGAGUUGUAUCGGCGGUUGAUAAAACUUGAGGGAAUAUUUGUUCUGCCUUUAGCUCCUCGUUGGGUUCGACACUCUUAUUUAUCGAAGAAGGCUACAAACGAUCCCCUAAAGUUGUGGGUUAUCAGAGGGCCUUCUCUCCCAGCCGACUGAUGAAGCGGCUGAGGGAAGCGAGGCAGCCGGUGACCUUCUGGACUCCAACCAGGUCGGUCGGUCGGGCCAUUCGCUCGAUGGCCCGAAUCUUCUCCGGGUUUGCCUUGACUCGUUGUUCGAAAAUGAGGAAGCCGAGGAGCUGGCCGGCUGGCAUGCCGAACACACACUUUUCUGGGUUUAGCCGGAUCUCAAACUCGUGCAGGCUCGCAAACGUCUCGUUGAGAUCGUCCAGGAGGGUGCAGCUUUCUUUGGUUUUGACCAUGACAUCAUCUACGUAGACGUGUACGUUGUGGCCAAGCUGCAAGUAGAGGCAUCGCUGCAUGCAGCGCUGGAACGUGGCGCUAGCAUUUUUCAGCCCGAACGUCAUCAUAAUGUAGCAAAACGCCCCAAAGGGUGUGAUGAAAGUUGUCUUCAGCCGAUCGACUGGAUUUAGCUUCAUCUGGUGGUAGCCUGAAUAGGCGUGUAGGAAGGACAACAACUCGUAGCUGGUCGUCGAGUCGAUCACUUGAUCGAAACGGGGCACAGCAAAUGGAUCCUUGGGGCAUGCCUUGUUUAGGCUCGUGUAAUUGAUACACAUGCGCCAAGUCUUAUUUUUCUUCAGCACCAGGACAGGCUUCGACAACCAGUCUUGGUGGAAGACUUCCAUGAAGAAGCCAGCUGCUAGCAGCCGGGCAACUUCUUCACUGAUGGUUUUUCGCUUGUCCUUUGGGAAGCGGCGCAAGGGUGGCGUGACCAGUUUUGCGUCUGGCUGGAGGUGGAGUAAGUGCUCGAUGAACUUCCUCUGGACUCCUGGCAUGUCCUUUGGGGACCAUGCAAAGAUAUCCCGAUUCUCAUGGAGGAAGUCGACAAGCUCGCUUUCCUAUUUGUCGUUGAGGCCAGCCCCCAACAUGGUGUAAUUGUCGGUGGGGUCGGCCGGGUCUAGAGGGAGCUUUUUGGUGUCCUUGCCGGUGGCCGGCUGGAAUUGGGCCUCCACAGCCAGCUGCUUCAGCUUGGGCUCGGGCAUGGCAGCCAGCUCGCGGGAAAGGGCCAUGAGUCGGUCGAUCUAUCGCCGCUCCUCGAAGAUGAAAAGCGACUAGGCCAGCUUGGAGCCGAUUAGAGCGCACUCGGAUGACUUCCUAUAAUUGCCCGCGACGGUGAUGAUCCCAUGUGGGCCUGGCAGCUCCAUCUUCAGAUAGGCGUAAUGCGGGACUUGUUGGAAAUAUGCCCUAGAUGCAAUAAUAAAUUAGUUAUUAUUAUAUUUCUUUGUUCAUGAUAAUCGUUUAUUAUCCAUGAUAUAAUUGUAUUGAUUGGAAACACAAUACUUGUGUGGAUACAUAGACAAAACACUGUCCCUAGUAAGCCUCUAGUUGACUAGCUCGUUGAUCAAAGAUGGUCAAGGUUUCCUCACCAUAGGCAAGUGUUGUCACUUGAUAACGGGAUCACAUCAUUAGGAGAAUCAUGUGAUGGACUAGACCCAAACUAAUGAACGUAGCAUGUUGGUCGUGUCAUUUUGUUGCUACUGUUUUUCUGCGUGUCAAGUAUUUAUUCCUAUGACCAUGAGAUCAUAUAACUCACUGACACUGGAGGAAUGCCUUGUGUGCAUCAAACGUCGCAACGUAACUGGGUGACUAUAAAGGUGCUCUACACGUAUCUCCGAAGGUGUCCGUUGAGUUAGUAUGGAUCAAGACUGGGAUUUGUCACUCCGUGUGACGGAGAGGUAUCUCGGGGCCCACUCGGUAAUACAACAUCACACACAAGCCUUGCAAGCAAUGUGACUUAGUGUAAGUCAUGGGGUCUUGUAUUACGGAACGAGNNNNNNNNNNNNNNNNNNNNNNNNNNNNNNNNNNNNNNNNNNNNNNNNNNNNNNNNNNNNNNNNNNNNNNNNNNNNNNNNNNNNNNNNNNNNNNNNNNNNNNNNNNNNNNNNNNNNNNNNNNNNNNNNNNNNNNNNNNNNNNNNNNNNNNNNNNNNNNNNNNNNNNNNNNNNNNNNNNNNNNNNNNNNNNNNNNNNNNNNNNNNNNNNNNNNNNNNNNNNNNNNNNNNNNNNNNNNNNNNNNNNNNNNNNNNNNNNNNNNNNNNNNNNNNNNNNNNNNNNNNNNNNNNNNNNNNNNNNNNNNNNNNNNNNNNNNNNNNNNNNNNNNNNNNNNNNNNNNNNNNNNNNNNNNNNNNNNNNNNNNNNNNNNNNNNNNNNNNNNNNNNNNNNNNNNNNNNNNNNNNNNNNNNNNNNNNNNNNNNNNNNNNNNNNNNNNNNNNNNNNNNNNNNNNNNNNNNNNNNNNNNNNNNNNNNNNNNNNNNNNNNNNNNNNNNNNNNNNNNNNNNNNNNNNNNNNNNNNNNNNNNNNNNNNNNNNNNNNNNNNNNNNNNNNNNNNNNNNNNNNNNNNNNNNNNNNNNNNNNNNNNNNNNNNNNNNNNNNNNNNNNNNNNNNNNNNNNNNNNNNNNNNNNNNNNNNNNNNNNNNNNNNNNNNNNNNNNNNNNNNNNNNNNNNNNNNNNNNNNNNNNNNNNNNNNNNNNNNNNNNNNNNNNNNNNNNNNNNNNNNNNNNNNNNNNNNNNNNNNNNNNNNNNNNNNNNNNNNNNNNNNNNNNNNNNNNNNNNNNNNNNNNNNNNNNNNNNNNNNNNNNNNNNNNNNNNNNNNNNNNNNNNNNNNNNNNNNNNNNNNNNNNNNNNNNNNNNNNNNNNNNNNNNNNNNNNNNNNNNNNNNNNNNNNNNNNNNNNNNNNNNNNNNNNNNNNNNNNNNNNNNNNNNNNNNNNNNNNNNNNNNNNNNNNNNNNNNNNNNNNNNNNNNNNNNNNNNNNNNNNNNNNNNNNNNNNNNNNNNNNNNNNNNNNNNNNNNNNNNNNNNNNNNNNNNNNNNNNNNNNNNNNNNNNNNNNNNNNNNNNNNNNNNNNNNNNNNNNNNNNNNNNNNNNNNNNNNNNNNNNNNNNNNNNNNNNNNNNNNNNNNNNNNNNNNNNNNNNNNNNNNNNNNNNNNNNNNNNNNNNNNNNNNNNNNNNNNNNNNNNNNNNNNNNNNNNNNNNNNNNNNNNNNNNNNNNNNNNNNNNNNNNNNNNNNNNNNNNNNNNNNNNNNNNNNNNNNNNNNNNNNNNNNNNNNNNNNNNNNNNNNNNNNNNNNNNNNNNNNNNNNNNNNNNNNNNNNNNNNNNNNNNNNNNNNNNNNNNNNNNNNNNNNNNNNNNNNNNNNNNNNNNNNNNNNNNNNNNNNNNNNNNNNNNNNNNNNNNNNNNNNNNNNNNNNNNNNNNNNNNNNNNNNNNNNNNNNNNNNNNNNNNNNNNNNNNNNNNNNNNNNNNNNNNNNNNNNNNNNNNNNNNNNNNNNNNNNNNNNNNNNNNNNNNNNNNNNNNNNNNNNNNNNNNNNNNNNNNNNNNNNNNNNNNNNNNNNNNNNNNNNNNNNNNNNNNNNNNNNNNNNNNNNNNNNNNNNNNNNNNNNNNNNNNNNNNNNNNNNNNNNNNNNNNNNNNNNNNNNNNNNNNNNNNNNNNNNNNNNNNNNNNNNNNNNNNNNNNNNNNNNNNNNNNNNNNNNNNNNNNNNNNNNNNNNNNNNNNNNNNNNNNNNNNNNNNNNNNNNNNNNNNNNNNNNNNNNNNNNNNNNNNNNNNNNNNNNNNNNNNNNNNNNNNNNNNNNNNNNNNNNNNNNNNNNNNNNNNNNNNNNNNNNNNNNNNNNNNNNNNNNNNNNNNNNNNNNNNNNNNNNNNNNNNNNNNNNNNNNNNNNNNNNNNNNNNNNNNNNNNNNNNNNNNNNNNNNNNNNNNNNNNNNNNNNNNNNNNNNNNNNNNNNNNNNNNNNNNNNNNNNNNNNNNNNNNNNNNNNNNNNNNNNNNNNNNNNNNNNNNNNNNNNNNNNNNNNNNNNNNNNNNNNNNNNNNNNNNNNNNNNNNNNNNNNNNNNNNNNNNNNNNNNNNNNNNNNNNNNNNNNNNNNNNNNNNNNNNNNNNNNNNNNNNNNNNNNNNNNNNNNNNNNNNNNNNNNNNNNNNNNNNNNNNNNNNNNNNNNNNNNNNNNNNNNNNNNNNNNNNNNNNUUUUGAUGUAUGCAGUCCAAUGGGUGUUGAGGCACGCAGUGGAUAUCAUUGUGUUCUUACUUCAAUGACGAUUUGAGUAGAUACAGGAGUAUUUACUUAAUGAAUCACAAGUCUGAAAUAUUGAAAAGGUUCAAUUCUGUUUCAGAGUGAAGUUCGUCAUAACAAGAGGAUAAACUGUCUACGAUAUGAUCAUAGAGAUGACUAUCUGAGUUGCGAGUUUUUGUUACGCAAUUAAGAGAAAGUGAAAAUUGUUUCGCAGUUCAUGCCACCUGGAACACCAUAGUGUGAUGAUGUGUCUAAACGUCAUAGCCACACCCUAUUUGAUAUGGUGCAUACUAUGAUGUCUCUUAUCGAAUUACCACUAUCAUUUAUGGGUUAUGUAUUAGAUACAACCACAUUCACUUUAAAUAGGGCACCGGGUAUUUACGUUGAGAUGACAUAGUAUAGAAUGAGGUUUGGAGAAAUCUAAGCUGUCGUUUCUUGAAAGUUUGGGGCUGCGAUGCUUAUGUGAAAAGGUUUCAGUCUGAUAAGCUCGAACCCAAAGCGGAUAAAAUGCAUCUUCAUAGGAUAUCCAAAACGGUUGGAUACAUCUCCUAUCUCAGAUCCAGAAGCAAAGUGUUUGUUUCUAGAAACGGAUCCUUUCUCGAGGAAAGGUUUCUCUCGAAAGAAUUGAGUGGGAGGGUGAUAGAAUUUGAUGAGGUUAUUGAACCAUCACUUCAAAUAGUGUGUAGCAGGGCGCAGGAAGUUGUUCCUGUGGCGCCUACACCAAUUGAUGUGGAAGCUGAUGAUAGUGAUCAUUGAGCAUCCGAUCAAGUUACUACGGACCUCGUAGGUCGACAAGGUCGCGCACUACUACAGAGUGGUACAGUAACCCUGUCUUGGAGGUCAUAUUGUUGAACAACAAUGAACCUACGAGUUAUGGAGAAGCAAUGGUGGGCCCGGAUUCCGACAAAUGGCUGGAGGCCAUGAAAUCCGAGAGAGAAUCCAUGGAUAAGACAAAGUGUAGACUUUGGAAGAACUUCUUGAUGGUAGUAAGACUAUUAAGUAGAGAUGGAUUUUUAAAAGGAAGAUAGACAAUGAUGGUGAUAAGUCACUAUUAAGAAAAGCUCGACUUGUCGCAAAGAUGUUUCCGACAAGAUCAAAUAAUUGACUAUGAUGAGACUUUCUCACUCGUAGCGAUGCUAAAAGUCUGUUGGAAUUAUGUUAGUAGUUGCUGCAUUAUUUGUGAAAUAUUGCACAUAGGAAGACAAAACAUUGUUUCCUCGACGGUUUCCUUGAGGAAAGAUUGUAUCUGAUACAACCAGAAGGUUUUGUCGAUCCUAAGGAUACUAACAAGUAUGCAAGCUCUAGAGAUCCUUCAAUGGACUUGUGCAAGCAUCUUGGAGUUGGAAUAUACACUUUGAUGAGAUGAUCAAAGAUUUUGGGUUUGUACAAGGUUUAUGUGAAACUUGUAUUUCGAAAGAAGUGAGUGGGAGCACUAUAGAAUUUCUAAUAAGUAUAUGUGGUUGACAUAUUGUGGAUCAGAAGUAAUGUAGAAUUUUGUAAAGCAUAAAAGGUUGUUUGAAAGGAGUUUUUCAAAGGAAUACCUGGCUUGCGCUUCUUGAACGUUGAGCAUCAAGAUCUAUGGAGAUAGAUCGAAACACUUAAUAGAAGUUUCAACAAGAUGCAUGUCUUGACAAGUUUUUGAAAGAGUUCAAAAUAGAUCAGUAAAGAAAGGAGUUCUUGGUUAUGUUGUAAGGUGUGAAUUUGAGUAAGACUCAAAACCCGCCCACGACAGAAGAAAGAGAAAGGACGAAGGUCAUCCCCUAUGCCUUAGCCUUAGAAUCUAUAGUAUGCCAUGCUAUGUACCGCACCUGAUGUGUGCCUUGCCACAAGUCUGUUAAGAGGUACAGAGAGUGAUCCAGGAUUGAAUCACUGAACAUCGGUCAAAGUUAUCCAUAGUAACUAAUGGAAUAAGGAAUUUUUCUCGAUUAUGGAGGUGGUUAAAGAGUUCGUCGUAAAGGGUUACGUCGAUGCAAGCUUUGACACUAGUCCGAAUAACUAUGAGUAGUGAAACAGAUUCGUAUAGUAGAGUAGAUAUUUCGAGUAUUUCCGAAUAGCACGUAGUAGCAACAUCUAUAAGAUGACAUAAACAUUUGUAAAGAACACACGGAUCUGAAAGUUUUAGAACCGUUGACUAAACCCUCUCUCACGAGCAAGACGUGAUCAGUCCCCAGAACUACAUGGGUGUUGGAUUAGUUGAAGUCACAUGGUGAUGUGAACUAGAUUAUUGACUCUAGUGCAAGUGGGAGACUGUUGGAAAUAUGCCCUAGAGGCAAUAAUAAAUUACUUAUUACUAUAUUUCUUUGUUCAUGAUAAUCGUUUAUUAUCCAUGCUAUAAUUGUAUUGAUUGGAAACACAAUACUUGUGUGGAUACAUAGACAAAAGACUGUCCCUAGCAAGCCCCUAGUUGACUAGCUCGUUGAUCAAAGAUGGUCAAGGUUUCCUGACCAUAGGCAAGUGUUGUCACUUGAUAACGGGAUCACAUCAUUAGGAGAAUCAUGUGAUGGACUAGACCCAAACUAAUGAACGUAGCAUGUUGAUCGUAUCAUUUUGUUGCUACCGUUUUCUGCGUGUCAAGUAUUUAUUCCUAUGACCUUGAGAUCAUAUAACUCACUGACACCAGAGGAAUGCCUUGUGUGCAUCAAAUGUCGCAACGUAACUGGGUGACUAUAAAGGUGCUCUACAGGUAUCUCCGAAGGUGUCCGUUGAGUUAGUAUGGAUCAAGACUGGGAUUUGUCACUCCGUGUGACGGAGAGAUAUCUCGGGGCCCACUCGGUAAUACAACAUCACACACAAGCCUUGCAAGCAAUGUGACUUAGUGUAAGUCACGGGAUCUUGUAUUACGGAACAAGUAAAGAGACUUGCCGGUAAACGAGAUUGAAAUAGGUAUGCGGAUACUGACGAUCGAAUCUCGGGCAAGUAACAUACCGAAGGACAAAAGGAAUGACAUACGGGAUUAUAUGAAUCCUUGGNGGGCGGAGCCCUGCUGAGAUAGAUCACCACCAACCUCCGGAGCGCCGUCAGUCUUCCGGAGAACUCAUCUACCUCUCCGUCUCUCUUGCUGGAUCAAGAAGGCCGAGAUCAUCGUCGAGCUGUACGUCUGUUGAACGCGGAGGUGCCGUCCGUUUAGCACUAGAUCGGAACGGAUCGUGAGAUGGAUCGCAAGACGGUUCGUGUGACGGUUUGCGGGGCGGAUCGAGGGACGUGAGUACGUUCCACUACAUCAACCGCGUUUCUUAACGCUUUUGCUGUGCGAUCUACAAGGGUACGUAGAUCGGAAAUCUCCUCUCGUAGAUGAACGUCACCAUGAUAGGUAUUGCGUGUGCGUAGGAAAAUUUAUGUUUCCCAUGCGACGUUCCCCAACAGGACAACCAUGAAUUUGGCCAGGGCCGGCCAGUCCAAGAUGGCCUGGGAGGAUCUGGUGAGGUUGACGACCUCGAACCAGAUCGGCUCGCGGCGGAAGUUCUUCGGCGAGCCGAACAACACGUCCAGACGGACCUUGCCGAUCGGCGAGCAUGAGUGGCCGAGGACAAUGCCGUGGAACACUGUGCGAGUCGGCUGGAGCUCGGACUCCAGAAUGCCAAGCUUGUGCAUGGUGUCGCGGUAGAGGAUGUUGAUGCUGCUAACGCCGUCGACGAGCACCCAUAUGAAGCAGCAUGUGAUUUGCCGGGAGACGAAGGUGGGAUCUAGCACCAGUGCGUAGCCGCCUGGUGUCGGCAUCACAACAUGAUGGUCUUUGCGACCCCAGGUGAUUGGCUUGUCCGACCAGUGCAUGUACUGGGGGACUGGUGGGACGAUGGCGUUGACCUCUAGGGCUCUCUUGCGCUGGCUGUGCUUGUCAUCAAGCUCCCUGGUGAAGAUGGCAUAGGUCGCGUCCUAUUGGGGGUAUGCGUCGCGGGUUUCGCCGGCUCUCAGAGAGGAAUGCGGCGGAGGCGGCAACGAUGCAGAAGGCAGAAGCUGGCCACGCGCAAUCUUGGCGAACCAGCUGCACUAGCGGGCGGUGUGCGUCACCGGCUUGGCGCCGCUAUGGAGCUUGCAGGGCCGGUCGAGCAUGGCCUCGAAGGUGUACUUGGCCUGCCACGGCUGCUUGCCUUUGUUGGUGCGCUGGUGCCGGCUGGGGCCUUGGCCGUCUUCCAUGCGUCCGUCCUCGACGGUCGAGACCUGCUGGGUAGCCUAGCGUGCAUCCGGCUAGUUAGCCGUGCGCUUGCCCUGACCCGGCUGGGAUCGACCGGCAGCCGGGGCGAAAGCUGGCUUGGACAUAGUCGGUUUGCCAGCCGCGUGAACGAGCAAGGGGAGCUUCAUGGAAGACGGCGUACUAAUCCACAACGGCCAUCAGCUGCGCGAGGGUGGAGGGUUCCCGGCGUGAAAUCUUGUGCUUGAGGAGGGUGCUGUCUCGACAGCCGUCGAUGAAGUAAUGAAUCACCUACACUUCAUGGACGCCCUCGCAGUAGUUGUGGAGCUUGGUCCAUCGCAUGAGGUAGUCGCGGAGCGGCUCGGUCGGGCCGUGUAUGCACAAGGCGAGCUGUCGGGGCCGACUAGAGCGCUUGUACGUGCCAAUGAAGGUGCGCACAGACGCCUCGUGGAAGUCCAGCCAGCUGUUCACGCUGCCAACGGCAGGCUCUUAAGGCAGGUCAGGCCGAGCCUAGCAGCAUGAGGGGCACAUAGCGUACGACUAUGCUCUUGUUGCCGCCGGCGGUGGUGUAGUCGGUCAACCAAUCCUCAGGCAUAGUCGAGCCGUUGUACUUGGGGAUGUGGCAUGCCAAGGUGAAGCCUUUGGGGAACGGCUCCUUGGGGAUGCGCGGCCCAAAACACGGCGGGCCGGCCGUGCCUUCCUCCUCAGUGGUGCGGGAUCGGGCGAGGCGCUCUGGGCGGAAACACACAUCCUGAUUGUCGAGUUGGCGUGCGCCAUCCACUCGUACACCGACAAGGGAGGUACUUCCGACCGGUCGCGUUCCUCGCGCCAUACGCUCCGGGCCGAUAGGUGGUCUGCCUGGCCAGGCAGCUCCUGCACACGACUGUCGACAACCGACACACUACGGUCCCACCGGCCACGGCUGUCUGCCUGUUGGCUGCCGCGACGGGGAUGACUGCCGGCUGGUGAAGACACGUGACUCGUCUCCCGCCGGCCGACUACGGCUGACCGACAACGUUGUAGGUCCUUGAGCGGGAGCCGGCCGGGCCGCGGGUUGACCGGGCCUCCUGCGCAUUGGCGACCUCUAUGAGGACGUAGAUGCGCUCCUGCUGCGUGUUGCGGGCCGGACCAUCGAGCCCCUCCGGCUCACUGAUGGUGGCCUGCACAGCUCGCAUGUUCUUGACUGGGGUAUCAUAGACAGGGCGGUCGCCGGCCGGCUCCUAGCCGACUGCGCCCCCUCAGUGCCGCACGCACUCUAGUUGACUGAGCCUGGGGGCAGCCAGCAUGAGACCAUGGGUCACGUUGAAUUCGCGCCGAGUGGCCUCGAACUCGCGCUGAGCAGCCUCCAGUGCUUCCGCUUCGCUGAGCAGCUGCAUGCCGUGGGUGUCGAGCUCUUGGGUGGCGACCAAGGGGUCGGCCACCUGAGGGAUGGGGGUGCGGAGCGUGUCCAUCGCUGCGUGAAUCGGGUUUCGGUACCCAGGUGCGCAACCAUGCAAGGUGACGGUGAGCACCUCCACACGAUCGCACAUGUCAUCGAUGCUGCUGGAGAGGUUGCUGUCGCCAGUCUGCGACAUCUUGUCAUAGCUGAGCACCUCGGUGGGAUAGCUGUCGGCGACGACCGCAACGUAGACGCAGUGUGAGAAAAAGUAAAUGAUGGAGCCAUCAGCGGGGAAGUCCGUGUCCUCUAGACGACGGGAGUUGUCAUUGACGCAGUCGAGCGCAUCGUAGCGCACGACCAAGCCGUGAACCACACGCUUGCCAGAAGGGGUGAAGGGUCCCGCCCAGAACGUCACUUCGGCCGGCGUCGCUGCCAGCCCCAUGGUGGGCGCCAACUAUCAUGGUAUUUCCGAGACAGAUGCCAUGGGGUGGCUUAACUCGUGGUUUGGGGCCGAUGGGUGCCGAUGGCGUUGGGGAACAGGUGUAGGCGCAACACACAUGACGUCGAUAUACCCAGGUUAAGGGCCCUCCGAUGAGGUAAAAUCCCUAGUCCUGUCUGUGUGACUAUAUAAGAAUCAAAGUACAAAGGUGCUCCUUGAGCUGUCCGUGAGGAGGGAGACGGAGCUCUGGCUGCUGGUAUUGCUACCUCAAUGGUGUGCUAUGCGCAUGUCUCGAGUGUCUCUCUGUGUGUCGAUCUCCAGGUGAAUGUGAGCGUGCCUCUCCUGGAACUUCCCUCUCUCGGUGGGCUGAGGUGAGGCUUUAUAAUGUAUCCAGGAGGUAUAAUGGUAAGGGUAGGACAUGAGGUGGGGGUCGGGUGCCAGCCUCUCGUGCCGGCUGCGGGUCCGGUCGCGGGGCUCUUCGACCGUGUGCAUCAGCGGCCAGCGCCGAGUCAUCAGGGCGCAUGCGAAGGGGGGGGGGAACGUGGCUACAGGACCGCCUCACCCGGUUAGUGUCGGCGGCGAUGUGGGCCCUGUAGCCUCGCUGAUGUGCCCACCAUCAUGCCGCAGUCAUGCCGAGUGUGUGAGCGCGUACUGCUGCCGUGAUUGACGGGAUUAUACUUAAGGGUAGGCCUACAAACUCAUUUCCACAGGGCCCACCUAAGUACCUGUAAGGACAUCAGUGUCGUACAAGUCAUCGUGAUAGUCUCAACCUCAUUCGGUCAUUGUGCUCUUACUCGGUUACAUGAGGUCACUCGGUCUGCUUUGCGACAAUCGGACGCUCCCAACACUCAGUCCAUAACAUGGCACGGAACAUGAAGGGACUGCAACGUCCAAGGACUUAAACACAUGCGUGAAGGCCCAUGAAGGCCCGCGUUACCGGUAACGCAAGGGAUUAAGGCGGUUGUUACUUAUAACUUCCCUCUUUAUUAUCAUUUUUCCUUGUAAUCUUUUAGACCCCCAUAAGAAAACGCCAGCCUCUCGGCUCGAGACGUAGGGCUAUUUCCACUUCCGAGUGGGGCCUGAACUCGGAAAACCGAAUGCAUCCACCGCACCUAGCUAGACUUCGCCCCUUAGUUUGUACCCCUGAUACUAUUGUCAGGAUCAUUCCCAUGACAGUGAUAGUCUCUGAUCAUUCGUCUUGUCUUGUCUUCGUAUGAUGGCACGACCGGAUGGGAUGGGAGCCGACCGUCCGGCUGGCGGCACGCCAGCCAGCGUGUCGGAUCUCGCCAGUCGGCCAGACAUGCGUUGGAUAAGUGCGCCGGCUAUCGCCAGCCGACCGAGCAUGUACGGGUCGGCUAUCUCCAGCCAGUCGGACUGGUGUUGGCCGAAUGGGCUGGCUAUCUCAAGCCGACCGGAAUUAUGUUGGCCGAAUGUGCUGGCUAUCGCCAGCCGACCGGACUUGUGUUGGCCGAAUGGGCCAGGCUAUCGCAAGCCGGCGUGGGGGCCCAGGCCUCCCCCAAAUGUCUUGGAGACAACUAAUCUGCACUCUUGGUAUACCCAGGGGUAGUAUCCCCGUCAGAGUACGAGUUUGUGUUUUCCUUGUGUUUUUCCACUUUUCAGGCUUCAGUACCAAAUGAAGCCCAAUUGAACCGAAACUUUUUGUGAUUUUUUGCCAAGCCAAAAUAGGAACUUGGAACAUUGGAAGGAGGCAGGAGAGUGCACAAGGCCCCCACAAGCCAACAAGACACGACCUUGGGGGUGCACCCUGAUGGCUUGUGGCCCCCUCGUGGCUCUCCCGACUCCGUUAUGUGGCCUAUCAAUUCCUAUGUGCCCUAAAACCUUCAAAGGAGGCCCCAAACCAAGUUUUACGUCACUGCAAGUCUCUGUUCCGAUGGGAGGCCAUCUAGAGCUUUGUAUCGGCACUCUGCCAGAGGGUGAUCGAUCAUAGACGGCUUCUUCAUCAACCUUGCUGCCCUCAUGAUUAUGUGUGAGUAUUUCACCAUAUGCCUACGGGUCCAUAGCCAGUACCUAGAUGAAAAUAUCUCUCUUUGAUCAUCAAUACAAUGGUCAUCACAUCUUCGCUCUUCUGCAUAUGAUGUAACUCUUUUGUAUGGUGCGUUUGUUGGGAUUAUAUGAAUUGUGGGUUUAUGUUCACAUUAUUCAUGAUAAUAUGAAUCUUAUGUGCAUGAUUAUGAUAACUUUGUAAUUCUUUUUGAUCCAUCGAAAUAAUUUGGCCAACUAGAUUGAUAUUUCUUCAGUAAGAGAGGUGCGUUGUAGUAGGUUCAACCAAUUAAGUUUCUAUAUCCUAGUGAUACAAGGGGACAAGUUGCGUCUUUGUGUUGCUGCUACUAACGGUAAAACAAUGUGGUUUAUUCAUAUUGGUUGAGUUUACCUAGUCUGCAUCAUGUCAUCUUACUCCAAGCAUUAAUUCGUUUGCAUGAACUUAAUAUGUAGAGAGGCAAGCAUAUAAGUGCUCUUGAAGUGAAGUAAUAGUAUUAGGUGUAGGCAGGAGUCGGCCAAUUUUUUUAUGGAUGUGAUUCCUAUAUUUACAUGAUCAUAUCGUGAAAAUCUCAUAAGUAUCCUCUCUUCUAUCAAUUGCCCAACAAUAAUUUGUUGACCCAUCGUGUACUAUUUUUAUCAGAGAUGCCAUUAGGCAAAACUAUGGCCCUCGGGUCUUUUCAGAACAAAUUGCUAAAACAUGCUAUACUAUGCUGCUAUUUAUUUACUUUUAUUUUAUUUUGCAUUUUAGAAUUAUCUACAAUUAUCUAGUCACCUCAUUUGCUUGCAAAUAACGAGACUAAGGGGAUUGACAACCCUCUUUCCCGCGUUGGGUGCAAGCCGUUUCUUUUUGUGUGCAGCCGCUAAAGAUGGUUGUGCUUAGUAUUCCUAUUGGUUAGAUAAACCUUGGUUUCAUAACCGAGGGAAGUACUUACCCAAUUUGUUCCGCGAUAACCCGUUCCUUUUCAGGAAAAACCCAACGCAGACCACGAGGACCAGGAAGGAUUUCUCGCGUCAUUGCUGGGGAAUAUCAUCACCAACUAUGAAGUAACUCCGCACAAAAUUUCAUUAACUUGUUCUUAUUUUUUAUUUUCUGGUAUAUUUAGUUUGUCUCAUAAAAAGUAAAAAAAACUAAAAAUAUUUAUCUUUGCUUGCUUAGCUUGUCACUAGAUUCCAUCUUCGCUCUCUAGUUUGCUCGUUACACUUAUCUCUUUGCUCAAUUAGUCACCAUGUCCCAAGAUACUACUAAGUUCUGUGACUUUUCAAAUACUAAUAAUAAUUAUUUUAAUAGUACUACUAUAACACCCUCCACUAGUGAGGAUGCCUUUUAUAUUAAUGCUUCAUUGCUAAAUCUUGUCAUGAAAGAUAAAUUUUCGGGAAGUCCUAAUGUGGAUCCCACUUCACAUCUCAAUACUUUUGUGGAACUUUGUUAUAUGCAAAAUAAAAAGAACCUGGACAAUGGUAUUGUCAAUUUUUUUCCCUUUUUCAAUUAGGGAUAAAGAAAAAGCUUGGUUUUCAUAUUUUCCACGUAAUAGUAUUGGAACAUGGGAUAAGUGUAAAGAUGCUUUCAUUGCCAAGUAUUUUCCUCCUACUAAUAUCAUUUCCCUAAGAAAUCAAAUAAUGAACUUUAAACAUCAAGAACAUGAACAUGUUGCUCAAGCUUGGGAGAGAAUGAAGUUGAUGAUAACAAAUUGUCCAACUCAUGGUUUAAACUUAUGGAUGAUUGUUCAAAAUUUCUAUGCGGGACUAAACUUUUCAUCCAAAAAUCUUCUAGAUUUGGCCGCAGGUGGUACCUUCAUGGAGGUGACCCUAGGAGAGGCCACCAAACUUCUGGACGACAUCAUGGUCAACUAUUCUCAAUGGCAUACAAAACAAGCUCCAACUGUUAAGAAGGUAGAUUUUAUUGAGGAAACCGCUACUUUGAGUGAAAAAGUGGAUGCUCUUAUGAAAUAGGUUUCUAAUAAAAACACUCAUGUUGAUCCCAAUGAUAUGCCUUUGUCUACCUUGAUUGAACAAAACAAUGAUGCUAUUUAUGUGAACUUUGUCUCGCGAAAUAAUUUCAACAACAAUGCUUAUAGAGGUAAUUUCAAUGCUAGGCCGUAUCCCGGUAAUAAUCCUAAUGGUUAUGGAAAUUCUCAUGGAAAUUCCUCUUCAAAUUCUAAUAGUAUACCCUCUGAUCUUGAGAACACAAUAAAGGAUCUCAUUUAUUCUCAAAAAGUUUUCAAUACUAUGGUAGAUGAAAAAUUACAUGUUGUUGAUACUUUGGCUAGAAACAUGGAUAUGAUUGUUCUUAAUGUAGAAAAUUUUAAAAAGGCUUUGCCUCCUAAGCAUGAUUUUAAUGAGACUACUAAAUCUACCCAAGGUUCUAUUAAUGAGAGUAAGGAGAGGACCGCUAAAUUGAGAGCUAAGCGAGAAUUCCUAGAAAAGGCUGUUUCACCCGGUUUUUACCGUAGUCAUGAUGAAGACCUUAAAAUGAUUGGUAUUUCUCCUAUUGAAUCUUUGUUUACCUCUCUGAGGACUACUCAUAAAGGUACUGCAUAUGAGUCAACUUUAGUUAGGGAGCGUCCCAUUUUCUUGGAGGGUGAUGAUCCUAAUGAUAGAACUAAAAAGUGGGUUUGGAGAGGUCAAAACUUUAACUAGUGAUGUUCCCACUAUCUUGGAUUACAAGGACUUUAAUUAGGAUAAUUUAUCUUUAUUAGAAUGUAUUUCCUUGCUGCAAUCCAUUAUUAUCUCACCCAAUGCUUAUGAAAAAAUAAAGUUUUUACUCAACAUUUAGUAGAAGCUAUGGUAAAAGCUUAUGAUGAGUAACUUGAUCUUGAAGUUACUAUUCCUAGAAAGUUGCAUGAUGAGUGGGAACCUACUAUCUAAAUUAAGAUAAAUAAAUAUGAAUGCAAUGCUUUGUGUGACCUUGGUUCUAGUGUUUGAACUAGACCUAAAGCUUUAUGUGAUGUGCUUGGUCUCACUAAUAUUGAAGAAUAUUCCCUUAACUUCCAUCUUGCGGAUUCUACCAUUAAGAAACCCUUAGGUAGAAUUAAUGAUGUUCUUAUCAUUCCAAACAAAAAUUACAUGCCUGUAGAUUUUAUUGUGCUUGAUAUUGAUUGCAAUCCUACUUGUCCCAUUAUACUUAGAAGACCUUUCCUACGAACUAUAGGUGCAAUCAUUGAUAUGAAAGAGGGCAAAAUAAGGUUCCAAUUACCAUUGAAGAAAGGGAUGAAACACUUUCCCAGAAAGAGAAUCAAACCACCUUAUUAAUCUAUCUUGAGGGCCACUUAUGGAUUAAAUUUCAAGGAUGACAACACUUGAAACUAGGCAAUAUGCCUAGCUAGGGGCGUAAAAACAAUAGCGCUUGUUGGGAGGCAACCCAAUAGUUAUCUUUAAUUUUUCCUUUACUUUCUGUUAUUGUGUGAUGACAUAAUUGUUGCUUCUGUAGUUACUGUGUUUUUAUGUUUCAAUUAAUGUUUGUGCAAAUAAAGCCUUUGGGAUGAUUUGCAUGAUGAGUAGAAUUGGUACGGUGCAAAAACAGAAACUUUGACGCCCAAUGUAGAAUUUCUCUGAUUUUACGGGAACGUCUUUUUAAUAUGAUUUUUUUACAAAGUACUGAUAUAAAAAUUUCUCAGGCUUUCUUUAUUUUUCAUAAUUUUUGGAGUUAAAUAAGUAUGGCAAUUAAAUAUAUUACUCUAGACUGUUCUGUUUUAAACAGAUUCUGUUUUUUCCAUGUAUAGUUUGCUUGUUUUGAUUAUGUUAUGGAUUAUAUGGCGUGGGGGGGGGGUAUAAGAAAUGGAUAAGUUAGAAUGCAUUAAAUUAUGCUAAAAUAAAUGAAGAAUAAAUUUAUAACAGUACCUACAAGUGUUUAUUUUGUUGCCUAUACCAACACAUCUCAUGAAGUUUUAUUGAGUUUUGUGCGAUUGAGGUUUUUGGGUUUUGGGUAUUAUAUCGAUGGACAAAAGAAUGAGAAGCGGAAUGAGUAUAAGAUUGGUGAUGCCCAAGGCACCCCACGCUAAUAUUCUAGGAAGACUCAAGCGUCUAAGAUUUCCUAUGCCCCGGGAAUACAUCCCCUGUUUCGUCUCAAUCCAUUGGUAUGUUACUUGGAGAUACAUUUUUAUUCGUCACAUGAUAUGAGUUUUGCUUGGAACAUCGUUUGCUUUUGUUAAUUUUACUUUCAGUUUUCCACAAUAAUUGUUUGCUGGACACACCCAUUGGAGAUAUAUACACCAUCAUCAUAAUUUUUUAGAAUACUCUAUGUGCUUCACUUAUAUCUUUUGAGCUUAGCAGUUGCUCUAGUACUUCACUUAUAUCUUUUUGAACAUGGUGGCGUGUAGAUUUUAUAGGAAUAAUAUGCUCUUGUUCCUCACUUAUAUUCUUUUGGGAGUUAAUAAAUAAUGAUGUUAAUUUUCAUGGGUCAUAAUGCUAGAUAAAAAAUAAUGAGUGUUCAAUAAGUGAUAACUAAAACCAUCAUGUAGCACAUAUAGAGAAAUUGUGGUUAAUGAUGUUGAUGUGGUGAUAUGAAAGGGUGUGAAUGCAUAAUCAUUAAUUCAGAGAGGUGUUGAUAUUAAUAGAUGUUAAAAAUUCUUGAACAUCUAAAAAAUUAAAAGGGAAUGGUGGUGAUGUGUGAGAAUUUCUAUUCAUCGUUGAAAACCUAGUGUUGUUUCGAGUCGGAGUCACGCUAUGGUUAAUUCCUACCAACCCACUCCCUCGGGGCAUGUAAGUAGUAGUUUGAUUUGUGGUAAGACUAGUAAAAAUUUGCAAUAAGUAUAUGAGUUAUUUAUGACUAAUGUGACACCAUGGACAUACACAAUCUCACCUCCUCAUAUUUGCUAGCUUCACUAGUAUCGUGCAUAGCCCAUUCUCACCUCGAGGAUUGACGCAACUUCCGCCGGUGCAUCCAAAUCCUGUGACAUGAUACCCUGUAAUGCACAUAAGCCUUAUUAUGUACUCCUCAAAAUAGACGCCGUACCUACCUAUUAUGGCAUUUCCAUAGCCAUUCCGAGAUAUAUUGCCAUGCAAAUUCCAUCGUCACUUCACAUGACUAGUUUGUUCAUCACCAUAUUGCUUUGCAUUAUCAUAUUGAGCUGACAUAGUAUUUGUGGCAAAGCCACCAUUCAUAAUGGCAUCUGUGGCAACACCACCAAUUAUCAUAUGCUGAAUAAAUGUCAUGGAAAGAUCAUUUCACAUCCUGGUACACUUCUAGAGGCAUUCCUAUUUGAGUCAUGUUGCUACAUAGUUCAUCAUAUCGAGUUAUCCAUGAGUUGUAAGUAAAUAAAAGUGUGAUGAUCAUCAUUAUCAGAGCAUUGUCCUAGUGAGGAAAUAAAGAUGGAGGAGGCCAAAUAACCCACCAUAUAAAAAAAUGAAUGAGAGAAAAAGAGAGAUGGGACUUAGCUACUAUCCUUUACCACACUUAUGCCCGAGAGUGGCACCAUGUUCAUCAUGUAGAGAGUGGCAUGUUAUAUCAUUCAUAUGCUGGUGGGAAUAAAAAAUAUAUAAACUUGUCUUGUAUAUUCCAAUGACGGGCUUCCUCAAAUGUCUGAGGUCUUCAUGAGCAAGCAAUUUGGAUGCACACCCCACUUAGCUUAAGUGGAGCUUUCAUACACUUAUAGCUCUAGUGCAUCAUUUGCAUUGCAAUCCCUACUUCUUGUGUCAAUAUCCAUCAAUGGGAAUCUCCAUAGCCCGUUGAUAUGCCUAAUUGAUACAAGAGUAUAUUCUCCUAAACCCUAAACCCUAAACCCUAUACCACCUUAUUCUAUUCCACUUUUAUGCUGUGUCUAACGGUUCACGCUGAUGUAUUGCGCGAAGAAUAAAAAGUUGAUGCAUAUUGAAAAGGUAUGAUCCAAUUGCGUGACUUCAGCACCGUGGUGCUUAACAUUUGUAGUUAUGUGGUGAAGAUGGAGCCAUGCCUUGCUAAUAAAAUAAAGAUGGAUAGAGUUGAAUCAAUCUUUGAGGAUUGUAUACUUUGAAAAAUUAAUUGUUUUGCUGCUUAUACUUAUAAAUAUUGUUGUGUUAAUAUAUGUUAAUUCAUUGUUUAUCAGUGAGCAUACAUGCAUAAGCAUACAUCAUGGAUAGCACGUCACAUCAAAAAUUCUGUUUUUAUCAUUUACCUACUCGAGGACGAGCAGGAAUUAGGCUUGGGGAUGCUUGAUACGUCUCGAACAUAUCUAUAAUUUUUGAUUGUUCCAUGGUAUUAUGUUAUCAUUUUAGCACACUUUUUAUGCACUUAUCUACCAAUUUAUUAUUGUUGAGCACUAACCUAUUGACCCAGUGCCCAGUGCCAGUUGCUAUUUUUCUCCGUGUUUUUCCACCUUUCAGGUUUUAGUAGCAAACGAAGCCCAAUUGACCUGAAACUUUUUUGGAUUUUCUUGUGGGCCAAAACAAGACUGUGGAGCAUCUAAAGGAGGCAGGAGAGUGCACGAGGCCCUGACAAGCUAAAAUGGUGCGGCCUGGCGGGGCAGAUGGAUUGUGCCCCCCUCGUGGCUCUCCCGACUCCGUUCUCUAGCCUAUAAAUUCCUAUCUACCCUAAAAUCUUUGAAGGAGGUCCCAAACACUUUUUAUGCCGCCGCAAGUCUUUGUUCUAAAGGGAGGCCAUCUAGAGCUCCUUUUCGACACUCUCCCGGAGGGGGAUUGAUCAUGGAGGGUUUCUUCAUCAACCUUGCUGCCCUCAUGAUGAUGUGCGAGUAGUUCACCAUAAACCUAUAGGUCCAUAGUUAGUACCUAGAUGACAAUCUCUGUGUUUGAUCUUUAAUACAAUGAUCAUCGCAUCUUUGCUUUGAUCCUUCUGAUGUAACUCUUUUGUACGAUGCAUUUGUUGGGAUCCGUUGAAUUGCGGGUCUAUGUUAAUAUUAUUCAUGACAAAUAUUUGAGUAUCCUCUGAUAUAUAAUAUGAUUUUUAUGUGCAUGACUAUGAUAGCUUCGUAAUUCUUUGUGAUCUAUCAAAAUUGUUUGGCUAACUAGAUUGAUAUUUCUUUGGGGAGAGAGGUGCAUUGUAGUAGGUUCAACCUGGCGAGUUUCUAUAACCCAGUGACAGAAGGGGUCAAGUUGUGUAUUUGUGUUGCUGCUAUUAAGGGUAAAAUGACGAGGUUUAUUCAUAUUGGUUGAGCUUACUUUGUCUAGAUCCUGUCUUCUUACUCCAAGCAUUACUUUGUUUGUCAUGAAAUUAAUACGUAGAGAGGAAACAUAGAAGCUCUCUUGAAGUGAAGUAAUAGUAAUAGGUGUAGGCAGGAGUCGUUCUAUUUGUAUAUGGACGUGAUGCCUAUAUUUACAUGAUCAUUGCUGUGAAAAUCACGUAACUAUCCGCUCUUCUAUCAAUUGCCCAACAUUAAUUUGUUUCCCCACCGUGUGCUAUUUUUAUGAGAGAUGCCAUUAGGGAAAACUAUGGCCCCCAGGUCUAUUCACAACAUAUUGCUAAAACCUCCAAUACUUUGCUGCCGUUUAUUUAUUUUUAUUUUAUUUUGCAUUUUACAAUUGUCUACAACUAUCUACACACCUCAUUUUCUUACAAAUUGAGAGACCAAGGGGAUUGACAACCCUGUUGUCUGCGGUGGGUGCAAGCUAUUUGUUCUUUUGUGUGCAACCGCUAAAGACAAUUGUGGUUGAUAUUCCUGUUGGUUUGAUAAACCUUGCUUUCAUAACUAAGGGAAAUACCUACCCAGUUUGUGCUGCGAUAACCCUUUCAUCUUCACGGAAAACCCAACGCAUAUCACGAGUAUCAAUUCACUUGAUUUUGAAUCACCUGAUGCAUGCAAACCAUGCCUCAUGGGCAAGAUGACGAAAACCAUGUUUUCCGGUACAAUGGAAUGGGGCAGGUGACUUGUUGGAGAUCAUACAUGGUGAUGUGUGCGGUCCAAUGAGUGUUGAGGUGCGCCGUGGAUAUUGUUACUUUCUCACCUUCACCGAAGAUUUUAGUAGAUAUGGAUGAAGCACAAGUCUGAAAUCUUUGAAAAGUUCAAGCAAUUUCAGAGUGAAGUUGAGAAUCAUCGUAACAAGAAGGUUAAGUUCAUGCAAUCUGAUCAAGGAGGAGAAUAUCCGAGUUAUGAGUUUGGCAUGCACUUAAGAUAGUGUGGAAUUGUUUCACAACUCACUCCACCUGGAACACCAUAGCGUAAUGCUGUGUCCGUACGUCGUAGUCGUACCUUAUUGGAUAUGGUGCGUUCUAUGAUGUCUCUUACCAAUUUUCCACUAUCAUUUUGGGGAUAUGCAUUAGAGCACUGACAUUCACUUUAAAUAGGGCUCAAUCCAAAUCUUUUGAAAUGACACCGCAUGAAUCAUGGUUUGGCAAGAAACCUAAGCAGUCAUUUCUUAAAGUUUGGGUCUGAGAUGCUUAUGUCAAAAGGAUUUAGCCUGAUAAGCUCAAACCUAAAGCGGAUAAGUGCAUCUUCAUAGGACACCCAAAGGAAACAAUUUGGUAUACCUUCUAUCUCAGAUCCAAGGGAAAAGUGUUUGUUGCUAAGAACGGGUCCUUUCUUGAGAAAGAGUUUCUCUCGAAAGAAUUGAGUGGGAGGGUGGUGGAACUUGAUGAGGUUACUGAACCUUCACUUUAACCAGAGAGUACGAGGGCGCAAGAAGAUGUUCCUGUGGCGCCUACACUAUUUGAAGAGGAAGCUAAUGAUAGUGAUCAUGAAGCUUCAGAUCAAGUUACUACCGAACCUCGUUGGUCGACAAGGAUGUGUACUGCUCCUGAGUGGUAUGGAAAUCCUGUCUUAGAGGUCAUGUCGUUGGACAAUGAUGAACCUACGAGCUAUGCAGAAGCAAUGGUAGGCCCAGAUUCCAACAAAUGGCUAGAGGCCAUGAAAUCCGAGAUAGGAUCCAUGUAUGAAAACAAAGCGUGGACUUUGGAAGUAUUAUGUCAAGGUCGAAAGGCUAUUCAAAACAAAUGGAUCUUUAAGAGAACGAUGGACGUGGACGGUAAUGUCACCAUCUAUAAAGCUCGACUUGUUGCAAAGUGGUUUUAACAAGAGCAAGGAGUUAACUACGAUGAGACUUUCUCACCAGUAGCAAUGCUUAAGUCCGUCAGAAUCAUGUCAGCAAUAGCUGCAUUUUUCGAUUAUGAAAUCUGGCAGAUGGAUGUAAAAACAAUGUUCCUUAAUGGUUCCCUUAAGGAAGAGUUGUAUAUGAUGCAACCAGAAGGUUUUGUCAACCCAGAUAAUGCUGACAUAGUAUGCAAGCUCCCGCAAUCCAUUUAUGGACCGGUGCAAGCAUCUGAGAGUUGGCAUCUUCGCUUUGAUGAGGUGAUUAAAGCGUUUGGGUUUAUACAAGUUUAUGGAGAAGCUUGUAUUUACAAGAAAGUGAGUGGGAGCUAUAUAGCGUUCUAAUAUUGUAUCUGGAUGACAUAUUGCUCAUUAGAAAGAAUAUACAACUUUUGGAAAGUGUGAAGGUAUAUUUGAACAAGAAUUUUUCAAUGAAGGACCUCAGAGAAGCUUCUUACAUAUUAGGCAUCAAGAUCUAUAGAGAUAGAUCGAGACGCUUAAUAGGACUUUCACAAAGCACAUAACUUGAUAAGGUUUUGAAGAAGUUUAAAAUGGAUUAGUCCAAGAAGGGGUUUUUGCCUGUCCUACAAGGUGUGAAGUUGAGUAAGACUCAAUGCCCAACGACUGCAGAGGAUAGAGAGAAGAUGAGUGUCAUCCCCUAUGCUUCAGCCAUAGGCUCUAUCAUGUAUGCAAUGUUGUGGACAAGACCAGAUGUCAGUCUUGCCAUAAGUAUGGACGGAAGGUUUCAAUUUAAUGCAGGAGUGGAACACUAGAAAAUGGUCAAGAAUACGUAUUUAUGGAAUUGUUUCUCGUUUAUGGAGGUGAUGAGGAGCUCGUUGUAAAGGUUACGUCGAUGCUAUAUUUGACACUGAUCCGGAUUACUCUAAGCUUCAAUUCGGAUACGUAUUUAUUCUGAAUGGUGUAGCGGUAAGCUAGUGCAAUUCCAAGAAAAGCGUGGUAGUUGAUUCUACUUCUGAAGGGGAGUAUAUAACUGCUUCAGAAGCAACAAAGCAAGGUGUGUGUAUGAAGCAGUUCAUGAAGGAUCUUGGAGUUGUGUCGAGUGCACUGGAUCCAAUGACCCUGUUUUGUGACAACACUGGUGCCAUUGCUCUAGACAAGGAACCAAUGUUUCACAAAAGGACCAGACACGUAAACCGCCCCUUCAAUUCCAUGUGCGAUUAUAUCAAGGAGGACGACAUAAACAUUUGCAAACUACAUACAUAUCUAAGUGUUGCACAUCCGUUGACUAAAUCUCUUCCACGAGCAAAACAUGAUCAGCACCAGAACUUUAUGGGUUUGAGAUUCAUUACCAUGUAAUACUAGAUUACUGACUCUAGUGCAAGUGGGAGACUGUUGGAAAUAUGCCCUAGAGGCAACAAUAAAACGAUUAUUAUUAUAUUUCCUUGUUCUUGAUAAACAUUUUUUAUCCAUGCUAAAAUUGUAUUGAUGGGAAACUCAAAUACAUGUGUGGAUACAUAAACAACAGAUUAUCCCUAGUAAGCCUCUACAGGACUAGCUCGUUGAUCAAAGAUGGUUAAGGUUUGCUAUCCAUAGACAUGAGUUGUCAUUUGAUAACGGGAUCACAUCAUGAGAAGAAUGAUGUGAUGGGCAGUUCCCAAACCGUAAGCAUAGCAUUUGAUCGUAUGACUAAGUUUAUUGCUAUUGCUUUCUGCAUGUAAAAAUAUCUGUUCCUAAGACCAUGAGAUCAUGCAAAUCAUUGACACCGGAGGAUUACCUUGUGUGUAUCAAACGUCACAACGUAACUGGGUGAUUAUAAAGAUGCUCUACAGGUAUCUCCGAGGGUGUCCAUUGAGUUGGCAUGGUUCAAGACUAGGAUUUGUCACUUGUAUGACAAAAAGGUGUCUCUAGGUCCACUCGGUAAUACAAAAUCACAAUAAGCUUGCAAGCAAUGUGACUAAGGAGUUAGUCACAAUAUCUUCUAUUACAAAACGAGUAAAGAGACUUGUCGGGAACGAGAUUGAACUAAGUAUGGAGAUACCGACGAUCGAAUCUCGGGCAAGUAACAUACCGAUGGACAAAGGGAACUAUAUACGGGAUUGAGUGAAGCGUUGACAUCGUGGUUCGACCGAUAUAGAUCUUCAUAGAAUAUGUAGGAAUCAAUAUGGGCAAGCAGGUCCCGCUAGUGGUCAUUUAAUGUAGAGGUGUCUCGGUCAUGUCUGGAUAGUUCUCUAACCCGCACUGUCUGGACAAUUAAGGUUAAGUGACAAUAUAAAUAUAUUUGAGUUAAUAUGUUGGGGACUAAAGGUUGUUUGGAGUCCUGGAUGAGAUCCCAGACAUGACAGGGAGCUUUGGAAUGGUUAGAAGGUAAAGAUUGAUAUAUGGGAAGUUGGUGUUCAAAUUCCGGAAGUGUUUCAAAAAGUUAUCGAUUUUGAUAGAGGUUCCUGAAGUGUUUUGGGGGUCCACCUACUCGGAGGGCCCUACAGGGUGUGAGAGGUGGCACACCAGUGCUGGUGGGCUGGCCGCCCCUCCCACCUAAGGCCCAUGCGGCCAAGGGAGUGGGCUGGCCCAGAGGAGGCUGCCGCCCCACUGUCCUUGGGGGCCAAGGCAGUCUUGGAUGCUGCCCCACCCCUAGGGGAAACCAUAGGGAGCCACCCUCCUCCCUUUCCCCUAUAUAUACUAGAGGAGAGGGAGGGCAACCGCACCCAAAAGCCAUGACACAGCCCUCCCCUCUCUCUCUCUCUCUUGAAGUUUUUCUUCACCGUCGCGAUCAGUAUAGCGCUUGGUGAAUCCCUGCCGAGAUUGCACCACCACCACCGCCACCACGCCAUCAUGCUGUCAGAGAACUCAGCUACUACUUCACCUACGCUCGCUGGAUUGAGGUGGUGAAGGCGUUAUCGAGCUGUACAUAUGCUGAACGGGGAGGUGUCAUCCGUUCGGUGCUAGAUCGUGAUUGGAUUGCGGGACAGAUCGUGAUUGGAUCCCGAAGAGGUUAGAAUACAUUAACCACGUUUCUUAAUGCUUCCACAUAGCGAUCUACAAGGGUAUGUAAAUGCACUCCCGUCUCAUAACAGUUGUUAUCCAUAGAUAGAUCUUGGGUGUUCAUACGGAAUUUGUUCUUUCCCAUGCAACGUUCCCCAACAGGUCGGGCUCUUCUUCUUCUUUAAGUUGAUGACAUGAUUAUUAGUGGCGAUGACCAAGAGUAUAUUGCCAUUGUGAAGGCUCAUCUCAAUGAGUAGUUUCUUUUGUAUUGUCUUGGCUCUCUUCGCUAUUUUCUAGGGAGAGAGGUCUCUUCUACCUUAGGUAGUUUUUUCAUUUUCAAGGAAAAGUAUAUCCAGGAUCUUCUUGCUCGUGCUGCUCUUACUAAUGAGCGCAUUGUUGAGACUCCCAUUGAGCUCAGUGUCCACCUCCGUGAUACUUAUGGUGACCCCUUGUCUGAUCCGAGCGUUAUCAUCAUCUUGCUGGCUAUCUUGUCUAUCUAGCUAUCACUCCUCGGUAUAUCUCUUAUCUGGUUCAAAUUCUCAGCCAGUUUGUUGCUGCUCCCACUUCGGUUCACUAUAGUCACCUCCUUCAUGCUCUUUGAUAUCUUCGUGGGACGAUCUCUCAUUGUCUAUUCUUUCCUCACUCCAGUUUCUUACAACUUCAGGCCUAUUCGGAUGCUACGUGUGCUGGUGAUCCUUCUGAUCGCCAUUCACUUUUUACUUACUGUGUUUUUCUUGGAGGUUCUCUCAUUGCCUGGAAGACGAAGAAAUGGGCGACAUUUUCACGUUCGAGUGCAGAGGAUGAGUUGCAAGCUAUGGCUCUUUUGACGGCAGAGGUGACUUGGUUACGGUGGUUCCUUCAGGAUUUUGGUAUUUCUGUCACUACACCGACUCUACUAUUGUGUGAUAGUACAUGUGUUAUUAGCAUUGUGCACAACCCUGUGAAGCAUGACCUCACUAAGAAUAUUGGUGUUGAUGCUUUCUAUGUCCGCGCUGGUGUGCAUGAUCAGGUUAUUGCUCUUCAAUAUGUGCCUUUCGAGUAGAGUACUAUAUAUAUAUAAUAUAGCCAUGUAGUAUUUUGUAUUUAGCCCAUUCUAUAAGGGGUUUACUGCAUAUUUCCUACACCUAUACACGCAUAUAUACUAGCCUAUGGCCCCAUGGAAAUAAAAAGUUGCAUAUUUCCUAACAACUCAAUACUCUCAUGGUUUAAGGAACUGAGCGUAUGUUAACUUUUCGUGUUAUUAACUAUAGACUUGCGUGGAUAACAUCUCGAAGUAUAACAUGCAAUAUGAGUCAUUUUGAUGUGGUUGUUGUGAUAACAUCAUACUUUCAAUGUCGUUGGCAUCCAUGUUACACUUAACUAAUGCAUAUGAUAGAAAACAUAACCAUCAUAAAACACUUGAGCUAAUCCUAGAGGCAACACUAGGAAUCAAGUUUUACCGUUUAUUAUUCUACAGAUACUUAUGAGUUUCCUCUAAAUCAUACAUUCAAGAACCAUAACAGCUAUAAUAUAGAAUGUAAACAUUUAACUUUAAAAUAAAUUAAAUUAUUUUGUGCCCGUCCACUCCCGCAGCGUGACAAGGACUAUCCCCUCCUCCCGGGUCGCACGCGCAUGCGGCUUCGGAGGCCCCAAACCUUAGGUCUAGCAGGCCUCUGAUCCCCUCUCUCGGCCGCCGCCACCGCCAUCGGAACGGGCGGUGGCGGCCAAGCCCGACCAGCGAAGGCAUCGAGUGCUGGCUAAGCCCUCUCGACGGUCUCCCUUCACGCGGAGCGGGACGUCACUUGGGGCAACCAUGUAGGUGGGGUGGCCGACAAAGCGUUUCGUGGGAAGAUGGAGUGUGAGAGCACGGGAUCACACCGGGGAACACGUCAGGAAGGUGGAUUCUGGCUAGGUGCGCUGGAGGGUGGUGGACAAGGUUGGUGUGCCGGUUUUGCUCGUGACGGUGACUUGAACCCAACCAUGGAGGUGGCGGCGCCAAGGUGGCCCUGUGAGGAAGGAUCCUGGUGGGUAGCGGGUGGCCGUCUGGCUCUGUGUGAGAGGCGCUCAGUGUUACCUCGGGAGAGCUGGCGCUGGGGAGUGCUCGGAGAUGCUGGUCAUAUCCGACAUCGUGGCAGUCCCCUGGUAGGUGAAGGCCGACGUGGUGAAUGUGGCCAUUUCAUGGCAUGGUUGCUUGCGGCUGCUCCUCGCCCGUUGUUGUUGGUGGUCAGAGUCGCGCUUUCUCGGCAGUGCAGGUGGCGGAGAUCCAUUGUUGCACAACAUCGAUGGCAAUUUUUUGCGGUGACGAUGGUGUGAGGCAUCUUGGACAGUGCUGCCCGAAACCUUGACAGAGUGGAGAUGCACACCAUUACGGAUGAAAGUCCUGUUUGGUUUUGGCCGGACGGGCAACGAUGGCACUCGUGUGUGUCGUUUUCCUCUUUAGAGGCGCCUUUGAGUGUGUCGCCAUUUUCCUCGCUUGCUUGGUGUUGGAGUGGUCUCCGGGAAAAAUCCUUAAUUCUGUUAUGGAUUGGUAUGAUGGCGGCGUUUUUGACGUUGUCCCUCUGUUAGGAGCAUCGUGCACGACGACAUGGAGUUCCUUUGUUGCCCUACUCCGGUGUUCACCGAUGCCCUUUGACUCUCAAAACGUCAAUGCUAAUCAUUGAUUCUAUCUCUUUUCGAAGGUUUGAUCUAUAUGUUUUCAUCAAUUACCAAAAAGGGGGAGAUUGAAAGCACAAUUGCUCCCUAAGGUGGUUUUGGUAAUUAAUCACAACAUAUGCAUCAUUGGACUAAUGAGGUUAUUCAAGUAUAUUUCAGAAAAGUUCAAAGUUGCUUUGGCUAUAAGAUUGAGUGGUGAUGCGCCUUUGGUGAAGGAAGGAAUAGUAUUGGCUAAAGCUUCAAGCAACAAGACUCUCCAUUUUACACUUUGUGAGAAAUCACAUUUGAGUCCUUAGGAAAGCCAAUACUAUUAAAAGGGGAGGAGGUGUUAUGAUCAAUUUGUUGCUCAAGUGCUUAGAGUUAGCCACCAAAAAUACUCAGCCAGUCUUCCACAAGAUAUAUCUGUCCCAAGCCAAAUUUCCAAAAUCAGUGCCACCAACAUUUAUUACUCGACCAUACCGAUUUCAGACUUAGACAGAUCCCAGACAAACCCUACCUUUUAGGUGCAACCUAAUCUGCAUCGGUGCUACUGAUUUCAGGUGACCAACCUUUUCUUGCCUCGGUACACAAAAUCGGAAUUUCUGAGUUUGAGUAUCGGUGUCACCGAGUUGUGUCAUCUGACCAUUAUUCACCUUUUCGGUUCUAGCGAGUUGUGUACAUCGGUUCCAUCGAGAUUCAAAGUUGCUACCUGUUGAGCAAGUCGGUACCAUCGAGUUUGUAACUUCGGUGUCACCGAGUUGGUCAAUUAUGGUGUAAUAGUUGGAUUUUGGAGGUUGCCUUUAUAUACCCCUCCACCUACCUCUUACUUGCAUAGGAAGCACUCAGAACACACACUUCAUUGCCACGUCCAUUUUUCUUAGAGAGAGCCACCUACUCAUGUGUUUAUACCAAGAUAUUCCAAUCCAAUCAUUCGAAACUUGAUCUCUAGCCUCCCCAAGUUGCUUUCCACCAAAUCAAUCUAUCAUACCCAUGCCUAUUCUGUGAGAGUGUGAUUGUGUGUUAAGGAGACUAUCUUUAGAAGCACAAGAGAAAGUAGUUCAUCGUUCUACCACAUCUAUUACCUUUUAGAGGGUGGUGCCUCCUAGAUUGGUUAGGUGUCGCUUCAGAGCCUCCUAUUUCGUGUUGAGGAUUUGAACCAAGAUGUUUGUAAGGGCGAGGAGAUCACCUACUUCGUGAAGAUCUGCCGUGAGUGAGGCUAGUCCUUCGUGGACGGAAGCCUUGGUGGAACAGGCAAGGCCGCUUCUUCCUGGAUCCCUUGUGGGUGGAGCCCUCCGCGGACUCUCGCAGCCGUUACCCUCUAUGGGUUGAAGUCUCCACUAACAUGGGCACACGAUAGCGCCACCUAUCGGAACCAUGCGAAAAAUUGCCGUGUCAAUAUCUUGAGUUUUAUCUCCCUACCGUAUCUUACUUUACACUUGCAUGUUUUACUUUCCACUGCUAUACUCUUAGAUGUGCAUGUGUAGGGUGUGAUUGACUAGUCAUAGUUGCUUAAACUGGUCCACACUAAAAAUUGUGAAAAGGCUAAGUUAUUAUCUUGUCAAGUACUUUAAUCACCCCCCUCUAGACAUACUUUCGAUCCUACAAUUGGUAUCAGAGCUUUGGUCUCCAUUGCAUUGGUUUCACAACCUAGGAGAGUAAGACGUGUGGUGAGGGAAGUUAUCACUGUAGAUGUCCAUAUUUCGAUGGCACUAAUUUUGCUAGUUCAAAGCAUAAAAUGAGAACACAUAUUCUUGAUUAUAAUCAUGCCGUUUGGGUUAUUAGUCGUGUUGGUGUGCAAGGUGAUUUCUUUGGAAAAGGGAGAGAACCGGAUAGUGAUACGACAGCGGAAGAGUUGAAGAUCUUGCAAUUCAAUGCACAAGCCCAUGACAUCAUAUUCAACUUCCUAUGCCCCGAAGAAUUAAACAAAAUCAGUCACCUUGAGAAUGCAAAUGAAAUUUGGGAUACUUUGAUUGAUAUGCACGAAGGUACCGAUUCUAUCAGAGAAUCCAAGUUGGAUGUGCUUCAAAGUCAGCUUGACAAGUUCAAGAUGAAGGAUGGUGAAGGAGUUGCUGAAAUGUACUCUAGGCUAGCUCUCAUCACAAAUGAGAUUGCCGGCUUAGGAAGCGAAGAGAUGACCGAAAUAUUCAUCACCAAGAAGAUACUUAGAGCUUUGGAUGGAAGAUAUGACACCGUGUGCACAUUAAUCCAAAUAAUGCCCAACUACAAAGAUGUAAAGCCUACUGAAGUCAUUGGAAGGAUUGUUUCUCAAAUGUCUCUCAAAGAUAGAGAUGAGUUACACAAAAAGUCAAGCGGUGCUUACGAAGCUUCAUUAGAUGCUCCCGCUACUUCAGGUGACAACCUUGUUACCAAUGAAGAGAUAAGCAUCAUGGUCAGAAAAAUCAACAAGUUCUACAAGAGUAGAUGUAAAGAGAGAAGCUCAAGACAUGAUGAGAAGCGUUCGUCCAGUCGUGACCGAAACUGCUACAACUGUGGGAAGCCUGGACACUACUAUAAUGAGUGCUCAGAUCCCUACAAACGAAGAGAAGAUCCACCUCGAAGACGAAGCUCAAGAGAUGAGUCACCUCGUACAAAGAGAGAAGGAGUAGAGAAGAUCAUUAUGAACGAAGACACUCUCAGAGAGGCAAGGAAUUGGAGAAGAAGGACAAAUACACCAAGAGCAGCUCUAGAAGAAUACAUCAAGAUCAUGUUGGUGAAUGGGUUUCUGGAUCUGAGUCUCACAAUCAAUCCGAGAGAAGUUAUCACUCCAACUCCGACUAUAGUCUAGAUGAAGGUGUUGCCGGCAUUGCACUUGUUUCCUCCAACUCCUACAAGAUAUUUGAUUCACCAAAUGAAGGGAUUGGAAACUGCUUCAUGGCAAAAGGGACCAAGGUAUCACACCCCGAGUAUUUUGACUUUGAUAGUGAUGAGGAUGAAUUGUUAGGAGAAGAUGACUAGCUCCUUGAUAAGACUAUCGAUAAUGUUGAAAAUGAACUUGCUAAUUUUCUUGCUAGUCAAGAGAAACCGAAUGAUGAUGAUAAGAGAGAGACUGAACGACUAAGUAAAUAAUUAGACACUCUUAAGUUAACUCAUGAAAAUACUCUAGAAGAUCAUAGAGAGCUUACAAGAACUCAUGAGAAGCUACGCUUCGAGAAGCUAAAUUUAGGGAAAGAGCAUGAGUUCCUAAAAUUAAUCAAUGAUGAUCUUCGAAUGAAGAGUUCCUCUUAUCUAGACAAACGAUUACUCUUGUCUACUUUUGUUCCACAAGUUAAACCUAAGAACACUAGUAACAAAGGCAAUAAAGUUUCUUCAUCUAGUAACAACAAUGCUAAAGCUAAAUUAAAUGAUAUUGUUGAUAGUAGCUCUCUAGAUUCGACUAAUGAUUCUCUUAGACAAGUUACACUUUAAUAAUAAAAUGAUUUAUUGAAAGAGAUUAUAGAGAGAGGUGUCUUCAAGAGUCUUGCUGGAAGUAAGCAAUUUGAGGAAAUUGUGCUCAAGCAAGGAGGACAUCAGAAGAACUAAGGUGUUGGCUACUUGACCAUUGUCGUGGGUAUAAGUCUGACAGUAGAUGUGUAGGGUACGAAAGGAUGGGCAGAGCCUUAGCUACGGCGAGGUUGUAUGAGCUCAGGCCCCUCUACGGUGGAGGUAAUAUCCCUACGUCUCAGUGCUCUGGGAGCUUGUUGUCGAGUGGAAUAUGGAUUACAGUGAAUCGCUAACCCCUGCACCAGUGGGGAAGGGUGGCUUAUAUAGAGUGCGCUGUCCUUCACAACGGUUCGGUGCACAGGGGUGGAGUAGUGGCGAAUAAAUGCCUAUGUUACAAGUAACGUGCGUCUUAAAUGCUAAUAAAGGCAUAUGGAAACGUAUGACCAUUUCCCUCCCGGGGGGUUACGAUGCACAGAGUGGAAUCCAGUCGGUUAGUUUGAUACACUCCGAAUGCUCAUCUCCGACUGGGUGCUGGAGGAUUUGUCACCAACUGGAUGAUGGGAAGUCCUUAAUUCAGUCGGAACUGACUAAGGGCCUUAUCCCUUAUGAAGGGUAGUCCUUGGGUAGGACUUAUAGGGCAGGCCUAUGACCCUACCCUAGGACUAUAACCCCAUCAUUAGUCCCUGAAUGGAUUGGGGUUGGAACGACGAAGCGAUGCUUGGAGUACGGAUCCGACUGGUACGGAUGCGACUUUGGCGUUGUUUGCCUCGAUCCAUUUUAUCUUCUUUGACCCAUGAUCCGAGUGGAUGUAUUUGUGAAACGAACCAUCAGGGACCGAGUGCUUCCGCGGUAUCUUUUGACGUGACCAGUCAACUGACGGCGACGGAUUUUCUGGGAUCCUCAAAUUUCGGUUGCCGCGCGCUCAGCGGGGAUGACAACAUCGCAAUCGAGUAGUACUUGAUGCCUCGAUUCCCGCGCCUUCAACUGCUCCACUAAUAUCGCAGCAACCGGUCGGGGGAUAAGAUUUCAGGGCCACUUGCUAGUGUCCAAGUCGGAACCCUAUUUAAACUUCUGCGGCGAGGGUUUUUUGUUACACUCACCGGAUAACUUGCAUUUGCUCCGCUUCUCUCGCCAUCCCGUGCGCAUCCCAAGCUCCUUCCUUCUCCUUCACUCUUGCGAAUCUGCAGCCUCCGCCAUGACAAAGGGGCAGACUAGCAAGCUAAAGGCGCGGAAGAAGAAGGCGGCGGCUCCUGCUCAGCGGCGGCAGCGAGCGCUACCGGCGGGUUGGAUCCAGGGGGACUUCCUCCCCUCCACGAUGACGGAGGAGAACUUGCUGGAGUUGGUGGAGCAUGGAAUGAUUGCGAACAAGUCGUGGAGGUUGCCGGCGGAGAGCGAGACCGAGCCGGCGCCUCGGGAGGGGGAGCGCGUCUUGCUGCUCAGCCACGUGCACCGAGGUUUCUCUCUGCCUCCCCAUCCCUUCUUCAAAGGUAUAAUGAACCACUUCGGGGAGCAGCUCCACCAUUUUCCCCCAAACGCCAUAGCUCAUCUCUCUGCCUUCGUCGUGUUGUGCGAGUGUUUCAUCGGCUGUCCUCCCCAUUGGGGGCUUUUCAAACACAUCUUCUCUGCUAGAUCCCAAACCAUCAAACGACUUAACAAGUUGGAUGAUAAAAUUCACCUCCUCCGGCUCUGCGGAGGCUUAGGCUUCCAAAAGAAGAGUAAAAGUAGCUAUCCCGCUCUUCAGUUGAGUGAAUCUGUUAGGAACUGGCAGUCGACAUGGUUCUACUGCCACGAUGUUGCAUGCCCGAAUGCCACAACUAGACUGCCUCCUUUUAGCUUAGACCGACCGGCUCCGCCUAAGCCCCUUGCGCUCACGAAGGCGGAGAAGGUUCAGAUCCGGCCUCUGGUAGAUGCGCUUGUAGAUGUCGUCUGUAGGGGAGUCACCGGCAUAGAUUUGCUGGAGGUUUUCCUGGGUCAGCGUAUCCAGCCCCUGCAAGCUCGACACCACGCCAUGUGGCACUACACGGGGCCUUAGGACUCCACUUGGACUAAUGUCGAGUGCGUGACCGGGGAUACGGUGGCGUCGUGGGUCCUCAACAUCACGGGCGCCUGCGAAAACCCCAGAGGGGCCCGGCUAGUGAAGGCCUUCCGCGCGGACAACCCUCCUCCGAAUGAGGUGAGUAAAACUCGUCUAGUGCGCGCAAUUGUCUUAGAUUUAUCGCUUUCUUAAAUCACUGUCUGACGUCUGAUGUUGUCGACUGUAUCUUGCGCAGGAGUGGACUAACUGGUUUUCCCCUGUCUCGAACGGGAAUCCGGCCGAGGAGGAGGAAGGCAGCCAGGAGGGCAGCGUGGAGAGUGUCGAGUACGUCUCCGACACUAGGGAGACGAAGGAGCAGCCCGAAGAAGAAGAGGAGGAAGAUGAAGAGCAGAACUCGCCACCCCCACCGCCAGAGCUUCAAACCAAACGCCGUCAUGAACCCGCGGUUCCUCCGGCCCCUCCAGCAUCCUCGAGUGCCCCGCCAGCCGCUCCUGUGGUCCCGAGCGCCUCACCAGCCGUUCCCGUGGUUCCGAGUGCUCGGAGCACCAAGAGGACCAGGGACGCUGCUGCUGAGCCCGCGGGUCAGCCCUCUAAGGUGGCCAAACCGAGUGGAUCCAAGCCUCGGAAGGCUUUACCGCGGAUGAGGGUCACAGUUCCCGUGACCUCAAUGUAAGUGCAUUGUUCUUCUAUCUUCUUCCGGUAUUCGAUUGAACUCCUGUUUAUUGGUUGAAUGAAUUUCACUCGACAGAGUUGCCACCUCUGCCACCUCUGCGGCACGCCAGGGGGACGAUCCCAUGGACAUGGACAACGUUUUCACAUCCCAGCUAGGUGCGUUGUGGCGAUUCCGAGAGUUUACAUUAUUGCAUCACAAAUUCUAUCUUUGGUCUUGCCUUUUUCCUGUGGUCUCACGCCGUUCAGUUGGGCUUCCCUCAGGGGUGAUUUAUGUGGAGGAGGGCGACCAGGGGAGGUCUGAGCAAGCUGCGGUGCCUGUCCUUGAGGCUGUUCCGCCGGUUACUGCUCUCGCCAUGGACGCGACGCCGACUGAGGCGAUGCCGUCGACUGAAACGGCACUGAUCGCUGCUGAACCGACUGGAGCAGGCCUUGGGAUUCCCAAGGAGUCUCCUACGAUGCCAGGUCUGUCUACUGUCCAGUACAACCUCCAGCGCCUCCCGCAAGAUCAGGUGGGAGCUGCCAAGGGAGCCUACGACUCCAUCACGUCCGUGUACAAGCGAAGCUUGGAACUGCGGGACGAUAUCCGAGUAAGUGGGCUAGUAAGUAUUUACUUUCCUCUUGUAACCCAGUGGGUGUGAGCAAUGCACUCGGAUAGAGUAUGAUUAUUUUGCAGUCGGUUCACUCUUAGUGAACCCAGUGGGUGUAGUCCCCGAGACUUCUGUCGAGUGCUUGCACCGGCAGUUGUCUUUAUACAAACUUCCUUUAACUUGAUCAGAUCAAAAACUAAUCUGUUCGAAUGUUACCGGUGGGGGCACUCCGAGUGCACCUACUGGAUGAGUCCCCGAGAGUAAUUUUACUUAGGUCGGGUAGUAGUAACCUCAUAGGUUUGUUUGUUGUCAUGUAUCUCAAUAGGGCUGACCUGUUUGAGCUUCAUGCCAGUGGGGUCACUCUUAGUGAACCCACUGGGUGUAGUCCCCGAGACCGCUGUCGGCUGCUUGCGUCUACAGGGGUCUGAAGAACUUAGAAUUUUUAUUGUUGUCCUUGUUGAAUUUGUCUGAUCGUCUUCCGACGCUGACUUGCAGAAAACUUGCGAGAUGGGAGCAGCGUACGAGACUCUGAGGGCUGAAAAGGUUCAGUUUGCUGGGGAACUGGAUGCAGCAAUGGUUGCGUUGGCUGGAUAGAAGGAUGUUCUGGCUGAACGAGAAAAGUCCUUGGAGGAGGCCCAUGAGGCAAACAAGGCAUUGACUGCUGAAGUGGAUAAAAUGGGGAAACAAAGGACCGAGCUGAUGGGACAGAUGGAAGUGUUGAACAUGCGGUGCAUAGCACAGGAAAAUUACGUUAGUGACUGGGCCCGGAAGAUGAUAGCUCUUCUCGGUGGUAAGUUCUAUUUUUCCGAGUGCUUGUGGACUGUGCAUUUCAUUCUGCGCUUAUUGUUCGCUCGUCCUGUCUUUGCAGAUUUUUGCAUGGACGCUGAGGUGGAAGCAGCUGACGUUGAGCGUUCGAUUCUUCCGAACAUUCCACUCGGCGAUGACGCCAAUCGAGAUAUGCUCCAAGCGCACAUUCGCCUGGGAAAAGUGGGACCUUUCAUCGGUCGACUGAGAGAGGUCGUCGGCCGAAUCGACACGGAGCUUUGGCCUGAAGACGAGACUCGGCACGAGAUGGAAGGCUUCAUGACUUGGCUGGAGGAGGUCCCGAACCGAGUGCACGCGUGGAAGAAGUCUGCGGCUCGCUGUGGUGCGGACGUCGCUCUGUCGCUUGUCCGAGUGCACUGCAAGGAAGCUCGCGAAGAGAAGCUGAAGGCGUUGCAGGCCGCCAACACGAAAAAGCUUCGAUUCGAAGACUUCAUGGAGACCUUCCUUGAGAUCGCCACUCGCAUCGCUGACGGGAUCGACCUCGACACAUUCGUGGAGCCUGCCAGUCCCAGUGCCAAUCGUGAUGACGUUUAAGAAAACUUUUUGCCUCGGUAUGCCGAGUGUUGGUUGUAAGAAACUUUGGCCACUGCUGUUGGCCGCCACAUUCUUGGUUCGGUGUGGAUAAGCUUGAUCUACACCGAACCGACUAUCUUUAGGCGAACUUUGAAUUUCAAUUGAAACUUUUGCUCUUCUUCUGCCAAAGAAUUGUUGACACGAUUUUGGCUCGUGGUUUUUGUUUGGCGUUUCUUGGUGAAGCCAAUAGAAAACAUGCGGAGCAUGUAUUUGUCGGUUGUCUUGACAUCUGCAUGAGCCUCACUGAGGGUCUGCUGAGUCCCCGAGUGGAUCUGUAGGAUACACUCGAAGGCAAUUGAGUACUUAGGCGAUUCGUGAUCGCUACUAAGUCUUCGAGUGCGACUGUAAGGUCGUACUCGGAGCGAGUUGCUACUCAUGUAAUUGUCAGUAGUCUUGACAUCUACAUGAGCCUCAAUGAGGGUCAUGCUACUCAUGUAAUUGUCAGUUGUUUUGACAUCUACAUGAGCCUCACUGAGGGUCUGUUGAGUCCCCGAGUGUAUAUGUAGGAUACACACGAAGGCCAUUGAGUACUUAGGCGAUUCAUGAUCGCGGCUAAGUCUUCGAGUGCGACUGUGAGGUCGUGCUCGGAGCGAGUUGUUACUCAUGUAAUUGUCAGUGGUCUUGACAUCUACAUGAGCCUCAAUGAGGUUCUGCUAUUCAUGUAAUUGUCAGUGGUCUUGACAUCUACAUGAGCCUCAAUGAGGUUCUGCUACUCAUGUAAUUGUCAGUGGUCUUGACAUCUACAUGAGCCUCAACGAGGUUCUGCUAAGCCUCCGAGUGGAUCUGUGAAAUACACUCGAAGGAAGCUUUCUAUUUAAGCGAUUCUUGAUUGCAGACAAGUCUCCGAGUACGACGUUAAGUGUACACUCGGAGAAAGUGUGUAGUUAGGCGAUUCGCGAUCGCAGCUAAGUCCUCGAGUGCGACGGUUAGUGCACACUCGGAGAAAAUUUGUACUUAGGCGAUUCUUGAUCGCAGCUAAGUCUCCGAGUGGGACGUUUAGUGCACACUCGGAGAAAGUUAAUACUUAGGCGAUUCUGGAUCGCAGCUAAGUCCCCGAGUGCGACGUUUAGUGCAUACUCGGAGAAAGUUAGUACUUAGGCGAUUCUGGAUUGCAGCUAAGUCCCCGAGUGCGACGUUUAGUGCACACUCGGAGAAAGUUAGUACUUAGGCGAUUCUGGAUCGCAGCUAAGUCCCCGAGUGCGACGUUUAGUGCACACUCGGAGAAAGUUAGUACUUAGGCGAUUCUUGAUCGCAGCUAAGUUUUUUUUGAGACUAGAGUCUACGACCAUGGAAGAAUUUUGAAUCUGCAAAAACUCAAUCUUCUUUGUAUUAUUUCACCGAUACUUGUUCUUUACAUUGCUUCAGUCGACGGUCACGUGUAGAAGCGCUUCAGGAGAUCUCCGUUCCAUGCUCGCGGCUCGUCCGUUUCCCUGUCGAUGUUGUAGAGUCGGUAUGCUCCAUUGUUCAGCACCUUGGGGAUGAUGAAGGGUCCUUCCCAGGCGGGAGCCAACUUGUGAGGUCUCUGCUGAUCCACUCGGAGCACCAGGUCGCCUGCUUGGAAUGUACGACUCCUGACGUGUCGCGCUUGAAAGCGCCGCAGAUCUUGUUGAUAAAUGGUUGAGCAAGUCAGUGCCAUCUCGCGCUCCUCCUCUAGAAGAUCCACUCCGUCUUGCCUUGCUUGUUCUGCUUCAGCUUCGGAGAAGAGUUCAACUCGUGGAGCGUUGUGAAGCAAGUCACUCGGAAGGACUGCCUCUGCUCCGUAAACGAGGAAGAACGGGGAUCGCCCUGUAGAUCUAUUUGGGGUUGUGCGGAGACCCCAAAGCACCGAAGGUAGCUCGGUGACCCAUGCGCCAGCGACAUGUCCCACCUCUCGCAGUAGUCGAGGCUUCAAACCAUCCAGAAUAAGUCCAUUCGCCCGCUCUGCUUGCCCGUUUGUUUGGGGAUGCGCCACAGAUGCAAAAUCCACUCGGAUACCUUGGCCUGUAUAGAAACCUUUGAAUCUGUCCGAGUCAAAGUUUGUUCCAUUGUCAGUGAUUAUGCUGUGAGGUACCCCAAAUCUGGAGAUGAUGUCCGUGACAAACUUGAUGGCCGUAAGGGCGUCGAAUUUUUUGAUGGGCUUGGCUUCGAUCCACUUUGUGAACUUGUCGACUGCCACCAACAGAUGUGUGAAUCCGCCUUGGCCUGUCCUGAAUGGACCGACUGUAUCUAAUCCCCAUACCGCAAAUGGCCAAACAAGAGGGGUUGUCUUCAAUGCAGAUGCUGGCUUGUGGGACUUGUUAGAGUAGAACUGAGAGCCUUCACAUCGGUCGACCAUAUCUUUCGCCAUUUCAUUUGCCUGCAGCCAGAAGAAGCUAGCCCUGAAUGCUUUGGCGACGAUUGCUCUUGAAGAGGCGUGAUGACCGCAGGUUCCCGAGUGAAUUUCCUCCAGGAUUAACUGUCCCUCCUCUGGGGAGAUGCAUCGUUGAAGGACGCCUGAAACGCUUUCCUUGUACAAAUGGCCAUCGAUGACAGUGAACGACUUUGACCUGCGGACGAUCCUNNNNNNNNNNNNNNNNNNNNNNNNNNNNNNNNNNNNNNNNNNNNNNNNNNNNNNNNNNNNNNNNNNNNNNNNNNNNNNNNNNNNNNNNNNNNNNNNNNNNUUGCAUGUCCAUUCUCAGGCACCGGCAAAAGUUGGGUGAAUUUCAUGAAUGCAUGCAUGCACUUCAUGUGCAACCCAUGGGUGUCGGUAUGGACGGAAGGGGUGCUACAACGCCAUCUUGCAACUACCCUUCAUGAAAAAAAUUCAUUUUUCCACGCUUCACGAUGAACUUCACAAGACGACACGUCAAAUUUUAGAAUUUUUUUACAAUCCGUGCUUUUUUAUGAAUUUCCAUUCAAAAACCGGCAUAAACAGAUGCCGGACGUGACGCAACGUGCGUUUGGUCUCCGAUUUCGUUGAAUUUUUGCAUGGCAUCAUUGCAUGUCCAUUCUCAGGUGCCGGCAAAAGUUCGGUGAAUUUCAUGAAUGCAUGCAUGUACUUCAUGUGCAACCCAUGGGUGUUGGUAUGGACGGAAGGGGUGCUACAACGCCAUCUUGCAACUACCCUUCAUGAAAUUUUUUCAUUUUUUUCCACGCUUCACGAUGAACUUCACAAGGCGGCACAUCAAAUUUUAGAAUUUUCUAACAAUCCGUGCUUUUUUAAUGAAUUUCCAUUCAAAAACCGAUACAAACAGAUGCUGGACGUGACGCAACGUGCGUUUGGUCUCCGAUUUUGUUGAAUUUUUACGUGGCAUCAUUGCAUGUCCAUUCUCAGGUGCCGGCAAAAGUUGGGUGAAUUUCAUUAAUGCAUGCAUGUACUUCAUGUGCAACCCAUGGGUGUCGGUAUGGACGGAAGUGGUGCUACAACGCUAUCUUGCAACUACCCUUCAUGAAAUUUUUUCAUUUUUUUCCACGCUUCACGAUGAACUUCACAAGGCGGCACGUCAAAUUUUAGAAUUUUCUGACAAUCCAUGUUUUUUUUAUGAAUUUCCAUUCAAAAACCGGCACAAACAGAUGCCAGACGUGACGCAACGUGCGUUUGGUCUCCGAUUUCGUUGAAUUUCUGCGUGGCAUCAUUGCAUGUCAAUUCUCACGUGCCGGCAAAAGUUGGGUGAAUUUCAUGAAUGCAUGCAUGUACUUCAUGUGCAACCCAUGUGUGUCGGUAUAGACGGAAGGGGUGCUACAACGAAAUCUUGCAACUACCCUUCAUGAAAAAAUUUCAUUUUUUUCCACGCUUCACGAUGAACUUCACAAGGCGGCACGUCAAAUUUUAGAAUUUUCUGACAAUCCGUGCUUUUUAUGAAUUUCCAUUCAAAAACCGACACAAACAGAUGCCAGAUGUGACGCAACGUGCGUUUGGUCUCCGAUUUUGUUGAAUUUUCGCGUGGCAUCAUUGCAUGUCCAUUCUGAGGUGCCGGCAAAAGUUGGGUGAAUUUCAUGAAUGCAUGCAUGUACUUCAUAUGCAACCCAUGGGUGUCGGUAUAGACGGAAGGGGUGCUACAACGCCAUCUUGCAACUACCCUUCAUGAAUUUUUUUCAUUUUUUCACGCUUCACGAUGAACUUCACAAGGCGGCACGUCAAAUUUUAGAAUUUUCUGACAAUCCGUGCUUUUUUUUAUGAAUUUCCAUUCAAAAACCGGGACAAAGAGAUGCCGGACGUGACGCAACGUGCGUUUGGUCUCCGAUUUCGUUGAUUUUUUGCGAGGCAUCAUUGCAUGUCCAUUCUCAGGUGCCGGCAAAAGUUGGGUGAAUUUCAUGAAUGCAUGCAUGUACUUCAUGUGCAACCCAUGGGUGUCGGUAUNNNNNNNNNNNNNNNNNNNNNNNNNNNNNNNNNNNNNNNNNNNNNNNNNNNNNNNNNNNNNNNNNNNNNNNNNNNNNNNNNNNNNNNNNNNNNNNNNNNNAUUAACAUAACAACACCUUUUUGGUGCCCAUCCCACAUGUUGUACGUCUUACGAGCACCGACUCUGAACAGUAUCAACCAUGCGGGGACCAACGGUGUGCCCGGAACUCAUAAAAAUGGCAUAGUCGCCCUUCCUGGCACGACACCAUCACGAGAGUGACGAAGAUCACUCCCGCCACUAGUAAUGUGGCUCUUUGCUAGUACCGACCAGAGUAAUCAACAAAGCCCCGUCCCAUAAAGGGGUAACGUGGUCGUACUGGUACAGAUGGGACGGACGACACAUCAUAAAUCUAAUCCCAUUUCCGAAACCAUACUCACACAAAACACCGGUGCACCACUUCACCAAAAGUGGUCACCCAUCUCAUCAUCACCCUCGGGCAUUAGUGGCACCCGACGGGGUUCUUCAUAAACCUUUGAUUUAACUCAUCAUCAUGCUCAUGCAAUGGUUCUCUAACUCUACUAGUUAACAUGACAGUAGCAUGAUCCUCACAGAUGGUAGGGUCAAGCUCAUCAUGCUUGUGCUCCGAGGAGCCAUAUGUAUAACAUCACCAUCAUGCAAGUGCUUCAAAGAAGCCUUCGGUACCAUCACACCAAUGAUGAACCGACAUUAUGAUCACAUGCAACGGAAAGUACUUGCUAUUCUAGCAUGCAUCAAUUUAUCUGCUCAACUCAUGGUCAAAGGGCUGCUUGCCUUGGUCAGCUAGGUAUCCGGGGUCUUCAAGGUAUUCCGCUCUGAAUCCUUCGUCACUCGGUAAUUCAAUCGUCGAGAAUAGAAUAAAUAAGAAAUAGCUCACACAAAAACAAAUCACAAAUCACUUUUAAAAAUGUUGCAGAACAUGGUUAAAUUCAGGUUGUUAAUUUGAAAAAUAUCUUCUCUUAGUUUUUACUAGCUGAGCAUUUUUAAUAAUUAUUAAACAGGGGCAAACUAUUGCCUUUAAUGCCUUUAUAUUAUUAUAAAACAGAUUCUGUUUUUGAAAAAUGCCAACAAUGGCAGAAUCAAAUACUACUCAUUUUUAGAAAAAAUAUCAGUGGAAGAAUUAUAUUUUUCCACUGGGUAGUUAUUUUUACAAAAAUCAUUUUAGUCUAUGUUUUAAAAAUGAAAGAAAAAGGCCAAAGCCUGGCCUGCGAAGCAGGCCGGCCCAGCCAGCCAGCAGGCUGCCAGGCGCGCGCGCCAGGUUCGAACCUGACGUGCGGGCCCCUGGAGUCAGCGGUUGUGGCAGCGCGCGGGGGCUGCUCCAAGACGCUGACAGGUGGAGCCCACCUGUCGGGUUUUUCCCCUACCUCCGGCCAGGGAGGAGGAGAUGAACUUCGGCGAGGCUACCGUCAUCCUUGGGCCUAGCUAAGGGCAGGAAUGGGUUCAGCGUGCCUCCGCCUACGUGCAGGUAGUCGGGACAGCGCUGGAGAGGCUUGGAGUCGCCGGCGACGAGGUGGCCGUGGCGGAAGGGUUUCGGGACAUGGUUGAAGUGGUAGCUAGGGGCACGGAAUAGCUCGAGGCUGUUGGGGGAAAGGUUCCUGGUGUCGAGGGGAGUGCUCUGGUGGGUCGAUUGUCGCAGGAGCCGGCGUGUAGCCGGAGAUUGAUCGGAGCUCCGAGGCGGAGGGGCCUCGGUCGAUCUCGAGCACCGGGGCUCUUCGAGCUUGAUUGGGUGGUUAGCCAGGAGCUAGUGGUCGUGCAGAGGCUGCUGGAGGGGUGCUGAGGCACCGGGGGGGCUAUUUAUAGGCUCACGACGGUGAGCCGAGUCGGUGGCGCUAGUGACUCACCGUGGCGCGCGUGCUUGCCCAGUGAGGAGCUGGUUGCGAAACCACGGUCUCUGGACGUGGUUUGGGACGCUCUGAUCCCUCGGCCGCAGAGGGAGAAGGCAUGGGGUCGAGCUGCAGCGUUUGUGCAUGCUCGGCCGAGUCAGGAGCGCGCGGGCACGCGUCCCCCAAGCUCUAGCGCGGGAGAGGAGGAUCCCUGGCGGCUGCUUUACACAGAGGGGUUGUUGGGGGAGGUCUUGGACACUUUGGGGGAGGUUGGAACCGGCCGGGAGCAUCGUCCCCUUCUUGGUGGCUCCCUGUAGUGCGUCCAGAGCACAGUAUUGGCAUGCCACGGUAUGUUGGCGCGCUCUGGGGCACUUUAGACGUGUCCCUCAUGUCCUGGGUGUUGCUGGGAGUGUAUCUAGCCGUUGUGUGCUAGUGAGAGCACUGGCUGGUCAAGGGGGACAGGUUUCACUAGUGCUGUCAGCCCUGAUCUGUGGCACAAAUUGGGGUUCUUGUCAUUUGCGCUUUGAACUAGGGAGGGGCGAGUUGACUGGGUGUUUAGGUUGGUCAGAGGCACUAAUACACCAAGUUUGAGGCUUUGACAUUGGGUAGAACAGUGGCUAGGUGGGUUUUUACCUUCCUGUCAGAAGGUGUUCGACGGUGGUUUGGGAUGCUUCCACUCUACCACUGGAACUACAACUUAACAGGUUUGGUCUAGGGGUUAAAGUAGGGAUUUCCACCAAUUUUGAGCUCCAUUGAACAAGUUUAGCAUUGUAAACUUGAAAAUACAUCAAAAUGGCCAGAUCUGUCCUCUCCAAAGGGAGUGUGACUAAACAGAGUCUAGAAAAUCUCAUUUUUGGUGUGGAGUCCUCAUUUUAGGUGCCAAACACCCCUUCAAAGUUUCAGCACCAUUGGACAAACUUUGCUAUGUAGAGUUGUUCCAACUCUAUUCUGGACACAAAGGGUUUUAGGCUCAUUUGGUGUCUUUCCCCACCUUGGAUUAAGGUGAGAUUUUAUGUGGGCACCAAAUAUGGCUUGGGGAGGUUCGUGUAAUUUAAUGGGAUUUUAUUGAGAGUAUGUCCUUUGGAAAUACCUAAAAAGGUUAAAAUAGACAGGAAUGGUUUUCAGGGUUUUAUUCAAAUAAUUGUAAUAUAAAAUAGGGUUGAAAAUCUUAUAUAUGGAAAAUAUAUGUCCUUCUGAGUUUCCAUGAUUUUACUCAGAAUUUUCUAAGGCAGAGAAGCAUUUUUCCUUGUGGGAAUAUCAUUCCUGGCCUUAGAAACAGACAUGUAUUUAAAAUAGAAAAAUAAUGUUUUAAAACAUUAAAUAAUGUUUUUGGUAAAUAACUAGCAAAAGGGCCCGUGCAUUGCAACGGGAGAAAAAAAUACCACACGCUUUUAAUCUUUCUAUAAUCAUUUUGAUUUAUUAAAAUAAUAAGCUAACUAACUAAUAUAGCGAGUCCUAUCCUAUUUUGUUAAGAAAUCACACAUCCAUUGUUAAUUCCACCAUGAUGAGAAGUUGAGCGGGACAAGCAAAGCAAAACAAAGAGGCUACGUGAAUUGAUCAAUGGACUGUUAUCUUAUUUCACUCAUGGGGUAGAGAAUGUGGGAUCAGAUGACAAACUGAAGGUGGUGAUCCAUUCUCUAUCUCUACAACAAUACGAUCUUACAUUCAAUACAUUCAUUCAUCAGCAAACAAAUCCCCACAAAACAAAAUUUCUUGCUGGUGCUUGGCACACGGUUGAAGGCAUGGGGAGGGGAUCUCACCAGAUGAUGAGUUCCUGCCGGAGGAGGGGAUACGAUGAGGGGAGCAAGGGUUAGGCGCCUCUAUCUGGCCAUAAGGAGUCGCCGUUGCCGCGCCAUAACCUCGGAGUUCCCCGUGUGAGCCAUGGAGGUCCGCCUCCACCUGCAAGUACUUCGCUCCGCCGCGCCUUAUCCGCGCGCCGCCGCCGUUCUGCAUCGAGCAGACGCAUCAUCCAAGUCGUUGUAGCUGUCGCGUUGAUUUGAUCCAGAAGCUGUGCUCGAGUGCCGAAACAGGGGCAGCAAGCGGGCAGAGGUACGACCGCGGAGGCGGGCAGGUUGAGAUCGACAGCAGUGGUGGUUGAGGUCGGCCGCGGCGGCGAGUGGUGUGGCAGCGGCCUGGGCACAGGCCAGGGUGGACCAGGGUCGACGCGAUGCGCUCGAGCGCCUCAACGUGGUAGUGAGCGGGGAGAGGUACAGCCGCGGAGGCGGGUGGGUUGAGAUCGGCAACGGUGGCGGUUGAGGUCGGCCGCAGCGGCAAGUGGUGUGGCGGCGGCCUGGGCACAGGACAGGGUGGUCCAGGGUCGACGGGAGGAGGCGAUGCGUACGGGUAUAAUUUUUACAGCGAAUCAUUUUUUUUCUUUUGCGUUGCAGAUAAAUGAUGGAGCGCGGGUUGAAUAACAAAAAAUACAGGGGUUUUUUUAUAAAAAUGUUGUGGUGGGUUUUCCGACGAAAGCAAUAGCCGCUUUAUUAUUAGAUAUAGAUUAGUCUAUCAGAACGGAAGAACAUCGAAAAACUUUCAGGACAAUACUUGGUAGAAAAAUUACACCCGACCCGAUUCAGACGUGCUGCCUACCUAAUUAUCCAUCUACGUAGACUAAAGAGCAGAACAUGCACGCAGUCGUAGAGAGGAAGCAGGAACAACGAGUGCAGUUAACCAAACGUCUGAACCGGCCAGUUGCGUGCCUACGGCUGGCUACACGCCGCCGCAGCGGUAGACGAUCCGGCACGUACGCCCCACCCGGACGACGUACUUGUGCUGUGGCUUCACGAGGAACGGCGGCAGCCGUAGGAGCGCCUCGCAGACACAGUCCUUCUGCACCUCCUGCAGCCACCGGCAGCAGUCGCGGUACGCCCGGAGCUCCUCGUCGUGGUGGUGCUCGUGGUUGUCGUCAUCGUGCUCGUGCUCGUGCUCGUGGUCAUCGUCGUCGUCAUCGUCGUCGUCGUCAUGGUCGUCGUCUUCUUCAUGGUCGUCGUCGUGAUCGGGGUCCUCCUCGUGGUCAUCAUCAUGGUCGGGGUCCUCCUCAUGGUCGUCGUCAUGGUCGGGGUCCUCAUCACCGUCGCGCACACGACCACGGCGCCCACGUCCACGCCCACGCCCGCGUCCACGCCCACGCAGACGGCCGUGCCCGCGGCGCGUGUGGUUGCCGCCAUGGUGACCGGUGCCGUUUCUUGCAACGACAACGCCGCUGCUGUUGCUGUUUGCCGCCAUCAGACCAAGGGACGAGAUGUUGAUGACCGCCGCGUGGCCAUGGCGUCCACGGAGGCGGCGGUCACUGUCUCCACCGUGGUGAUCGUCGUCGCCGUCGUCAUCAUCGUUGUCGUCAUCAUCAUCAUCGUCAUCGUCGUGGUGGUGAUGGUGUCGGUCGUCCUCCGGAGGGCUGGGCGGCAGGAUGGAGCAGGCCUGGCUGGCAAUGGCGAACUGACUGAUGCAGAAGGCCUUGGCCUUGCCCUGCUGCGCGGCGACGGGGGCGAGGAGGGAAGGGAAGAAGAGGAGGACGGCGGCCAAAGCCGCGAUGUGGGACGCCGAUGCUGCCAUCUACGGAGUCGUGGCUGCUAUGUGAAGUGCCACACUAGUGCAUGCCGGCCACUUCUUAUAAAGAUGUGUAACCAAGUCAGUAAUGUGCAUUAGAGAGGUUAUUAAAUAGUUGGGGUCAAGGCCGGGUUGGGAGUGACCUGGUCGAUCGAGAUGCACACAGCAUGGUGCAUGGUUGUAAUUAGUUAGGUGCUUCAUAACUAUGGCGUGCAUCCAGGAUUGUCCAGCCAUGUCCACCUUGUUUACAUGCAUGAAGGCGUGCAUUGUUGGUGAGAGGCCAGUGACAAUUUGGUUGUAUUAAACUUACUAAAUUAUUAUGUUCGUCAAUCUUAAAAGAAGUCCGCCUAAUUUAGAAUGUUUAGAGGUUGUUUGCAUUUGUUAAGCUGUCUUACAUUUUGUUUUUCAUUUACCCCGCUGGUUAAAAGAGAUAAUGAUAUGUACUCCCUCCGUUCUUAAAUAUAAUUUUUUUAGACACUACAAAACUACAUACAAAUGUAUAUAAAUAUAUUUUGAAAUAUAAAUUUAUCUAUUUUAUUAUGUAUGUAGUUAUAUAAUGAGAUAUAUAAUAAAACUUAUAUUUAAGAACGAAGAAGAGAGUACGUACUGUACAAAUAGUCAAAUCUCACCAUUCAAAGCAUCAAAAGAUAACAAAGAUUACGUCGAGUUCUCUAAACCACCAAGCUACCAAUGCCUCCUGAGAGAGCCAGUUCAAAAUUCAUGAAAAUUCAUACCAUAUAAUGCAAUUUAGUUUAAAUGUCAUAAUAAUUUCAGCAAAUCUCUAUCUCUACUACUUAAGGUUACCGUUUCACCACUUGCUGCGUGCAUUCUUUCUAUAUAUAUUCUCCCUUCCUUUUAUGUCUUUUUCCUCCUACGUUGAUUUUCUCCCACUAGUUUUCUCUAAAGCAACUCAAUUAUCUCACGUCUUAUUAACUAUCAAAAUAAAAUAUCAUUACCAUUGAUAACUCAAUAAAUUGUUACAAACUAUUCCCUCCGUCUUACGGCACUUAUUUUGGGGCGGAGGUAGUAUUAUUUAAGAAUAAGACGAGAGGUGAAUUAGGAUCAUUGUAAACAAAAAAUAGAUAAGAUUUUAGUUCACCAAUGUAAUAAAAGACUUUCACUACUAGGAAAAAACUUAUAGACAAACGCUAACUAGUAGCGCAGGUUUUUACCCCUCGCUACUGAUACUUAGUAGUAGCACGAGUUUUUACCCCUCUACUACUAAGUUGAUAGUAGUAGCGCGGGUUUUUAACCCUCGCUACUACUAAGUGGUCUCAACUGUGCCCCCCUAGGACAUGCAAUAGUAGUAGCGCGGUGUAUAAACGAGCGCUACUACUAAGUUGAUAGUAGUAGUGCGGGUUUAAAACCCACGCUACUACCAGGUAGCCUUCAUUGUUGAAAGGACCACGAUGACGCCUCGAGGGGGGGGGGGAGGGGGGAGGGUGAAUAGGCUAUUUAAAAACUUGUUCGGAUUUGGCUUAAACCUAAUGCGGAAAUAAACUAAGAGGAUACUUUUCAAGCACAAAUCCUAAAUGCAAUAGGCACCNNNNNNNNNNNNNNNNNNNNNNNNNNNNNNNNNNNNNNNNNNNNNNNNNNNNNNNNNNNNNNNNNNNNNNNNNNNNNNNNNNNNNNNNNNNNNNNNNNNNNNNNNNNNNNNNNNNNNNNNNNNNNNNNNNNNNNNNNNNNNNNNNNNNNNNNNNNNNNNNNNNNNNNNNNNNNNNNNNNNNNNNNNNNNNNNNNNNNNNNNNNNNNNNNNNNNNNNNNNNNNNNNNNNNNNNNNNNNNNNNNNNNNNNNNNNNNNNNNNNNNNNNNNNNNNNNNNNNNNNNNNNNNNNNNNNNNNNNNNNNNNNNNNNNNNNNNNNNNNNNNNNNNNNNNNNNNNNNNNNNNNNNNNNNNNNNNNNNNNNNNNNNNNNNNNNNNNNNNNNNNNNNNNNNNNNNNNNNNNNNNNNNNNNNNNNNNNNNNNNNNNNNNNNNNNNNNNNNNNNNNNNCACACGAUAUAUCAAAAGCUGCAAGUGUGAACGUGUGGAUAUAGAGGGUAUGCUUGAACGAUUAAUCUUGUACAAAGAAAUAGCCAACACAAUAUAAUGAGCACAAACAAUAUGCAAUGUAUGUAUGCUCAAGUAANNNNNNNNNNNNNNNNNNNNNNNNNNNNNNNNNNNNNNNNNNNNNNNNNNNNNNNNNNNNNNNNNNNNNNNNNNNNNNNNNNNNNNNNNNNNNNNNNNNNNNNNNNNNNNNNNNNNNNNNNNNNNNNNNNNNNNNNNNNNNNNNNNNNNNNNNNNNNNNNNNNNNNNNNNNNNNNNNNNNNNNNNNNNNNNNNNNNNNNNNNNNNNNNNNNNNNNNNNNNNNNNNNNNNNNNNNNNNNNNNNNNNNNNNNNNNNNNNNNNNNNNNNNNNNNNNNNNNNNNNNNNNNNNNNNNNNNNNNNNNNNNNNNNNNNNNNNNNNNNNNNNNNNNNNNNNNNNNNNNNNNNNNNNNNNNNNNNNNNNNNNNNNNNNNNNNNNNNNNNNNNNNNNNNNNNNNNNNNNNNNNNNNNNNNNNNNNNNNNNNNNNNNNNNNNNNNNNNNNNNNNNNNNNNNNNNNNNNNNNNNNNNNNNCAAAUCUCAAAUAGCUUGGGUUGAGAGGAGGAGAGGGAGACGAUCUAUCUUUUGAUUGGAACAACUCUCAAAGGGGCUCACAAAUGCUCUUGGGAUCUAAGAUUUGGUGUGAGCAAAUGUGUGUGAGGUAGAAAUGUGUUCUUAUGAGGAUAUGGCUGUGUUGGGCACCCUCUCACGAAGUGGGAGGGGGGUAUUUAUAGUGGAGAAGGGAAAGUGACCGUUGGGGUCANNNNNNNNNNNNNNNNNNNNNNNNNNNNNNNNNNNNNNNNNNNNNNNNNNNNNNNNNNNNNNNNNNNNNNNNNNNNNNNNNNNNNNNNNNNNNNNNNNNNUUUUUUUGAGACUAGAGUCUACGACCAUGGAAGAAUUUUGAAUCUGCAAAAACUCAAUCUUCUUUGUAUUAUUUCACCGAUACUUGUUCUUUACAUUGCUUCAGUCGACGGUCACGUGUAGAAGCGCUUCAGGAGAUCUCCGUUCCAUGCUCGCGGCUCGUCCGUUUCCCUGUCGAUGUUGUAGAGUCGGUAUGCUCCAUUGUUCAGCACCUUGGGGAUGAUGAAGGGUCCUUCCCAGGCGGGAGCCAACUUGUGAGGUCUCUGCUGAUCCACUCGGAGCACCAGGUCGCCUGCUUGGAAUGUACGACUCCUGACGUGUCGCGCUUGAAAGCGCCGCAGAUCUUGUUGAUAAAUGGUUGAGCAAGUCAGUGCCAUCUCGCGCUCCUCCUCUAGAAGAUCCACUCCGUCUUGCCUUGCUUGUUCUGCUUCAGCUUCGGAGAAGAGUUCAACUCGUGGAGCGUUGUGAAGCAAGUCACUCGGAAGGACUGCCUCUGCUCCGUAAACGAGGAAGAACGGGGAUCGCCCUGUAGAUCUAUUUGGGGUUGUGCGGAGACCCCAAAGCACCGAAGGUAGCUCGGUGACCCAUGCGCCAGCGACAUGUCCCACCUCUCGCAGUAGUCGAGGCUUCAAACCAUCCAGAAUAAGUCCAUUCGCCCGCUCUGCUUGCCCGUUUGUUUGGGGAUGCGCCACAGAUGCAAAAUCCACUCGGAUACCUUGGCCUGUAUAGAAACCUUUGAAUCUGUCCGAGUCAAAGUUUGUUCCAUUGUCAGUGAUUAUGCUGUGAGGUACCCCAAAUCUGGAGAUGAUGUCCGUGACAAACUUGAUGGCCGUAAGGGCGUCGAAUUUUUUGAUGGGCUUGGCUUCGAUCCACUUUGUGAACUUGUCGACUGCCACCAACAGAUGUGUGAAUCCGCCUUGGCCUGUCCUGAAUGGACCGACUGUAUCUAAUCCCCAUACCGCAAAUGGCCAAACAAGAGGGGUUGUCUUCAAUGCAGAUGCUGGCUUGUGGGACUUGUUAGAGUAGAACUGAGAGCCUUCACAUCGGUCGACCAUAUCUUUCGCCAUUUCAUUUGCCUGCAGCCAGAAGAAGCUAGCCCUGAAUGCUUUGGCGACGAUUGCUCUUGAAGAGGCGUGAUGACCGCAGGUUCCCGAGUGAAUUUCCUCCAGGAUUAACUGUCCCUCCUCUGGGGAGAUGCAUCGUUGAAGGACGCCUGAAACGCUUUCCUUGUACAAAUGGCCAUCGAUGACAGUGAACGACUUUGACCUGCGGACGAUCUGUCUGGCUUGGACUUCGUCUUCUGGUAAUUCUUGCCUCAGGAUGUAUGCAAUGAUAGGGACAGUCCAAUCGGGGAUGACAGCAAGAAUCUCCAUGAUCAAAUCAACUAUAGCAGGUACGUCGACUUCAGUCGGAUCUGUCGAGCUCUUCGGUUGUACUAGUUCCUCUGUGAAAGGAUCUUCUUUAAUUGAGUGAAGGUGGAGGUGCUGGAGGCAUACGUCACUCGGGACUGGUCUCCGAGUGGAUCGAAGUUUUGCCAACUCAUCAGCUGCCUGGUUCUUCAGUCGCGGAACAUGGUGGAGUUCCAGACCUUCAAACUUUUUCUCGAGCUUCCUCACUGCAUUGCAGUACGUGGUCAUGGUGGGGUUCCUGACGUCCCACUCCUUCAUCACUUGAUUGACCACCAAAUCCGAAUCGCCAUAGACCAUCAGGCGACGGACGCCGAGUGAGAUGGCCAUGCGUAGUCCAUAAAGGAGAGCUUCAUACUCUGCCUCGUAGUUGGAGGAAUCAAAGUGUCUCUGCAGCACAUACUUGAGUUUGUCGCCCUUUGGCGAUAUGAUCACAACGCUAGCGCCGGAGCCAUUCAACAUCUUGGACCCAUCGAAGAACAUUGUCCAAUGAGCCGAGUAGAUGUGGGUCGGUUGGUGUUGUUCUACCCAUUCUGCUAUGAAGUCAGCCAGAGCUUGAGACUUUAUAGCUUUCUUGGCCUCGAACUUGAUGUCGCAGUACAACAUCUCCAUUGCCCAUUUCGCCACUCGGCCCGAUGCGUCCCAAUUGUGGAGGAUUUCCGACAACGGAGCAUCAGAAACGACAGACACCGAGUGGUCUUGGAAAUAAUGAGCUACCUUCUUCGUAGUCAUGUAAAUCCCGUAGAUAAGUUUCCGAUAGUGGGGAUACCUCUGCUUGGAAGGAGUUAGGACUUCGGAGACAUAAUACACUGGCCGCUGAACCUUGUAUGCUUUGCCUUCUUCUUCUCGUUCAACUAUGAGAACAGUGCUGACGACUUGAUUUGUAGCGGCGAUGUACAGAAGAAGGGGCUCUUUACUGAGCGGAGCAGUAAGAAACGGCUGGGUGGAAAGUAGGACUUUGAGGUCGUCGAAUGCGACUUGGGCUUCGUCUGUCCACUCGAAAGUAUCUGAUUUCUUCAUGAGUCGGUACAGAGGAAGCGCCUUCUCACCGAGUCGACUGAUAAACCUGCUCAAAGCUGCUAGGCAACCUGUGAGCCUUUGAACAUCGUGUAUUCUGACCGGCCGCUCCAUUCGAACGAUGGUCCCGAUCUUUUCGGGGUUGACAUCGAUCCCUCGUUCGGAAACGAAGAAACCGACUAACAUUCCGCUGGGAACACUGAAUGAACACUUGGCUGGGUUGAGCUUGAUAUCGUACCUACGAAGGUUGGCGAAUGUUUCUGCCAAGUCAGUCAGCAGGUCGGAACCUUCGCGUGUAUCAUCCAUAUACGCCUCCACAUUCCGACCGAUCUGGUCGAGGAGGCAUUUUUGGAUCAUGCGCAUAAAGGUUGCUCCUGCAUUCUUCAAACCAAAUGGCAUAGUGAUGUAGAAGAAGCACCCGAAUGGGGUGAUGAAGGCUGUUUUUAAUUCAUCGGGGCCAUACAGACGGAUCUGAUGAUAGCCCGAGUAGGCAUCAAGAAAUGACAAACGCUCGCAACCCGCAGUCGAAUCGACAAUUUGAUCGAUGCGGGGGAGCGGAAAAUGGUCUUUCGGGCAGACCUUGUUGAGAUGCUUGAAGUCGAUGCACAUUCGGAGCGACUUGUCCUUCUUGGGCACCAUGACAACAUUGGCAAGCCACUCGGAGUGGUGUACCUCGCGAAUGAAGUUGGCUGCCAAAAGCUUGGCCACCUCUUCUCCGAUUGCCUUCCUCUUGUGCGCGGCGGACUGACGCGGGCGUUCUCAGACAGGCCGAGCGGCAGGAUCCACAUGUAGUCGGUGCUCAGCCAACUCCCUGGGUACACCUGGCAUGUCAAAGGGAUUCCAUGCGAAGAUGUCCCAGUUCUCACGGAGGAAUUGGAUGAGCUCGGCUUCCUAUUUAGGAUCGAGAGUGGUGGAGAUGUUCGUCGGGGCAGCGGUGUCGUCCGUCGGGUGGAUGCUGACCUUCUUCGUCUCUCCCGCCGACUGGAAUGCGGACUCCGAAGAUGGCUUCUUCGAACGCAUCAGGUCAGCGGGGUCGACUGUCUUCUUGUACUCGUCAAGCUCGAGGACAGCCAUCUGCUGAUCGGCGAUCCUCUAUCCCUGCUGCAGACACUCCUCGGCCCGCUGCCGAUUGCCUGUGAUAGUGAUCACACCUUUCGGGCCUGGCAUCUUCAGCUUCAGGUACACGUAACAUGGACGGGCCAUGAAACGUGCAUACGCCGGGCGGCCCAGAAUCGCGUGGUACGCACUCUGGAAGUCCACCACCUCGAACGUCAGCUUUUCCUUGCGGAAGUUCUUGUCGGAGCCGAAGACAACGUCCAACGCGAUCUGGCCGAGUGACUUGGCCUUUCGUCCAGGGACGACUCCAUGGAACUGCAUGCUGCUCUCGCUGAGUUUGGACAUCGGAAUGCCCAUCCCCUUGAGAGUGUCGGCGUACAUGAUGUUCAAGCCACUGCCGCCGUCCAUGAGGACUUUGCGCAGUCGGACUCCUUCCACCACCGGGUCGACGACCAGAGCCUGCCUCCCUGGGGUGGGUACGUGUGCUGGAUGAUCGGACUGGUCAAAGGUGAUCACAGUCUGAGAUCAUUUGAGGAACGUGGGGUUGGUCGGCGUGGCCAUGUUCACCUCCCUGUUCACCAGCUUCAGUCGACUCUUGCUUUCAACGUCAGCAAAAAUCAUCAGUGUUGCAUGGACUUGGGGGAACGGAUCCUCCUUGUCCUCCUCAUCUUGUUCAUUGCCCUUUUCACUCGGUUGCCCUUCGCCGAACCCUUGGAUCAGGACGCGACAUUUCCGAGUGGUGUGCUUCGGAUAUAUGGCGUUGCCCUCUUCAUCCAUCUUCGUGUGGACCGGACAUGGCUGGUCCAGGAUGGGGUUGCUGAACUGCUUCUUCUUGGGGGUGAAUUGAGCCUUCCCCUUGCCUUUGAACUUGGCAUUGGUAACAGUUGCGGCUUCCGCCUGCUGAGUGGACGGAGCUUUCUGCUUCUGCUUCCGAGUGUUAUUCCCAUCUCCAUCGACGACUGCUUUGUGCUUGCCGCUACGGAUGCGGUCCUUUUCUUCGCCAUUUGCAUAGCAUGUCGCUAUCUCCAUCAUCUUGCUCAUGGAGAUGUCGCCGGUUCGACCGAACUUCAGGUACAGAUCUCUGUACGCAUGCCUGCCUUGAAGGCGCAGACUGCUUGGUGCUCUGUGACGUUCUCCACCGUGUGGUAGAGGGUCAUCCAACGCUGAAUGAAAUCGCGCAGGGGUUCAUUCUGCUUCUGGACAUAGUGCUGGAGCUCCACGAGGCGAGCAGGGCGCUUGCACGUUCCUUCGAAGGUCCUGAUGAAAACUCGGGCCAGAUGUGCCCAGCUGUAGAUGCUUGAGAGAGCCAACUGGUUCAGCCACGCUCGUGCCGAGCCGUCGAGCAUCAGAGGGAGGUGCUUCAUGGCGACGUGGUCGUCCCCUCCUCCGAUCUGGACUGCCACUCGGUAGUCGUCCAGCCACGUUUCUGGCUUGGACUCUCCUAUAAACUUGCUGAUCCCCGUCGCCAAUCGGAAGUUGGGAGGGAUGUCAGCCGACCGGAUGGCUCGACUGAAACACUCGGGACCAGAGACGAUGGUCCUGCUUCCACUCGGACGGUCCAUAUCGUGACCAUUGCGGUGGGCUCGGCCCCUGUUGACCCUCCGCUGGGCGAUAUGCCCUCUCGCGUCGGGCCUUGGAUCGUACGUGUCACCGACUGAACGCCGAUCAUCAUGAUGUCGGGGCCCGUAGGGCCCACCCCACGGAGGGGUGCGUGAACAGCGAUGAUCUUCGGGAUUUAUGGAACGGCUGCCUCCCUUGUGUCGCUGAUGAGAACCAGGGCUGUGAACUAAUCGAUGUGUGUUCGCAUGAACAGAACUAUUGUGGACCCUGUGGUGCGACUGGGAGACCACCGAAUUUUGUUGCUGCGCCGUGUGCAGCAGGGCACAGAUUUGCUCGAUCCCUCUGCCAGCCUCUGAAUCAGUCGACUGGAGAGAAUCUGCUAUCUUGGCGGCGGCAGCCAGGUUGAGGACGGGCGUGCGAUACACCUCCACGUUGCUCCGCCGAGUGUGCCGACUGGCAGAACGGCGGGGAUGACGGCGAGCGCCGGAUGUUUCGCCGACUUCGUGCUCGUUCCGGCCAGAUUGGCGGGGACUUUCAUGGGAGUUGGUCAUGUGCACUUCAGCUGCAGGUCCGUGACCCAAAUACUCGGAAGGAAACUCAGUCGGAACUGAGUCCGAGCGCUGGGACGGCGGUGCAACCACAACCGACUCUAGGACCGCCACUUGCGAGGACGCGUUCUGGUGCGCCUGGGCGUGUUGCACCCAACGUUGGAGCCGCGGACGGCGGGACCGCUUGUUACGGUGCGCGAUGACGGCCCAGGUCGACACCGGAGCCGAUUGCUGGAGCAGAAGAAUACCGCGGGCGCCGGCACGGAAGUGCGUAGCCCCGCGGCUGGGGAGUGCCUCGACGUCGCGAGGGGCAUCCCGGAGCCAUGCCGAAUCGUCGACGUUGAAGGAGAGAGCGCCGAACAGGAUCUCGUGACCCAUGCUCAAAUCUCCACCGGAUGACAUUAUGAAAAGAUGUAGUCGCAAACUCGCCGAAAGUUGCUUAGACGCCUGCCCCACGGUGGGCGCCAACUGUCGUGGGUGUAAGUCUGACAGUAGAUGUGUAGGGUACGAAAGGAUGGGCAGAGCCUUAGCUACGGCGAGGUUGUAUGAGUUAAGGCCCCUCUACGGUGGAGGUAAUAGGCCUAUGAUUCAGUGCUCUGGGAGCUUGUUGUCGAGUGGAAUAUGGAUUAUAGUGAAUUGCUAACCCCUGCACCAGUGGGGAAGGGUGGCUUAUAUAGAGUGCGCUGCCCUUCACAAUGGUUCGGUGCACAGGGUGGAGUAGUGGAGAAUAAAUGCCUACGUUACAAGUAACAUACGUCUUAAAUGCUAAUAAAGGCAUAUGGAAACGUAUGACCGUUUUCGUCCACGGGGGUUACGAUGCACAGAGUGGAAUCCAGUCGGUUAGUUUGAUACACUCCGAAAGCUCAUCUCCGGCUGGGUGCUGGAGGAUUUGUCACCGACUGGAUGAUGGGAAGUCCUUAAUUGAGUGGGAACUGACUAAGGGCCUUAUCCCUUAUGAAGGGUAGUCCUUGGGUAGGACUUAUAGGGCAGGCCUAUGACCCUACCCUAGGACUAUAACCCCAUCAACCAUCAACGGAGAUGUUUGGGAAGAAGGUCCAUAUCAUAUUCCCAAGUUUGUUCCUCAAGAGGAGAAAUAUGAUCCUACUACUCCCAAGGUAAUAAGCUCACAAGAUGUCCUUCUACCACAAGACCACAAGGACAAGGGAAAGCUUCAAGAGGACAUUGACUCAUUUGAAUAAGAGCCCCAAGCCAAGGUUGAGUGGGUUCCCAAGGACACUUCUAGUACUACCUCGUCUAGUGCUACCACAACUCCAAGGAUUCCCAUCAAAGUGAUGUGGGUCCCCAAGAGGAAGAACUAGAAAGUUCUUGAGGGGUGACUUUGCCAAUGAAUUUCACUCCCAUUCAUUUUGGCAAGAACUAUGUGCAAUCAACCUCAACGACAUGCAUUGGUUCAAGGAGUCACACAUUCCCUCAAAGGUGAUCAAGGGACAAGGUAAUCAAUGAAUCUUUGGACAUCACUUCCCAUGUACAUAGGUAUCUUUGUGUUUGUUCCUUUUGCUUUGGGACUAACCCAUGUAGGUGAGAAGAGUAAGAAACAACAAUGAUUGCUCCCAACUCGAGAUGAUCUUCAUCAACAUUUAGAAUCGACCACUACUUCACCUACUUGAAGUCUUCUACGACAAAACCCAAGGUUAGUUUGUCCCUCUUAGGGGGGAUGUGAUAUCAAGGGGGAGCUUCACUCUAAAUCUUGAGUAUAAGCAUCUCCUAAAGAUAUGAACACAUUAAUGCUUUAUGUAAAAGUGGUAACCCCACUUGUGCUUAAACGAUGAGUAUGACCUAUGAUCAAGUAUUCUUACUUGACUCCUCAGUCAGUAUAUUCAUAUAUAGAUGACUUCGUCAUCGCCAAAGUGCUUGAUAGAUGCUAGGAUGUUUGUGCAUGUUCAUCAUGGUUUCAUUUGAAAUCUUAUUGUGUGAGGAUGUUAGUAUGCAUAUCCUUUCUCAUUCGAGGACAUCCAAUUGUUGCUAUUUGGCUUAUGAUUUAUCUUUUGCCAAUUGGAUAGACAAGAAUGCCUAGGACCCUUCUUUAGCUAUCUAGGCUUUCUCUUCUCAAGUUCUAUUCAUGCUUCAUCACAAAACUUGAACAAGCACUUCUCGAUCCCUCUGUGUGAAUGAGCACUCGGAGUUCCGUAUCGACAAACGCUGCAUUCCAAAACCUCUUUGUGAAUCUCAGUGCAACCAACCCCACAAUAUCGGUUCCACCGAAUAACCAAAGCUGAUCUAGGUUUUCAAUCUCGGUACCAUCGAUACCACCAUCUCGGCUUCACCGAGUUUCCAUGUCAACUGACAACAUAGGAACUCGGUGGCACCAGAACCUUAGUAUCAGUGACAUCGACAGUGAUGGGUAUAUAUCCUGGCAGACCCGACGUUUCGAAAUUUAAUCCUCAAACGUUUUGUUCCCAACUCCAAGAAGCCGCACAAGGACCCUUGGUUAUCGCCUUUGCAUCCCUGAGAGACUCUGCCGUUGGUAAUCGCCGCCGACGAUUGAAUCAUCGCCGCCGUCGUUGCCUAGCGAGUUCAUCACCGACUUAGUUUAUGAAUCCGAACCCUCAUGUGCUCCUUUAUCUGAUCCACGCGCAUUAGGGCACCCCAUCCACAAUCAACAGUUUCUAAUCUUCCUAUUCCACAAGAAAUCUCCAUAGAUUAGAGAAUGAAGGAAAAUUGGAUCCGAUCUCCCACAACAUGUAUCUCAGUGAGACCAAGUUGGUAAGAUCGGUUCCAUCGAUUUUUGUUUUAGGGUUUCUAAGAACCACUCUAGUGAGACCAAGUAGCUCUUUUCGAUUACACUGAAAAGACUACCCAAGUUUCUGUUAUGCAAGUGGUCAGUCUCGGUGACUCCUUAAAACCCAACCCGGUUCUACCGAUAUUCAUUCUGAAGUAGACCAUACACUAAGUUUUUGAAUUCAAAUUUUGAAAAAUUAUGUGUUUUGUGAUGCUCAACCCUUGUGAUCUUCUAUAUCUACUUCACAUGGUUGCUUGUCUGUUGAUUUGCUGGUGUGUUUGUCUGUUUUAUUUCAAAGAUGUCAGGUUGUCAGGACAGCCAGAACAACUUCACUCAAGAUAGUGUUGAGAUGGAUUCAUGCACUAGUUCUGAGAGGUCCCCUUUUGAUCCAGGCACCCCCAUCUCCCAUGGUUUGCCCAAGGCUGCCACAAGGCCCAGAAGGAAACUGAAUUCUGAUGAAGAAGAUUCAGACUUUGUUCCUGUUGAGUCUGACGUCCAAAAGCAGAAAGAGAAGCCUGUUGUCAAGAGAGCUGUUAGGAAGGUGUACUCUAAACCUUCUGACAUGAGAGCUGCAGAGUUUGCAAGGCAAGGGAUGACACUUACCCUUGAGAAACCUCCUAAGAAGACAGGUGUGAAGAGAGUCAGGAAGAGGAUUAUUCAUGUCAUUGGUAGACAAACUUCCAUGUAUGAAGACUGAGGAGAAACUGUUGCCGCUGAGGAGGAGGAAGUACCAUCUAAUGCGCCUCCUACAAAGAAGAAAAAGAAGCUUAUGGCAGGUACUAUGAAGCCUUCUGCUCGAAAGCCUUUAGAUCCAAAGAAGCCCGUAGCUCCCAAGAUGACCACAAAGGACAUACCCCCAGCUGCUAAAGAGAAACGCACUGCUUCCAGAGACUUUGUUGCAAAGGAAGAUGUUGAGAAUGCACCUAUUCUCAUGAAGUUAAGACCUCAUUUUCCAUUUCACAAUGAGUUUCAUCCAAUAGCUGAAGACAUGAAGAAGAGAAGAGAUGCCAAGCUAAAGAAGUGGAGAGCUAUUGAUCCUUAUGCUGUGAGGAGAAGGACUGCAGCUGAUCCCAGGUUUCAUACAAGAGAACAACAAGACUUCUAUGAGACAGUUCUGUAUGACAAAUGUCCAGCAGUUAGUGACAUGAGAUAUGUCGACUCGAAUUAUAUCAAAGCCAAUGAAUAUUUCUUUCCCCAUGUGAGAGAGAACUUCAAUCUUGUUGACAUUGAAGAUUUGUUGGUAGAGAGAUAACUGCAUGGAAUGAUGAAAUGAUUAUGCAAUUCUAUUCAAUAGUUCAUUUCUAUUCAGAUGGCACAAUUUUCUGGAUGACUGAUGACCAUAGAUAUGAAGCCACAAUUGAAUAAUGGGCUACUAUCAUUGCUGCUCCAAAGUCACGAGUAGAGGACUUGGAUGUGUACUCAGAACCUAAGAAGAAUCACAACUCUAUGGCCAAUAUGUACAAGCGAGUGCCAAAUGACGUCCUACCAUCUCACAAGCUUGGGUCUAUCUAUUCCUUGCAAGCUGGGAUAACCUCUACCAACACUAUCUUCAGGCAUACCCUGAUACCCAAAUCAGGUGAUGACAAAAUGAUUAGAGGCUAUUCCAUCAAUAUGCUACAUCAUUUAGACACCGACGCUCGCUUCAAAGUCAUUGAUUAGAUUGCUAAGACUAUGCGGAUAUGCACCAUACAUUCAUAUGCUCAUCAAUGCCGAGAUUGGCAAGCAUGCAUAUCAGCUUGAUCGUCCUCAUUUUCCACUUCAGCCAGAGUUCAAGGACAAUUAAGAUGUGAUGGAUGACACUCAUCCAAGCUCAGCGACAUCUAGAGAGGCUACAGAGGCAGCUGCUGCAGAGGCCGCUAAGAAUGCUCCAGCUCCACCACUAAAGCUUAAAACUAGAGAGGAACAUAUGUCGUUCUUGGUCAGCAUCAUUCGAGGGAUGGAGAAGAAUAUUUUUGAGAUUCUGCUAAACCAAAAGAGCCAAGAGAGGAUCGUGGAAACAAAGUUUCAUGACCUGGAUCUGAAGGUUAAGGAGUUGACUACUAUAGUCAAGCAACUUCAGCAUGAAGUUGACUCAGUGCAGAUUCCACGCUCAAAUGAUGAAGAUGAUGAUGAUGAUGAUGAUUCACCUCGUCGUACUACCAAACGUUUCUCGACGCAGACCAGGUCAGCAGCUGUGCCAGUACCAGAAGAUAGACCGUCUUCAUCACCUGAAGCUUCAACUCCUGCUCUAUCACCUCUAGUUUCUACACCUCCAGCUCCUGCUCCAACGAUGUCAUCCAAAGCCUUCAUUGAUGCUCUUUUGUCUACUCCAACAUCUGCUACCGGAGGAGAUCAUGCCCGGAGAGAAGCUUAGGUUAGAUCUUUGAACGUUUUGGUACUUGUUGCCAAAGGGGGGAGAAGUGUAUAGAUCAAUAGGGCUUCGGGAGAGGGAGAGCUUUUGACUUUAUAUGCUCUCAUUUUCAAAACUUUAUUUGCUCUCUUGGAUGACAUUAUCUUCUUAGAUGUGUGUUUGAUCAUAUGCUUUGAUUGUUUAGUGCUACCAUGUUAUUACCUCUGAGCUAUCCACAUCAUGAUCAUUCACUUGUUUUUGGUGCUAUGUGCAUUGCUGUUCAUUCUUAUCUUUUAUGCACACCACCAAGUUGUAUGUGACAUGGAAGAGUAACCCAUAUUCCUAAUCGAUCGUGCAUUUGCAUUCAAAUGCAAAUUUAAAAAUAAUGCACAAAUUUAGGGGGGAGCUCUUGUUUUUCACAUACCUCUCAAAGCGUCGAUGCUAAUCAUUGAUUAUAUCUUUUGACGAAGCUUUGAUCUAUUUGUUGUCAUCAAUUACAAAAAGGGGGAGAUUCAAAGCACAAUUGCUCCCUAAGGUGGUUUUGGUAAUUAACCACAACACAUGCAUCAUUGGACUAAUGCGUAUAUUCAAGUAUAUUUCAGGAAACUUCAAAGUAGCUUUGUGUGGCACCCCGAUUCAACGAAUCGGAUUACCAGUGUUUCCAACCCAGAGAUCAAGUCUUCUGGAAACACUCAACAACUUGGAACAGAACUGAACUGACUUUAUUGAUAGAAUAAGAUGACAGGUACAUAUCUUACAAUGAUAGCGAGGCGAAAGGCACCCUGGGUGCUGCAACAGUAUCUACAUUAUUUAUGAGGCAUAGUGGGGCCUCGAAACUACUAAGUACUUCUACAGCGUAGCGGAACAUAGCGGCAACUCCAUACACACGGACACUUCUGUGGACACUCCCUACUACGCAUUAUCAGGACCACCGUCCUCGGCUUCUCCUGCAUCUGGCAGGAUAUGGUUGGUGAGUACUUGGAAUGUACUCGCAAGCUCAUAAUAACCAAGUAAUGCAGCAAACAAUAGCAUGGCAACACAUUAGGAAUAAUAUCACUUGGCUUUAUAAUAUCCACUUACUCAUGUCCGGGGUUGUCUCACAACCACCGGAAUGCCUAUCAAGCAUCUCCAUUCAACUGAAGGGUUCCUCCAUCAUUACUAACAUCCACAUGCUUGACCAUCUACUGAGGUCUGGUCGGGCUAUCCAAUACCGUGGACUCAGCUAUUCGAAUAGAUUUUACACUCUACAGAGGUUGCACACUUUACCCACACUAUGGAGUACUGACCUCGUGAUCCCAUUCGGGUGGACCGACAUUACUCCAAUGAAACUUUCCUAUCCUGUGACUCUCUCAUUGUAUCCCCGGCAACCACUCCCUUCCGGAGUCUUGACCUGGGUGGCCCUGUGUCCUCAUGACACCUGCCACCGUCGUGGCCAAACAAAACUGUCCCAACCGGGGACGGGCCCAACUCAACUUAACUGGGCUCACAGGGUUAUCACCGCCUACCGGGCCAAGGUAGCACGCAUGCAUAACCCUCCCUCUUUGGGGAUAUCGGUGAAAGAUCACGUUGACAAUCCAAGUCACGGCCUUCCCAUACCGGCAAGAUGUGGUUGUACGAUUAUGCACGGACAGGUGACUCAUGAUCAACCACUAAGCCAUGGUAACCAUAGUGAUUUAUAACAGUAAGCACAUAUUCCUAUAUGACUGUUUAUUAGAUGAUUAUUUCCUAACAAGUCAAGUAAGUAAAAUGCAUGAAGAUGUGAGUUAUGCUAUGCAAAACUACAUCACAUGGAUAUGAUGGCUUUCGUUGAUCAGUGGGGUUGUUCAAACACUCCUGGUCUUCAAAGUUUCCCUCUGAAAAUAUGUUUGAAGUAGCAAAACUAAAGAAAAGUCAUUUAAUACCUUUUUUAUUCAUUAGAAAUUCUAUGUGUGUGGGAAAAAUACUAAAAUUUACCAGAUUGUAUAGAAACUCAAUACCAAGUCAAUGCAAAAAGAAUCAAGUGAUUUGGACUUGUAAAUAAAAGGAUUUAAAUGGUCAAAGUUUCUAUUUGAAUCUGGACUUAAUAAAAGAAAAGAUAUUCUGGCAGGGGGCCAGGUCGAAGGUGUAAAGUGGAGGGGCGCCUCCACUUACCGCUUCGGCCGCUGGCCAUAGCCGCUGGCAGGUGGGGCCUGCCACGAGAACAGAGAGGGGGAGGAGGGGAAAAGAGGCGAGGCGGCCUUCCGACGACGGUCGCCGGCGAGUGAGACGGUGGCGACGCCUGGGAUCGGGCGGAAUGGAACGGGCGGUCGAUGACAAGCACACACGUACCCGCAGCUUGGCGAGAGGUGGACAGACGACGUCAUCCCCUUCUUCUCUGGCGGUGGCGGCUUCGGGUGGUCGUCGGAGACGAGGAUUCCGGCAGGGAAAAGCUUGGGCAAGGGGUCGAGAAGCACCAGGGGAACUUCCCGAACUCGACGGUGGGGUUGAUUAGGCUUUGGAGGAUGGGGUUGGUGCUGUCGACGGUGAGGCUGCAGGCAGCGGAGUUACGGCGAUGUUCAAGGCCAGAGGGCCUCUAGGCCUUGGCUCGCUCUUCGGGAGGUCAAUAGGGAGCAACAGGAGGGAUGUUGAGAGCUCGAAGGGGUCGCGCACUCCUUUAAAUAGGCCGGCGACGAGCUCGGCGAUCUCUCCCGAAGCGGCGAGGAUAAGCUCAACCACAGUCGUCGGAGGGUUGAGGUGGUCGUCGCGGAGUGCGCUGAGGUGACGGAGGAGAGCAGGGAGGCGAUGGGAUGGCUCCUGGCCAUUAAGGGCUCGCGGAUGAGAACAGUGGCCGGAGCCGUCAGUUCGGUCCUGUGGCUUAGCUUGGCCAGGAGCGGUGGCGGCAUUCUUCGGCGACCUAGCACUUUCAAGAGGUGCCACACGGCUGCCAGGGACCUCGUCGGUGCUCAGGACAAGGAUGGGGCAACGAAUGAUGGCUCGAGGCAGCUCGGCUGUCACUGGAGUUGCGCAGAGCACGCUCUAUGGCAUGCAAGCACCGUGAUCACCAUGGUUGUGGCCAACCUCAUGUCACGCAGGCCUAGAGACCUUGUCCAUUGCGCCGACCAGCCUCUCUUUAGUCACCAUCCACUGCUUGAUUGAUCAGUCACGCUCUCCUGCGACUUGGAACAUCAACAAUAGUUUCUGUCUACAGACUUUGGGUGGUUUUAGAGCUCAACUGGGUUGGGGUUCGAGUAAGAUAGGAUGUCUGGGCGGAUCAACAUAGAAAAGACUCCAAGCUGGCAAAGUUUGGCUAAGUUUGAAGAUCAAAUGAAUAUAGUUCCUUUGAAAACCAUCUUUCUGGUCCAGAACACAAAUGAGCUCCUAGCACUCAAUUGCAAGCUUUGCUAUAAGUGAAACUUGGUGGGGAAGUGUCAUUUGGUAGUGCACACAUGCCCAAAAAUUUGUAGCUCCAUUGUGCACUCCUAGCUAGCACUUCCUUCACAAGGGUUCAGUUUUAGCACAAACUUAGCAGAGUUUUCCUGCUCAAAAUUUGUAUUGGACCAUUGGAUGUUUUUACAUAUCGGAACCAUUGGAUGUUUUUACAUAUCGGAACUAUAUAUAUUUUUACAUAUCGGAACUAUAUUUUUGAAUAUUUUGAAAUCAUAUGGUGUUGAGAAGAUGUUGUAAAAGUUUUGGCUCUUAAAGCUCAUCCAACCUAUAGGUUGCUUCACAACCCAUAGUGAUGCCAUAAUUCCCAAAAAUAGAAAGAGAAUUAUUUGGAGGAAUAAAAUAUUGCAAAUAAAUCUCAGAAAGCUUUUGGUAAGAAGCAAAUUGUAAUGGAGUCAAUCUUUCUACGAGAAAAUUGACCGGGCUCAAGAUUCAUGACUAUCAUGUAUGGAUUGAGCGGUUAAUGCCGGUCAUGGUACGAAGCUAUGUCCCCAAGCGUGUCUAGAGAAUGCUUGCAGAGGUAAGACAUUUCUUUCGCAUGCUCUAUGCUAAAGAAGUAUUCCCAAUGUGAUUAGACAAUUGUAUAAGAAGACACCUAUCAUGGGUAUAAGUCUGACAGUAGAUGAAUAGGGUACGAAAGGAUGGGCAGAGCCUUAGCUACGCCGAGGUUGUAUGAGUUCAUGCCCCUCUACGGUGGAGGUAAAAGCCCUACGUCUCAGUGCUCUUGGGAGCUUGAUGUCGAGUGGAAUAUGGUAAACAGUGAAUUGCCAACCCCUGCACCAGUGGGGAAGGGCGACUUAUAUAGAGUGCGCUGCCCUUCACAACGGUUCGGUGCACAGGGCUGGAGCAGUGGCGAUUAAAUAUCUACAUUACAGGUAACGUAUGCCUUAAAUGCUAAUAAAGGUACAUGAAAACGUAUGACCGUUGCCCUCCAGGGGGGUUACGAUGUACAGAGUGGAAUCCAGUCGGUAAGUUUGAUACGCUCUGAAUGCUCAUCUCCGACUGGAUGAUGGAGGAAUCGUCACCGACUGGAUGAUGGGAAGUCCUUAAUUCAGUCGGAACUGACUAAGGGCCUUGUCCCUUAUGAAGGGUAGUCCUUGGGUAGGACCUAUAGGGCAGGCCUAUGACCCUACCCUAGGACUAUAACCCCAUAAACACCAAAGUUGAUAUCGAAGCUAGAGAAGAUUCUUCUGCCCGACUUCUUUACUCGGAUGACAAAUCUCAUUUUGCACCUCGCGAAAGAGGUAUUGUUUUGGGGCCCGGUGCGGAAUUGUUGGCAGUACGGUCCCAAUAUAUAGAACAAGCAUCUCUGAAACAAAUGUGGAAACAAAGCUAAGAUUGAAGCUUCCAUAGCCGAGGCAGUUUACCUUGAGGAGGUGUCAGACCUCAAGGCAUCGUACUAUCCAUACCACGUUCCCACUCUACAUAAUAAGCUGUGUCGACACAAUACGGAAGAGCCUAUGUAUAAACCCAAGUUUUAUUUAUUCAACGGGAAAGGUGCCAAGGCUGGGGGCUCGAAAUCUUAUAACCUGCCAGAACAAGAGUGGGAGGACAUCAUGUUCCAUGUCUUGCACAACAUCAACGAAGUUGAGGAUGAGUGGAUGAGGUAAUACCACUACACCAUUAAUACCUUUAUUUCUUGCACAAUAUCAUAUUCUAUGUUCACUUAGUCUCGACCUAAACACCACUUUUCUUCUUUUAGUCAAUUCAUUGAUGAGGAGUGGACGGUAAUGAUUCCUCCUAGUGAGGCGGAGGCACUUACUCUUCUAUGACAUGGGAACCCUGGAAGGAAACUUUUGUUGCUUGGUUCAUGGCGAAAGUAAUUUUUCACAUUCCCCUAUUAAAUACCUAGUUGAACAUUUAUUAGUUAGCCAAACUAAUGCACCCAACAAUUUCAAUUAAAUAAUACCCAACAUACGCCUUCUGUUGGUUUCGUCGAAGUUAAACAAUCAAUUGUCUAUGCCGGAGCCGAUCUCUUUAUUGCGGCUACCCAAGUCACACGAGUUUAUUAUCUGCCUUACCCAUGCCAGGAAUAGUACCUAAAGGGUUGGGAAGUUGUGUUCCAGGUGUCGCCACAUGGUAAGCUACCGGACUCGAACGAUGACGAUUAUUACAACAUUAACCCCAUGACAUACGAGGGAGUGUUCUUUUAAGAGCAACCCCAUGAUGAUGGUGAUGUGGUCAGAAGCGAUGACGCUGAUGCCUUUGAUGAUGAUGAUGAGGUGUGGAUCCAAACGAUGACGAUACACAUAAUGAUGGUGAGGCCAUUGUUAAUGAAACAACAUAAUUAUGCUAGAAAAGUUAAAUGAAGACACUGACAACGAGGAAGAGCCUCCACCUCCAUCCGACAAUGAAGAUGAUAUGUGUGAUAGUGAUGAUUAGACCGGUCGAGCUAUUGGUUACAACAUUGACGAUUCGUAUGGGUUCUAGCACAUGUACGUUUCUAUGUUUUUUCUAUUAAUGUCUUUUUUCGAUGCAACCAUACUUAUUUAUUAAUGUCUUUUUUCUAUGGUCUUUUCUUCGUUAUUAGUAUACUAAUUGUUUAUUCUCUUUUCAAUGGAGGUUUUCUAAGCAUGGGAAAGGGCAAGGCCGAUGGCACGGGUUUACUAGCCAAACUCACCUCGAUGUAUGGACCCCGCAUGGUUCCAUCCCGACUACUUGAGGAUAACUCCUUACAGGGAGGUUGAGGGAGAGGUGCCCCUAGAGGUGGAGGUUGUGCAGGGAGAGCCCCUAGAGGAAGGCAGGGCCGGGCCUAGAAACAACGCCCCCUCACCAACUUAGGUAUGUCGUUUACAAGGCCCUCCUCUAGUGAGGUACCCUCUACCGAGGAGGAGGAGGUUCACGAGGAGGUUGAGGAGGAGGAGGAGGUUCGCGAGGAGGUUGAGGAGGAGGAGGAGGUUCACGAGGAGGUUGAGGAGGAGGAGGAGUUUGGGGAGGGGUGGAGGAGGAGUUUGGUGGUGGCAGGUAGGGGGUUGGCAACAACAAGGGGUGGCUACGUGGUGCUGCAAACCUCCCCCCGAUCUUGCUACCGAGGAGCAGAAGUGGCCCAUUGAGCGAGCGGGGAAAGAGUAAGUGCCCCUUAAGCAUAUUUUAAUUCUUUUGCUUGGAAACAUGCUCAUAUUUUCUAUCUUUUCUAGGGGCUGGACAGUUCCUGAAAAUGUUCGUGUUCCAAACGGUAUCAUCACUAUCUUGAUGAAGGAAUAUUGGUCGGGGUUGUUCACUUCGGACAAAGACAAGCACCCGGAGCACCGGGUUUUGGCCACGAACUGGGACCACUACGAAGCGGCUCCCCACGUGGAAUUUGUUACACAUGCUAAGGCCGUGAUAACAAAUGUUUUGGUAAGUCCUCUUCAAAAGCAUGAGUCUUGAGUUUCAUUCAUAGUUUAUCAUCGAAUGGUUUAUCUCAUGGCUUCUUCCACUCUGGUUGUAUGACUAACUGUAGAAAUACUAUCCAGAUAUUGAGGAGAAAAAGCCCAUUGCCGACAAGUUGUUCCUGAGAGUUGCAAGGAAGGAGGCCUGCCAGAUGCAGUAAGAGGUGUGCUGGGUGGCCAUCUCGCAAUUUUAUUAUGACUAUCGUGACAUGAAGAUGCCCAAGGAAUAUGGGCGGAAGGAGCAUCUUACCUUGACUAGGGAGAAGUACCUGCUGUAAGUAUAACCGACUUUUCAUUCCAACAUUUGUGGUAAAUUUCAUUGUUUCGUGUCGACAUGCCAUUAUGCUUUCAUUAUGUAAGUGUCAGGAACGACACCUAUGGAAACUCGAGGAGUACCUUGAUCGUCCGGCGGGGAGAGAGAGGUACAACAUCGAGAGCGGAGCUAACGAUCAACACCGGCAAGGUCUUUCACCCAGGUUCGGACCGCUUGGCGCGUAAAACCCUACUCCUUCUUAGUUUGUAUUAUGUGCUUACUGUAGGAUGACUUGCUACAGUAACUUAGUGGGUGAUUAGGAAGUCUCCAAUCCCACAAGGGUCCAACCCUUAAGAAUGAGCCUUGGGUCUCCUUUUAUAGGUAAAGGGGUCACCAACAGUGUGCUCACGGGGUGAAUAGUGAACAGUAUUCACCGCUGUACUUCUUCGGUGGCGUCAGGGACAGGAAAUGCCUUGUUUGACCCCUGGCCUGCCACAAGGUGGUCGCGACACGUAUCCAGGUGAAUCGACACCUGGGUCUUGUGCUGGCAAACGAGGGAUGUGCUGGAGCGGUCGGAUUGUGGUAGAAACGGGGGAGGACACCUGGAGAGUGAAGGGGGCUUGCUUGCCUGGAGCCUCUGUCGGAUGACUUGGUCACCUUCCUCGCAAGGAGGGCUUGCCAAGGGCUUGGACACUUUCCCAGCAAGGAGGGCUUGUCGGGGGCCUCGCCAGUCUGUGCGAGCCUUCCCGGCAAGGGAGGCUUGCCGAGGUCUUGCUAAUCUUCGGGGGUCUUCCCGACAAAGUGGGCUUGCCGGGGACUUGGGGAUCUUCUCGGCAAGGAGGUCUUGCCGGGGACUUGCAUCUGGAGCCCUUGUACUCCACGCCCCGCGAAGAGAGGGAAGGUCGUGGCCUUGGUGGGUCUUGGAUUGCCUUGCUGCUGUUCUUCCCGGUGCACUACCGUCAUGGGCGUUGCUGAUGCCCGUGCAUAAGUCUAGGGCACAAGGGACCCCAGUCUCUAGUGCACCGAUAGGAGCCCCCGGGCCUGGGCCACGCACGCACGCGAAGUGUUGGUGGGCCAGGCCCAAAGUAGUGCACGUGCUUCUUUGGAAGGGGGACUCUGUAGCUUCAGAGCUGUUGUAGACGACCCUUCCCCACGCUGCGCAUUGAAAGCUCGAAGUGGGGAGGCAUGCGCACAGUGGCCAAGGUGUCCACGCGCGCGCUGAGCUAUUGGUUGGGAACGCAAGUGUCGACCGGUGCGCCUACCUUUCUUCUCAUAAGAAAGGAAAACAAAGCCACACAAGCCUUUCAUUCCUUCCCAGUUCUUUUCAAGCUCGAAAACGUCGCCCCCUCCUUUCUCCCGCUAAAGUUCCCUCCCCACCUCCACCUUUGCCCCCGAGGCCGCGCUUUGGACGGCCACAGCUUCCGCCGUUGCCAUGGCGCCUAAGGGAACAGAAGGCAAGAAGGGGAAACCUGUCAUCACAGAGAAGGAGUUGGCGAAGAUGCGGAAGGAGCUCGCCUAUUUUCCCCCGGGGCCCGACGCGUUCUUCCUGAAGGAGCACUAUCAGCAAAUGUGGGCGGCCAAGAGGAAGGCGCAUCCGGCCACUCAAGUGACCCCGGAGAAGUUGGCGGUGCUCCAGAAAAGUAUCCCUUCUUCGUCGAUUUCUUUAUUGCGAGCUCUGUCUGCCCUUCUCCGAGUUCUUCAUUGACAUCAUGAACACCUAGGGCUUCCACCUUCUGGAUUUCACGCCGAAUGUGGGGACAUGCAUGUCUAUAUUAGCGCAUCUCUCCGAGAAUUUUGUCGGGAUUACCCCCAACACCGCCCUCUUCCGCCACUAUUUCAUUCCCUGCAUUCAGGGAGGGGAUGCUCUUUCGGGCUCCAUCACUUGGAUCCCGUGGAUCGGAUGCAAGGAGAUGUAUCUGGAUGGGGCCCUUCGGGAGAAGUGGGAAGAAUGGCGUGGGAGGUGGUGGUGGAUCCUCGAGGAGAAGUAUCUGCCCUUCUGCGAGCCCAGGACCACCAAGAUCGACUCCCACGACAAGCAUGGGAGUGACCUCGACCUCGAUCAUAUGAAACUGACUGUCCCUAUCAACAGGAUCCUGCGUCUCAGGGACGCAGGGCUAACGAUAGAGAUGGUGGGUGCCCACUUUAUCCGCACGCACAUCGCCCCCCUGCAGAAUAGGGGAGGAAGGCUAGCCUCAGCCUUUGUGAACGCGCGAACAUCCUACGACUGUGGACUGGUUACAACAACAAUCUGAUGGUGAUGGGGCAUGCCUUCAUUUGCCAGAAGCUGUUCAAGUCGGACAUGAGGCCUCGGCUACCGCAUGGUGUCGUACCCUUGUGCAACAAUUCUGCCCUGAGUUACUCAUGGCAAGGAUGCCAGAGUGUAAUGCUCAUGGCGUGGUUGCGACUUGGAUCGAGCCAGGGAGGAGGAUGUCUUGUGCUUCUUUGACUUCUUGUCGGAGAAUCCCAUUAGAGAAGACACCGGCCUCGUCCGGGAGUACACCGACGAGGAGGUGGCGUAAAUUGCCAGCCGGGCCGAGGAGCAGGCCCUUGCCGAGACGGUAGGGAGCGUCGGCUUCUAUGACGAGGGGGCGCCCGAUGAGGAGGCGCAACAGGACAAGCAGCUCGCCGGGGAGCCCAUCAGCUCGGUGACCGGGGGCCCUUCAAAGGGACGGGCGCCCGACGCAGAGGAGGAGGAGGAGGAAGAGGAUGAGUCUCUAGCUCGCCGAAGGUCCAGGCGAGUGCUUCGACACGCCGACUCCAACAUCCCCGUCUGGCAAAAUCCACCCGCUGUGCCCGGCAAGCGUCCCGGAUCCGCGUCUCCUCGGGCGGAUGCCGAGGAGGACGUGGAUUUUGAUUUGUCUGCCUUCAGCUCAGGGGAGGAGGAGGAAUAGGUGUUUGACUUUUACCCCCUUCGAACCCCUCACCUUGUGUUCUUACUCAUCAAGUGUCGGUUCUUGUUCUCAGGGACACGGAGAUGUUGUCCCAGAGGAUGGUGAAGAAGGCCAAGGUGUCGGCGGGCGGUGGUCCUUCGACGAGCGCCUCAGAGGCGCCACCGGCAGCUUCCACCGCUAUGAUGUCGAGCCCCCGGGAGAGCCCCCAGCGGGAGUCGCCAAGGCCUGUGACGCCCGAGGACGAGCCCCCGACAACUGAUGUUGUCGGGGAGGGGACAACUGCCCCUCACCAGCUAAACGAGGGUGAGUGCCCUGGCAAGGGACGUCUAUAAGUUUCUCCACCCGUCUUCUUUUCUUUAUCUUGUACCACAGGCUUCUCCUCGGUGGAAGAGAUGAAUGUCGACUUCAUCAUCGAGGAGACUGCGGGGACGUGGCCGCUGAGGACGAUGAGGUUGCCGGGAGCGAGUCUGCUGCCGAGGCGCGGGAUCGGGCCACCCGGGAACCAAUAGAGGAGUCCACCGAGGUUCCCGGGGCGUGCAUCGGUGAUCCUCCUACCGUUGAAGGUUUGGGGGCAGCACUGGAUGAGGAUCCCCAUUUUAUCGACGAGAAUGCUGGUGGCGACCAGCUUCCCACGCCAGGGCCUCCGCCAGCAAGUGAGGAUGCUGGUAGAGAGUCGGUACAUCAAUCCGCCAGGGUGUGCCGUACCAGGAUAGCCUUCGAAGGGGAGAGCUUUGGCGCCGAAGUCUCCACCAGUGCCGGGCUUGAGACCGUGGAUGGUUCGGGGGCCUACGGCAGGAAGCUCAGCGAAGAGCAACUCUUCUAGUCCAUGAGGGACAACGUCAGCCAGCUCCAGGUCAUUUACCAGGCCCAGAAGGAGAAAUUGGACUCCCGAAUGACGUACGUCGAGGCAGCACGGGAGGCCUUCGAGAAGCGCUUCGAGGAGACGCGGGCUCACUUCGCCGAGGCUCACCAAGAGCUGAAGGUGGCUCACGAAAAGCUCAGGGCCGAGCAGGACAAGGUCCUCCCGAAGUCGUCUGACAUCCGGAAGGAGGAGGAAGAGGCUGGGCGCCAUAUCUCCGACGAGGACGCUCGCCUUAACGUGGUUUGGAUAAGCCUCAAGUCUCACGAGAAGGCGCUCGAUGGCAGGCUCCGUGCAAAGGACGAAGAAGUUGAGAAGCUCGUGGCGCGGCGUACCCAAGAGCUCGUGGAUCAGCAUAAGGACGCCCUUACCGCCCAGGCCUCGGAGCAUGCCGGCAAGUUGUAGGAGGUUGUCGGCAAGGCUGCCAACGCCGAGGCUUCCAAGGACGAGCUUGCCGGCAAAUUGAAGAAGCUGGAAGAGGAUCUUGAAGGCCUCGGCAAGAAGAUCUCUGCCCUCACAGUAGAGAGAGAACAUGCUCUCUCUAACUUGGCGGAGACCCAAGCUGCCGUUUCUGACAAGAGUGAUCAACUCAGCUCCGCCAAUUCUUUCCUUGUCGCCUUGCAAGAUAAACUAGCUCGUCUAGAGCGGGCUCUUGAAAAAAGCAAGGCCCGCGAGGAGGUGUUGGCUCAAAAGCUCCUUGUCGUGACGAAGAAGCUCGAGGCCGCCUCUGCCGCCCGCGAAGGUUAUAUGCACGGCAUGGAGCUGUGGACAAAGCGUCUUGUCAACACCGCUGAAGGGAUCGCUGCACAGUUGUCUUCUAUGGAUCUCCAGGGUGAUGGUUAUUCCCCGGACCCGGAGGUGUCUUCAAGCGCCAAGCAGGCCCUGUUGUUCGAAAGCGUGAUUGACGCUUUGAGGUAGAUUCAGGCUAGCGAGGCAGCGCGCCUGGCGAACGAAUCACGAAGGUUGUGCCGGGGCGCCCUCCUUAAGGUCCUCACCAAGCUGCCGUACAAGAAUCCCGGCAUCUACCUCUCCGGGGCAUCUGCCAAAAGUUGCGAACCUCAAGGAACUCGAGAAUCUGGUCAUGCCUAUUGUCGACAAGGCGGAACAGAUCAAGAGGGUCGAGGGCCUGCGCCGGGAUUAGUUCUUCUGCUGCUGCGAUCCUCAACCGAGAGCUGUUGUGCCUUGUUUAAUACUGUUAGUAUUGUAAUAUACAUUUUUUAAUGAAUGCUACUUUCCUCCCUUGCUCUUUUUGCAUGGUUCGUUCUUAUGUUCCGCUGAGGGUUCGCUAGCUCAAUUGGCUUUGCCGCAAUUGCUCCCGAGGGGUGACUUUUGCCGGAGUCGUCUCUGCGGGCAAGGUGCUUUGCUUCCCCCUGGAUUUACCCAUAGGUUGUCGAGCACGCCCCCUAAGCGGAAAAGGGCACGCGAGGUGGGCCUCUUAAGCUAUCGGGCGCGCUCUGAGACAACGUUUAGGAGGUUUGCGGUGGAGUUCCGUCGCACACAAGUUUUCCAUACAAACGUGUGCUAGUGACAUUUAAAGGGGAGGGUCGUGUCUGCCCGAAGACUUACUUGAAGUUUUUGCAACUUAUCUUUAGGCUGCGGUUCUUCUUUCUGUCUUGGGUAGACCGUCCUUGUUCUUUCUAUUGUCGUGGGCAUCCCCACUAUCUUCCCCGUCGGCAAAUUUAUGCGCGGGGUUUCAUCUGUCUUUUAAGAAAAAGAAAGAAGAGAAAAUAUGUGUCGGGACUUGACAGUCCAUUAGCUCAGGCGUUUCACAAAAUCUUAGAUUAUGCAUGUAUAUGAUCUAACAUAGAAAUCUAAAUGAUGAUGCAGAACACUACGUUUUAUGCAACUCAGCACAGGGGCUUCGUGUGGCUUUGUACAGAGGUUCACAUGCAACUUCGGCAAGACUUGUACAAAAGGUGGUCCCAGGGAGGCCCAACAACCUUUCGCUAUGGGUAGAACUUUCGAAGAUUUUCAAUAUUCCAGGAGUUGCUCACCGGUGUGCCAUCUUCGGUCUCCAGGCGGACAGCUCCGGGCCUGGUGACUCGUACUACCCUAUAUGGGCCUUCCCACUUCGGCAUCAACUUGUUUGAAUUCUUGGCCGACUGAACGUGUCGAAGAACAAGGUCGCCUUCCUCAAGACUUCUGGCUUGCACCUGGUGGUAUGAUAGCGACGCCAGGCUUUCUCAUAACGAGUAGCUCGUACAGCUGCCCGAAUCCAGGUCUCCUCGAGGAUCACUGCGUCGUCUUGGCGCAAUUGCUCUUGCUCAAGCUCAUCAUAAGCGAGCACUCGGGAUGACCCAAAAGUGAGUUCCAUGGGAAGAACUGCCUCCGCCCUGUAGAUCAGGGAGAAGGGUGUCUGGACGGUGGCUCGAUUUGGUGUCGUUCUGAUUGACCAAAGAACCGCCGAUAGUUCAUCAAUCCAGUGCUUUCCAUGCCUCCCCAGCUUGUCAAAAGUUCUUGUCUUGAGCCCCCGGAGUACCUCGACAUUUUCUCUUUCAGCUUGACCAUUGCUCUUUGGAUGGGCAACAGAAGCGAAGCAUAUUAUGGUGCCGAGGUCUUGGGCGUAGUUCAUGAAGGCAUGGCUCGUGAACUGGGUUCCAUUGUCCAUGAUGACCGUGUUCGGGACUCCUAUAUGGAAGACAAUUCAUUUGAAGAACUUGACGGCUGACUGGGCAGUCACCUUUCUCACCGGCUCCACCUCUGGCCACUUUGUGAACUUGUCGAUUGCGAUGUAGAAGUACUCAAAUCCCUCGACAGCGUGGGGAAAAGGGCCGAGAAUAUCGAGCCCCCAGACCGAGAAUGUCAAGAGAGAGGGAUCGUUUGGAGAGCUUGAGCUGGCUGUUGAAGCUUCCUUGAAUGAAACUGGCACGCUUCACACUUGGUUACUAGUGCAGUUGCAUCGUGGAGGGUCGUGGGCCAGAAGAAGCCUUGCCGACAAGGGCUCUUGCCACUAUGUGGGAGCCACAUAUCCCCUCAUGUAUCUCGGCCAACAGCUUCACCCCUUUCUCAUGGGCAAUGCACUUCAGUUUCACACCGUUUAGUCGUCUUAUGUACAGAGCAUCAUCCACGAAUUGGUACAUGCUGGACUGACGGGCUACUCUUUCCGCUUCUUCCUGUCCUUCGGGAAGGUCCCCAUCCUGGAGGUACUCGACUAUGUGCUGCGCCCAUGCCGGAGCGUGAGGUUCGGCGCAAGGACUAAAGGCAUCUCCUCUGCCGGGAUGGUGUCUAUCCCGACAGGCUUUGUAUCUCCCCCGACAACUUCCUUUCCGACAAGGUCCUCGCCGGGGCCCUUUGGCAGGUCCGCCGUAAAGUACUUGCCAGAGUUUAGCCUUCUCCUCUAUUCCGGCUUGGUGGAUGGUGAUACAGAAGGUUGAGUUAGUCGUAGCAUGAAAGUUCCUGGUUCCACAUGUAACUUAAGGGCUGCGCACUUCGACAAUUCGUCGGCGAUGGUGUUUUCGGCGCGGGGGAUGUGCUCCGCAUGGAGACCAUCAAAGUGCUCUUCCAACUUACUCACUUUCUCAACAUAAGCUUCCAUCAAUGGGCUCUGGUAGUCCUUGUUGAUUUGCUGGACUACCAGUUGAGAGUCUCCCCUCACGAUGAGCUUCCUGAUCCCCAGAUCUGCCGCAAUUCUGGGGCCGGGAAGCAGCCCUUCCUAUUCUGCGGUGUUGUUGAUGGACUUAUCCCGGGGAAAGUACAUCUGGAUUGCGUACUUGAGGUGUUGUCCAGUAGGUGCAACUAGUAGCACACCGGCUCCAACACCUUGAAGUGAGAAUGCUCCAUCAAAGUACAUGAUCCAUUCUUGGUUGGAUCCCUUGCCCGGGAGGGUUGAUUCUGGUAUUUCUUCGUGUGGCGUCGGGGUCCAUUCGACAAUGAACUCUGCCAAAGCCCUGCUUUGGAUGGUCGACAUGCUUUCGAACUUGAGGCCGAAACUGGACAAUUCCAAAGCCCACUCCACCAUCCUGCCAGUUGCAUCGGAGUUCCGCAAAACCCUUGGCAGCGGAAAGCGGGUAACGACGGUGAUCUCAUGUGCUUGGAAGUAGUGGCGCGGCUUCCUCGAGGCCAUGAGAAGGCCGAAAAGCAGUUUUUGCACCCUGGAGUAUCUCGAUCUAGCCCCCUGCAGGAGGGAACUGACGAAAUAGACCGGGCGCUGCACCAUCUUCUUCUUCUGCACUAGCUCGCCUGUUGGAGGGGUUCCUCCUGAUCACCCCUGGAUUUUGCCGGGGCUCCUUGGUUGCCAGUGUGCGCUUCCUCAUUUGGUGGCGUCGCCUUAGCUGGAGUACCUUCGUCAUCUUCCCUCUCCGCCACCAAGGCGGCGCUAACCACCUGGUUGGUUGCCUCUAGGUACAGGAGCAGCGGUUCUUGUGGUUUGGUGCUACCACGAUUGGCGCAGAGGAAAGGGUAUCGCUUCAGGUCUUGUAGUGCUGUUUCUGCCUCGGCGAUCCACUCCAUUGGUCCCGCUUUCUUCAAAAUUUUGAAGAAAGACAAGGUGCGUUCGGCGGACUUGGAGAUGAACCUGCUCAGGGCGGCUACACAGCUGGCAAGGCAUCGCACAUCCUUGACACGCUUUAGUGCCUCGAUUUGUUCAAUGGUCUUGAUCUUGUUGGGGUUAGCUUCGAUCCCACGUUGAGACACGAAGAACCCGAGAAGCUUGCUGGCUGGAACACCGAAGACACACUUUUCAGGGCUGGGCUUGAGGUUAAUCUAGCGCAGGUUGGCAAAUGUCUCCUCCAGAUCUUGCACGAGUGUUGACCUUUCUUUGGUUUGAACCACUAUAUCAUCCAUGUAGGCUUCCAGGUUCCUAUGGAGUUGGGGCUCAAAACCAAACUGGAUCACCCUUGCAAAGGUGGAGCUGGCAUUCUUCAGCCAAAGGGCAUGCAUACAAAGUAGUACGUGCCACAGGGGUUGAUGAAAGAGGUUUUCUCUUCAUCUUCCUCGGCCAUGUAAAUCUGGUGAUAUCCUGAAUAGGCAUCGAGGAAGGACAACAGGUCACAGCCAGCGGUGGAGUCGACAAUCUGGUCGAUGCGCAGCAAGGGAAAAGGGUCUUUUGAGCAUGCUUUAUUGACAUAGGUUAAAUCGAUACAAAGCCGCCACUUUCCGUUUGCCUUGCGCACUACAACCGAAUUGGCCAACCAGGUGGGAUGGAUGACUCCCCUGACGAGUACCUCUGCUUCUAACUUCUUGAUUUCCUCUUCAAUUAACUCCUGCCGCUCCAAGGCUUUCUUCCUCACUCUCUUCUUGACCGGCCGCGCGUGGGGGCAGACAGCGAGGUGGUGCUCAAUCACCUUCCUGGGAACACCGGGGAUAUAUGAUGGUUGCCAUGCAAAAACAUCGAGAUUCGCCCGCAGGAAGGCGAUGAGCGCACUUUCCUAUUUGCUAUCAAGGGCAGAACUUUUGGUGAAAGUUCCACCCGUGCCGUCCUCUUAGGCGGGUACCUUCUUGAUUUCUGGUGGGGCAGCCUUGGACUUCUUGUUUCAGGCAGUAGAGGUUUCCCGGUCGUCUUCAACGACAGCAAGGUACUCCAGAGCAACGUGCUUGCCGGGAUCAACGCGGGAAGCCCUCUUGUCGGGAUUCUUCUCUCUGGGGGACAGUGCCUUGGCGGCAGGCGUUGCCACUAUCUUCUGGUAGAGGCAGUUGGUGCACACGAGCGCAUCCUUCUUGUCGGCGUUGAUGACGAUCACGCCGACUAGCCUGGGCAUCUUCAGGGUGUUGUAGGCGUAGUGGGAAGCCGCCAUGAACUUAGCUAGUGCAGGACGCCCGAGGAUCCCGUUGUAUGCGAACGGAUUGUCAGCAACGUCGAAGACGAUCUUCUCCGUUCGGUAGUGGUGGUCACUGCUGAAAGUCACAGGCAACAUGAUCUUCCCCUUCGGUUGAAUCUUCCCUAGGUUGAUCCCUUGGAACGCUCCCUUUUCCUCAAGAUCUUCGUCGGGGAUCUGUAACCUUUGGAUCGCGUCGGGGGAGAUGAGGUUCAGACCUGACCCGCCAUCUACCAACAUAUUCAUCACCUUGAGGUUGCGGAUCGUUGGCGAGACCAACAACGGCAAACAUCCGACCGUUGUAACGUGGUCUGGGUGAUCCUCUAAAUCGAAGAUGAUCGGUGUGUGUGACCACUUCAAGGGCCUAUGAGUGCCGAGGGAGGGCUCCGCCGCGCUCAUCUCACGCGCCCACUUCUUCAGUUGGCAGUGGGAAGAGUGAAGCGAUGCCCCUCCAUCGAGGCACAUCAUGUCUGUGGCCUUCUGGAACUCGUGGUCACUAGAGUCGUCGUCUGGGUAGUCUUCAUCCUCAUCUUCCUCCUUCCUUUCCCGCGCUGGUGCGGGCUUGACCUUCUUGUUCUUGAACUUGCCAGGGGGACCCCCUUCGCCGCCCUUCUUCCUGCCCGAUCCUUCGCCACCAUCUUGGGCCUUUUCUUUGUCGCGUCUGUGGUACUCUGCCCUCUGUUUGUUGGCAAGCUGUUCGACUUGUCGGCAGUGUUGGAGGUCGUGACCCUUGGUGCGGUGGAUCUUGUAGUACUGGGCGUCGGAGCCCUCGGGCUUGUUGGUGGCCGCCAAGGCUUGGGAAGAGCUGCAUCCAUCACCAUCUUCGCCGGAAGCCUCGGCCUUCGCCUACUUGGAGGCGUCGCCGCUGCCGGAUGUUUCGACGGGGAACGCGGCUUUCCCCUUCCAUUUCUUCUUGCGUCGCUCCCCCUCUUCGUGGGGGCGCUGACGUCUUCAUCUUCGGAGUCGGCCUCUGCACCGGCGUAUUCACCAGGAAGCCUUCUCCUUCUGCUCGAGCACACUUGUCCGCCAGGGCGUAAAGCUCGGCGACAUCGCGGACCUUGUUCAUCGCAAGCUCCUUGCGCAUCUUCCAGUUCCGCACGUUCUGAUGGAACGCCCUGAUGACUGCAACUGGGUGAACAUCCGAGAUGUUGUGUUGUAUGCGGUUGAAUCUCUAGAUGUACUUGCGCACAGUCUCACCCUCCUUCCGGGGGAUGAUGUGCAAGUUGCUCUCCUGGUCAGGGGCCCGAUGGCCGCCCGUGAAGGCGCAAACGAAGUCCUGACAAAACUCCUUCCCGGAGGAAAUGGAGUUCUUGGGUAGGUGCAUUAACCACGACCUGAGGUUGGGCUUCAGAACCAACGGGAAGUAGUUGGCCAAUAUCUUCUCAUACCAACCACCAGCAGCAUGCACCACGAUGGUGUAGAUGCUUAGGAACUCGGACGGGUGGGUCUUGCCAUCGUACUUCUCUGGGAUUUCCAGCUUGAAGGUACAGGAGCUGGGCCACUCGACCUGCCGCAACUCGCGGGUGAAUGUCAGGCAGCCCACCUUGUAAGGUAGGUCGCCAGGAUACCCCGAUGGGGGAGCGUCUAUAGCGGCCCCUGCUCGUCUGUCUGACUGACGGCGUGUCUCUCAUCGUCGCUCGAUGAGAGCACGCACAUCCUCCUUCUGCCACUCGUGAAGGACAUCAUGUUGAUCGCGGCGGGUCCGCGGGUCAGAAGACCCGGUCGAAUCGUUAGAGACGACAAUCCUUUGCCGCCAUCGUGGGGAAGAGUGUACCGUGGCGGUGGCAGCUCCAGUCUUCUCGGUGCAGUCGUGGGCGCGUUUGCCGGAGGGCCAUUUCGACGUCGCCUGCUCGGGCCCGUCCCCAUUGGCGAGGGUGACAAGACUCUAGAUGGUAGCCCUCCACUCCUUGAGCCUGUCUGCUAUCGGGGAGAAGUCCAAGAGUAGUUGGGCUCGCUUCAGGGCUUCCGCCGGCAUGGGCGGCGGUGAUAUGUGCGAAGACCGCGAGGGACUCUUACUUCUAACUGUGUUGAAAGGAGGAUCCCCUUGGUCUCGCGGUGGCGCGCCGCUCUUGCCGGUCGCGGAGCGAGCGUGUCGGUCCUGUGAAUCUUGGGAGCGAGGUCCCGGAGACCUUCGUGGGGGCGGCGACCCACCGCCGCUCCGGCGUGGUCCGCCGUGUGCGCCCUCGGAAGGCUGUGGUGGGUCGAUCUGCGUCAUUGUCCUCGAGGAUGUCCUUACAUCCUACGGGGUAGCGGCGCCACCCGUGGCUGUGCAGCUACAUCUUUCGACGUCCCGGCGUGCGGAUGCUCGCCGUGGUCGCGGAUGAUACCACUCGCCCGGGUCUGCUCUCCAGAGUGUCGAGGAGGUUCGGGACCUCCGCCUCCUUGUCCUGCGCCCACACCCUCACCUGCCUGCGCCGGGGCAGGAGCAUUGGGCGCGGGUGUGUCUGUCGCCGGAGCACCCCUCCUCUUGGGGGCAAUGGCGGUGAAGAGGAACUAGUGUGCUGAAGGCUAGAUCGGAUCAACGCGACCUCCUCCCCCUACCUGACGCGCCAAAGAUGUCGGGAAAACCGACACCUAUGGGAAACUCGAGGAGUCCCUUGAUCGUUUGGCAGGGAGAGAGAGGUACGAUGUCGAGAGCGGAGCUAGCUAUCAACACCGGCAAGGUCUUUUACUCAGGUUCGGGCCGCUUGGCGCGUAAAACCCUACUCCUACUUAGUUUGUAUUAUGUGCUUACUGUAGGGUGAUUUGCUACAGUAACUUAGUGGGUGAUUAGGAAGUCUCCAAUCCCCAAAGGGUCCAACCCUUAAGCAUGAGCCUUGGGCCUCUUUUUAUAGGAAAAGGGGUCACCAACAGCGUGCUCAUGGGGUGAAUAGUGAACAGUAUUCACCGCUCUACAUCUUCGGUGGUGUUAGGGGCAGUAAAUGCCUUGUCUGACCCCUCACCUGUCGCAGGGUGGUCGCGACACGUAUCCAGGUGAAUCGACACCCAGGUCUUGUGCUGGCACAGGAGGGAUGUGCUGGAGCGGUCGGAUUGUGGUAGAAACGGGGGGGGGGGACACCUGGCGAGUGAAGGGGGCUUGCUGGCCUGGAGCCUCUGUCGGAUCACUUGGUCACCUUCCCGGCAAGGAGGACUUGUCGGGGGCUUGGACACUUUCCCGGCAAGGAGGGCUUGCCGGGGGCCUCGCCAGUCUGUGCGAGCCUUCCCGGCAAGGGAGGCUUGCCGGGGUCUUGCUAAUCGUCGGGAAUCUUCCCGGCAAAGUGGGCUUGCCGGGACCUUGGGGAUCUUAGAGGCAAGGAGUGCUUGCCGGGGCCUUGCAUCUGGAGACCUUGUACUCCACACCCCACGAAGAGAGGGAACGCCGUGGCCUUGGUGGGUCUUGGAUUGCCUUUCUGCUGUUCUUCCCGAUGCACUGCCGUCACGGGCGUUGGUGAUGCCCGUGCACAAGUCUGGGUCACUAGGGACCCUAGUCUCUAGUGCGCUGACAGUAGGCGUGUCCUGAUUGGUGUUAUGGAAAAAAGGAAUCAUGGACGACAUUGGUUGAUAUUUGGCUCGAUGAUGAUGAUAAGUGGGCUGCUAAAAGCAUCCAAAACCGGGCUAAUUGAGGGAUUGACGGAACACAUGGUUAGGGAAACUGAAACCAUUGGAGGCACAAGAAAGUUCAGGUAUAUCUAUGUACAUGAAAAAUUCUUCUUCUUCUAUGCAUGACUAACCUAUGUUUGGUGGUCUUUGGUGGUCCGGAGGAGAAAUUGAAGUGACCGCCCUCAGACAUGGAGGCGUGGGAGCUAGACCAUAUGCGGACUAAGCCCAAGGAUGGCAAGGUCAAGUACUAUGGCAAGUCCGGCCAACACAUUUAGGCCUACAAGGAGGCGUAUCUUGGGUUCAAUCCUGAUAGACCUGACCCCAUAAUAGAGGCUACGGACGACAGGGCGGUGGUCGGCAUAGGGUCGAAGAAUCAUGGUCAGAAGGUAUUUCUGGACGUUGUGGUCACUCCUUCUAUCUCCUACACACAACUCCGAGUUACGAACCCGAGCCUGAGACCGCACCCGAGCACGACCAGUGCACCCUCACAGUCCCUCCUAACCCAGCAACACAUUGUAAGAAUUUUCCCUCUUAUCUUCCUUUAUUUUCCACAUUGAGAUGCUUCAUGAGUUUCAUCAUGCCAUAUUGUAGGCCUACAUGGAGUACACACGUCACAAGACCCUGGCGUGGAAUGCGAGAGCUACAACAGUUGUGGACCACAACAGUUGCAUGAUGAAGGUUAGUUUUGACCCUUUCAUUUGACUUUCAUAUUUGCACUUUCAUUUCUUCUAACCUUCGUGUUUUCUUGUUCAACUAACAUGCAUCACGUUUUUGACUCCUUGGCGUCCGACACGGCUCCUGUAAUGGAACCACCAUCACCACCUACUGGACCACAACCAGUGCUGGCUACGUUUGAAGAAAUUCUAGCACAACACUGUCCAACUCCGGUUUGUACAUCCCCAAACUAUUCAACCACUACUUAUCGUUUAUUCACCACAAUCAUAUAUCUCUUUAACAUCUCUUUUCAAACAUGCAGGGAACCGGUGGAUCAUCCAUUGGUGGUGGUGCCAAUUAUGGCAUCACUCCCGAGUCAUAGAGCCCGAUCACUCCAAUCCACCGUGGAGGUGGCGGUGGCGGUCUUGACACUAGCGGUGUCGGUAGCAGUGAUGAUCUGGGAUUUGGCGGUCUUGGCGGUGACGAAGUUGGUGGUAGACGUCCUGGCCCUUAAGCCUCUAGGUGGUGGUGCUGACUUCUAUCUUUCAUGCUUCUCUAUUGUGGACUUAUGUUGUGUUGUUCGAGUUAUGUUGUGUUGUUCGACUUAUGUUGUGUUGUUUCCACUUAUGUUGUGUUGAUUCGACUUAUGUUAUGAUGGUAAUACUUAUCUUAUGGUGAUAAUGAUGUGGAUCUGAUAUAUAUAUAUAUAUGGUGUAUAUAUGAUCUGUGAUAUAUAUGUGUUCUGUAUUUGAAUUGAACAUGAGUAGGAAAUAAAAAAAACAAGAAAUAUGCCGACGGCUAUGCCGUCGGCAUAGCCAUGCUCUAGUAAGGACCAGAAGCUGCCACGUUGUAGAGAUACGUCGACGACUAUGUCGUCGGCAUAGCCAUGCGCCAGGAAGCACCAGAAACCGUUACAUGACAGAUCUACAACGACGGCUAAACCGUCGGCGUAGCCUCACGCCAAAGCACGUGAGGGACCGCCAUGUGGCAGAUCUACACCGACGGCCUCCACGUCGGCUCAGCUUUGGAGAUAUACUGAAGGCUAUGCCGCCGGCAUAGGGGUGCCACGUGGUUUGCUCCGGUUAGCUGUCGCCCGCUGACGGCGCCGUCAUGUGCUGUCAUGUGGCAAAGGUUGCCGACGGUCUAUCUAUGCCGACGGCUAUACGACGGUCGUCGGCGUAGGUACCUAUGCCGACGAACCUGGCCGGAUACGCCGAUGUUCGUUCCCGACGGUGCUAUGCCGACGAUGGCCGUCGGCAUAUCCCUACGCCGACGCGAUAUGGACCUACUCCGACGGCCUUCGGACGUGAUUCUCUCCUUCUAUAAAACUAUGAUACGCAUUUUUGUACUCUCGAAAAACUUUGAAGUAAAUUACACAAGUAUUAUUGAUUACAGGGCAUAUUUCCAAUAAGGCAAACCGCUAGGGUGGCCCGGUCUGCAUGAAUUAGAGGUGGACCAGAGUAAAACCACAAGAGGGAAAACAAGGGAAAUGGAGGAACCAACAAACUCCCCUUUAAUUAGUAAAGCUCAUUGGUUUCCAUUCAUAUCAUGUGUUGUGUUAUCUAUUUACUACAUAUGUUACUUCUAUCGUGGCUAGUCUUAUGUUUGUUUCGUCGAAAGUGCUAUUAUGAGCUUGAGCUCAAAUGCCUUUAGAUGAACAAUAAAAUCCAAAAAAAUAGUAAAAUGUUUCAAAAAAUUGUAAAAUUUUGUGGCAAGAAACAUUGGUGUUUUUCCUACAUGCAUGCCAAAAUUCAUAAGGGAAUCACAUUCGUGGAGGUAUAGACAAAAAAACAAAAUUGAUGCUUCAAAAUGCUUCCAAAAACACUAUUUUUAAAGCAUUGAUUUUGUUUUUUUACCCACCCUCCACAAAUGUGAUUUUAUCAUGAUUUUUUUGCGGGGUUUCAUCAUGAAAUUUUGCACGCAUGUAGUAAAAAUAUCAAUGUUUCAUUUCUCAAAAUUUCUGAUUUUUUCGAUUUUUUAAAUAUAUUUGCCGAUUUUACUGUUCAUACGGGAGUAUAUGAGCUCGAGCUCAUAUACUCCAUGUCCUUGUUCAUACGGGAGUAUAUGAGCUCGAGCUCAUAUACUCCAUGUCCUUGUUUCGUUCUCUUCUCUCUUUGUCUAAGUCUGUAACUCCAAUUUUAUCCCUUGAUCAAUGAUUCGUCGAAUAUGCACCAGCGUAAUCUUUUUGUGAGGACAACGUGUAGUAUUAUUAUUUCAACUAGCAAAAGGGCUCGUGCGUUGCAACGGGAGAAAAAAUACCACACGCUUUUAAUGUUUUAUAAUCAUUUUGAUUUAUUAAAAUAAUAAGCUGACGAACUAAUGUAGUCAGUUCUAUCCUAUUUUGUUGAGAAAUCAACCCAUCCAUUGUUAAUUCUACCAUGAUGAGAAAUUGAGCGGGACAAGCAAAGCAAAACAAAGAGGCUACGUGAAUUGAUCAAGGGACUGUUAUCUUAUUUCACUCAUGGGAUAGAGAACGUGGGAUGAGAUGAAAAACUGAAGAUGGUGUUCCAUUCUCUCUCUCUACAACAAUGCAAUCUUACAUUCAAUACAUUCAUUCAUCAGCAAACAAAUUCUCACAAAACAAAUUUUCUUGCCGGUGCUUGGCACACGAUUGGAGGCAUGCAGAGGGGAUCUCAUCAGAUGAUGAGUUCCUGCCGGAGGAGGGGAUACGAUGAGGGGAGCAAGGGUUAGGCGCCUCUAUCUGGCCAUAAGGAGUCGCCGUUGCCGCGCCAUAACCUCGGAGUUCCCCGUGUGAGCCAUGGAGGUCCGCCUCCACCUGCAAGUACUUCGCUCCGCCGCGCCUUAUCCGCGCGCCGCCGCCGUUCUGCAUCGAGCAGACGCAUCAUCCAAGUCGUUGUAGCUGUCGCGUUGAUUUGAUCCAGAAGCUGUGCUCGAGUGCCGAAACAGGGGCAGCAAGCGGGCAGAGGUACGACCGCGGAGGCGGGCAGGUUGAGAUCGACAGCAGUGGUGGUUGAGGUCGGCCGCGGCGGCGAGUGGUGUGGCAGCGGCCUGGGCACAGGCCAGGGUGGACCAGGGUCGACGCGAUGCGCUCGAGCGCCUCAACGUGGUAGUGAGCGGGGAGAGGUACAGCCGCGGAGGCGGGUGGGUUGAGAUCGGCAACGGUGGCGGUUGAGGUCGGCCGCAGCGGCAAGUGGUGUGGCGGCGGCCUGGGCACAGGACAGGGUGGUCCAGGGUCGACGGGAGGAGGCGAUGCGUACGGGUAUAAUUUUUACAGCGAAUCAUUUUUUUUCUUUUGCGUUGCAGAUAAAUGAUGGAGCGCGGGUUGAAUAACAAAAAAUACAGGGGUUUUUUUAUAAAAAUGUUGUGGUGGGUUUUCCGACGAAAGCAAUAGCCGCUUUAUUAUUAGAUAUAGAUUAGUCUAUCAGAACGGAAGAACAUCGAAAAACUUUCAGGACAAUACUUGGUAGAAAAAUUACACCCGACCCGAUUCAGACGUGCUGCCUACCUAAUUAUCCAUCUACGUAGACUAAAGAGCAGAACAUGCACGCAGUCGUAGAGAGGAAGCAGGAACAACGAGUGCAGUUAACCAAACGUCUGAACCGGCCAGUUGCGUGCCUACGGCUGGCUACACGCCGCCGCAGCGGUAGACGAUCCGGCACGUACGCCCCACCCGGACGACGUACUUGUGCUGUGGCUUCACGAGGAACGGCGGCAGCCGUAGGAGCGCCUCGCAGACACAGUCCUUCUGCACCUCCUGCAGCCACCGGCAGCAGUCGCGGUACGCCCGGAGCUCCUCGUCGUGGUGGUGCUCGUGGUUGUCGUCAUCGUGCUCGUGCUCGUGCUCGUGGUCAUCGUCGUCGUCAUCGUCGUCGUCGUCAUGGUCGUCGUCUUCUUCAUGGUCGUCGUCGUGAUCGGGGUCCUCCUCGUGGUCAUCAUCAUGGUCGGGGUCCUCCUCAUGGUCGUCGUCAUGGUCGGGGUCCUCAUCACCGUCGCGCACACGACCACGGCGCCCACGUCCACGCCCACGCCCGCGUCCACGCCCACGCAGACGGCCGUGCCCGCGGCGCGUGUGGUUGCCGCCAUGGUGACCGGUGCCGUUUCUUGCAACGACAACGCCGCUGCUGUUGCUGUUUGCCGCCAUCAGACCAAGGGACGAGAUGUUGAUGACCGCCGCGUGGCCAUGGCGUCCACGGAGGCGGCGGUCACUGUCUCCACCGUGGUGAUCGUCGUCGCCGUCGUCAUCAUCGUUGUCGUCAUCAUCAUCAUCGUCAUCGUCGUGGUGGUGAUGGUGUCGGUCGUCCUCCGGAGGGCUGGGCGGCAGGAUGGAGCAGGCCUGGCUGGCAAUGGCGAACUGACUGAUGCAGAAGGCCUUGGCCUUGCCCUGCUGCGCGGCGACGGGGGCGAGGAGGGAAGGGAAGAAGAGGAGGACGGCGGCCAAAGCCGCGAUGUGGGACGCCGAUGCUGCCAUCUACGGAGUCGUGGCUGCUAUGUGAAGUGCCACACUAGUGCAUGCCGGCCACUUCUUAUAAAGAUGUGUAACCAAGUCAGUAAUGUGCAUUAGAGAGGUUAUUAAAUAGUUGGGGUCAAGGCCGGGUUGGGAGUGACCUGGUCGAUCGAGAUGCACACAGCAUGGUGCAUGGUUGUAAUUAGUUAGGUGCUUCAUAACUAUGGCGUGCAUCCAGGAUUGUCCAGCCAUGUCCACCUUGUUUACAUGCAUGAAGGCGUGCAUUGUUGGUGAGAGGCCAGUGACAAUUUGGUUGUAUUAAACUUACUAAAUUAUUAUGUUCGUCAAUCUUAAAAGAAGUCCGCCUAAUUUAGAAUGUUUAGAGGUUGUUUGCAUUUGUUAAGCUGUCUUACAUUUUGUUUUUCAUUUACCCCGCUGGUUAAAAGAGAUAAUGAUAUGUACUCCCUCCGUUCUUAAAUAUAAUUUUUUUAGACACUACAAAACUACAUACAAAUGUAUAUAAAUAUAUUUUGAAAUAUAAAUUUAUCUAUUUUAUUAUGUAUGUAGUUAUAUAAUGAGAUAUAUAAUAAAACUUAUAUUUAAGAACGAAGAAGAGAGUACGUACUGUACAAAUAGUCAAAUCUCACCAUUCAAAGCAUCAAAAGAUAACAAAGAUUACGUCGAGUUCUCUAAACCACCAAGCUACCAAUGCCUCCUGAGAGAGCCAGUUCAAAAUUCAUGAAAAUUCAUACCAUAUAAUGCAAUUUAGUUUAAAUGUCAUAAUAAUUUCAGCAAAUCUCUAUCUCUACUACUUAAGGUUACCGUUUCACCACUUGCUGCGUGCAUUCUUUCUAUAUAUAUUCUCCCUUCCUUUUAUGUCUUUUUCCUCCUACGUUGAUUUUCUCCCACUAGUUUUCUCUAAAGCAACUCAAUUAUCUCACGUCUUAUUAACUAUCAAAAUAAAAUAUCAUUACCAUUGAUAACUCAAUAAAUUGUUACAAACUAUUCCCUCCGUCUUACGGCACUUAUUUUGGGGCGGAGGUAGUAUUAUUUAAGAAUAAGACGAGAGGUGAAUUAGGAUCAUUGUAAACAAAAAAUAGAUAAGAUUUUAGUUCACCAAUGUAAUAAAAGACUUUCACUACUAGGAAAAAACUUAUAGACAAACGCUAACUAGUAGCGCAGGUUUUUACCCCUCGCUACUGAUACUUAGUAGUAGCACGAGUUUUUACCCCUCUACUACUAAGUUGAUAGUAGUAGCGCGGGUUUUUAACCCUCGCUACUACUAAGUGGUCUCAACUGUGCCCCCCUAGGACAUGCAAUAGUAGUAGCGCGGUGUAUAAACGAGCGCUACUACUAAGUUGAUAGUAGUAGUGCGGGUUUAAAACCCACGCUACUACCAGGUAGCCUUCAUUGUUGAAAGGACCACGAUGACGCCUCGAGGGGGGGGGGAGGGGGGAGGGUGAAUAGGCUAUUUAAAAACUUGUUCGGAUUUGGCUUAAACCUAAUGCGGAAAUAAACUAAGAGGAUACUUUUCAAGCACAAAUCCUAAAUGCAAUAGGCACCGCAACAUGGUUACUAACAAGCACAAGUAAGUUACACAACCUUACUUGAGCUAUAUCACACGACAAGUAGGUGAACGACACAAGAUACUAGAUCACACUAUAGCACACGAUAUAUCAAAAGCUGCAAGUGUGAACGUGUGGAUAUAGAGGGUAUGCUUGAACGAUUAAUCUUGUACAAAGAAAUAGCCAACACAAUAUAAUGAGCACAAACAAUAUGCAAUGUAUGUAUGCUCAAGUAANNNNNNNNNNNNNNNNNNNNNNNNNNNNNNNNNNNNNNNNNNNNNNNNNNNNNNNNNNNNNNNNNNNNNNNNNNNNNNNNNNNNNNNNNNNNNNNNNNNNNNNNNNNNNNNNNNNNNNNNNNNNNNNNNNNNNNNNNNNNNNNNNNNNNNNNNNNNNNNNNNNNNNNNNNNNNNNNNNNNNNNNNNNNNNNNNNNNNNNNNNNNNNNNNNNNNNNNNNNNNNNNNNNNNNNNNNNNNNNNNNNNNNNNNNNNNNNNNNNNNNNNNNNNNNNNNNNNNNNNNNNNNNNNNNNNNNNNNNNNNNNNNNNNNNNNNNNNNNNNNNNNNNNNNNNNNNNNNNNNNNNNNNNNNNNNNNNNNNNNNNNNNNNNNNNNNNNNNNNNNNNNNNNNNNNNNNNNNNNNNNNNNNNNNNNNNNNNNNNNNNNNNNCAAAUCUCAAAUAGCUUGGGUUGAGAGGAGGAGAGGGAGACGAUCUAUCUUUUGAUUGGAACAACUCUCAAAGGGGCUCACAAAUGCUCUUGGGAUCUAAGAUUUGGUGUGAGCAAAUGUGUGUGAGGUAGAAAUGUGUUCUUAUGAGGAUAUGGCUGUGUUGGGCACCCUCUCACGAAGUGGGAGGGGGGUAUUUAUAGUGGAGAAGGGAAAGUGACCGUUGGGGUCANNNNNNNNNNNNNNNNNNNNNNNNNNNNNNNNNNNNNNNNNNNNNNNNNNNNNNNNNNNNNNNNNNNNNNNNNNNNNNNNNNNNNNNNNNNNNNNNNNNNCAAGCUAUUUGAGAUUUGAGCAAGUUUUGAGCAUUCCAAGUGAUCUUGUUACUCUUCGAGGUUGGAGACUCCUAGGCGGUAGGAGUUCUUUGGAGAGGAAUCAAUCCGUGUGAUUUCCCCCGGAAAAUUUUGUGAGGGUUUGGAAGCUACCUCAAAGGCUUACCACUAGUGGUUGAGAAACGCCUUCGUGGUGUUAUCUCAAAGGGAGAAUAGGGUGAGCCUUCAUGGCAUUGGUGUGCCUUCGUGGUAACAUCCACCUCUCUAACGGUGACUAGCUUCCCUACAAGGAAGAGAACAUCGGGAUACAUCUUUGUCUCAGUGACCUUGGUUGUCCUUAACCCUAACUCCUUACUUGUGGUUUACUUGUCUUACUUGAGCAUACAUACNNNNNNNNNNNNNNNNNNNNNNNNNNNNNNNNNNNNNNNNNNNNNNNNNNNNNNNNNNNNNNNNNNNNNNNNNNNNNNNNNNNNNNNNNNNNNNNNNNNNNNNNNNNNNNNNNNNNNNNNNNNNNNNNNNNNNNNNNNNNNNNNNNNNNNNNNNNNNNNNNNNNNNNNNNNNNNNNNNNNNNNNNNNNNNNNNNNNNNNNNNNNNNNNNNNNNNNNNNNNNNNNNNNNNNNNNNNNNNNNNNNNNNNNNNNNNNNNNNNNNNNNNNNNNNNNNNNNNNNNNNNNNNNNNNNNNNNNNNNNNNNNNNNNNNNNNNNNNNNNCUUUUGAUAUAUCGUGUGUUAUAGUGUGAUCUAGUAUCUUAUGUCGUUCACCUACUUGUCGUGUGAUAUAGCUCAAGUAAGUUUGUGUAACUUACUUGUGCUUGUUAGUAACCGUGUUGUGUCCAUCUUGGUAGAUCAUGUUGUUGGUGCAUGUUGUGGUGCCUAUUGCAUUUAGGAUUUGUGCUUGAAAAGUAUCCUCUUAGUUUAUUUCCGCAUUAGGUUUAAUCCAAAUCCGAAGAAGUUUUUAAAGAGCCUAUUCACCCCCCCCCCCCCCCCCCCCCCUCGAGGCNNNNNNNNNNNNNNNNNNNNNNNNNNNNNNNNNNNNNNNNNNNNNNNNNNNNNNNNNNNNNNNNNNNNNNNNNNNNNNNNNNNNNNNNNNNNNNNNNNNNCCAUCAAGUGUGUGUUGAUGGGAGGCAAGUCUUUCUCUUUAUGAUGCUUUGUUCCAUCAUGAAAAUUUAUCGAUGGCUUGGUUUGUUGGAACCUAGCUCUCUUUUGGAAAUUAGAUACCUCGUGUUUGUUUUCCUUCAAUUGGUUUCUUGUUUCCUUUUAUUUGGCAUGUGUCAAUGGAUAUCUUAUUCCUUGAGGUAUCUUCUAAUUGAUAUCCUUCAAGUGAUAGUUAUUUUUUGUUUAGUAUCUUAUUAUCACUUGAUACCUUGUCUUUUGGUGACUUAUCAACUUUGUGUUGAGUUGAUUCUUGAGAGUCUUGUGCAUGCAUAUCUACUAUAUACAACUUCUUUUGCUUGCUUUCCUUCUUUGACCCAAUAUAUAGCGGAAACUCCACCUUGUCAUAAAUUGGCUAAAGUGUGCAUGAAAUUCAAAUUCAUAUCUAUAUGCACAUAUGUAUGUGGAGUUUGUCCUAUGUAUUGCUGGUUUUCUAACUCUUUGGUCCCAAUGAGUUUGGGCACCAUUUUGUUUGUUUUGCUGUUCCAGGAACAACUGGAGAUGCAUUGGAUGCUCGGCUCACCUAUAAGGAAGGUGUUGAGACCAUGUGAUUAUUGGAGCCAAGUUAGGAUGAUCAAAGAACAACUAUCUACUACAUCAAUCCAAUGUUGUCUCGGUAACAAGUAUCCACUUCAUGCAUUCUUUUAUUGCAAAGGCCCCAACCUGUCUUUUCUUUUCCAGGUUGCAUCAUGGCAUGAAUCUCUUGAUUCGUACUUGUAGUACUUGUUUGCUUUCUCAAAGCAUCCGAACGAUGAUGUCUUACUACUAGUUGGGAUGUCUUUGAUGUUCGUAUGUUGGAAGUUCAUAUUGUACAAUAAGAAAAUAUUAGGCCAUGUGCGAUGCUUCCAAGCAAAAGAUCUCAUUGAUAUAUUUAUGACUUCCUUUUGGAUAUCUAGUUUGUUCCUUCUUGUAACCAUUUCGUGUGUACAUCCUUCUUUGUGGAUAUAUAUCAUCAUGAUUGUCUUCUACUUAGAAUAUUUUACACAUGAGAGAAGUUACAUCUCUAAUUGAUAUCGUGUUUUCUUUCACGUCCAUCGUUGCAUUUCCUUUUUCAGUUUUUGGUGGCUUCGUGAAAGGAUUUGUUUUGAGUGCGUAUCUUAUUUUCCUACAUCUUGAUGCACUCUUUGGCCGUGAAGAUAAUUUUUCCUCAUGCAUGUCUUGAUGAGGGUUUUUCCAUUUCAAUUAGUAUCCCUCCUCUUGACAAGGUUCUUACUUCCUAUCUUCACAAUGGGUUGUCACAAGCGUUGGUUCUUAUUUUUUUUAUUAGUAAGCUUGUGAACCCAUUUUCUAGUAUGUGUGUGUGGGAAUGAUAUGUCUUGCACUUUGUAUCUCAUUUCAUCACGACUAUGUUGAUGAGUAAUGCACAUCCUUAUCUUAGUCUUCUCAAGUGCUUUGACAUGACUCACACACAUUACUUUGGUUGACCCUAUUCUUAAGUUGCUUCUUUUACUUGUUGCUCAACCAUUUGUUUUGUGCAAUUGAUAUGCUUAUUGUAUCAUCUAUCUUGUUGCACUCGUUGUGUGUUUUUAUUAAUUUUGGGGGAGCAACGAUCCUAUUUUGUGCACCUGUAUCAAAUAAAAAAAUCGCGUAUUAGUGCACAAAUCAUGGGGAGCUUCUCUAGUUUUUGAUAAAACACUCUCUUGCCUUUAUCAUAAUAUCUUUUAUUCAUGUGGUUUGAAGGACCAUAUGAUUGUUUGUUCCAUCUGGAAUCUUUUGAUUGAUUGCCUCUAUUUUUGUAUGUCUUUGUGGCAUACGAUCCUUUUAUUUGCAAUCUUUGGGUCCUCAAUAUAGUUUGUUUUCCUCCAACUACUUAUAAUUGUAUUUGUGUAUUUCUCUACACUCAUUUGCUGAGAAGUACACAUUUUUUUGGAGGACCACCUACUAUAUUGGCUUUCUAAACUUUUCGUCCAUUUUGGCAAUCGAUGCCAAUGGGGGAGAAGUUUAGAGAGUUUACUUUGGAUAUGUUUAGAGGGUUUUGCUUUUUAUUGCGUAAGCAUUUACAUCUUGCACGCAUGCAUUAUUACCUUGUAUGUGUGUGCUUGGUUAUGCUUAUUUCCUUAUAUAAACUCUCUUGAAGUGGUUGUCUUCAAUUACCAAAAUGGGGGAGAUUGUUAGAGCAUAUAUCUCCAUAUGUGGUUUUGGUAAUUGAUGACAAUUCCUAUGGACUAAUUGUUGCCUUAAGUUAUAUUUAUAGGAUUUGUCCAUAGGCACUUCUUGAAGUCCAUCUGUUGGGUUCAAGGAGUUUAUAUGAUGACCAAGAUGGUAUUUAAGGUAUUAUCCAAUGAAUGGUCAUAGAGACACUAGGUUGAUCAAGAUCUCAGACAAAGAGUAAAUCAAGAUGAUCAACACACAAAGCGUAUAAGAUGUACCGAGAGGGAUCAAGUGAUCCCUGGUAUGGUAAGCAUUGUCCAUUAUGUGUUUUUGUACUAAUCCAUGGUCUUUGUGAGAGUCCUAUGUGGGGGUUAGGUGUGCUUCCAUGGGCUUACGUGAAAAGGAAGAUCUCAUACAACCCAUGAAGGAUGACGUCAAGUGGUGAUCGUCAUCAAGAUUGUGGUGUGCAAGUUCAAGUGGAUCAGCACGAAUAUAUCAUUGAAACUAUUGUUAAUGAUCGUGUGUUGAUAAGGACAAGCUCAUGUGCUAACAAGGACAAGAUCAAGAUAAGCAUUCCUGAGCACUACAUCCUUGAUUCUUGUGGAUGUUCACAUGGUGGAAAAAUGAACAUGAAUACAUAAGCUAGGCUUUCCACAUUGUGUAUGGGAGAGCUGCUUGAAGACUUCAUCAUGUCUUGCUUUCAACUUGAGCCAAGAAGGAACAACAACAUCAAGCUCAAGUGAAAGGGCUAACUCAAAGGUAUCAGUUCCUUUGACGUUAGUGGUGCAGAGUGAUGAUCAGCGAAUAAAAGUAUACACUCAAGUAUGGAUCAUCAGUACCCCUUUUAUGACUCUUGAGUCUUUAGGGAUCCCGCACUAUUAAGAGGAGAUCACAGGUUUUGCGAUGAACUUGCUCAAACUACAUCUCUACUUUUCUGAUCAUACCACAUCUCCACUACUCUGGAGUUAUCUAAAAACAGAACCGAUGCCUCGGACAUCCGGCUUCCUCCGGACGUCCGAGGGACGAACGCCCGACCACUUCGGAAAUCCGGAACCUUAUACUAGAGAAAUCCAAAGUCAAAUAACUCAGACUUCCGGCUCUCUCCGGACGUCCGAGGGCCGGACGUACGGCUCUCUCCGGACGUCCGAGGCCUGGACGUCUGACCCCCUUCAGAAAACCGGAACCUUGCACCAGAAGAUAUUUGAGUCAAAUAACUUGGACUUCCGGCCUCCUCCUGUUGUCCGAGGGCCGGACGUCCGACUUCCUCCGGAUGUCCGGUCCCUGUUCGACUACACAGUGGUUCCUAAUAUAUUUACAUCCCUCGGACGACCGACCCCUGUCGGACGUCCGACCCCUUGUGGGAGUCCGGACAUCCGAGAACUGCCGGAUGUCCGACCACUGUCAGACUUAAGUGACCCCAACGGUCACUUNNNNNNNNNNNNNNNNNNNNNNNNNNNNNNNNNNNNNNNNNNNNNNNNNNNNNNNNNNNNNNNNNNNNNNNNNNNNNNNNNNNNNNNNNNNNNNNNNNNNNNNNNNNNNNNNNNNNNNNNNNNNNNNNNNNNNNNNNNNNNNNNNNNNNNNNNNNNNNNNNNNNNNNNNNNNNNNNNNNNNNNNNNNNNNNNNNNNNNNNNNNNNNNNNNNNNNNNNNNNNNNNNNNNNNNNNNNNNNNNNNNNNNNNNNNNNNNNNNNNNNNNNNNNNNNNNNNNNNNNNNNNNNNNNNNNNNNNNNNNNNNNNNNNNNNNNNNNNNNNNNNNNNNNNCAAGCUAUUUGAGAUUUGUGCAAGUUUUGAGCAUUCCCCGUGAUCUUGUUACUCUUGGAGGUUGGAGACUCCUAGGAGGUAGGAGUUCUUCGGAGAGGAAUCAAUCCAUGUGAUUUCCCCCGGAAAAGUUUGUGAGGGUUUGGAAGCCACCUCAAAGGCUUACCACUAGUGGUUGAGAAACGCCUUCGUGGUGUUAUCUCAAAGAGAGAAUAGGGUGAGCCUUCGUGGCGUUGGUGUGCCUUCGUGGUAACAUCCACCUCUCUAACGGUGACUAGCUUCCCUCCAAGGAAGUGAAUAUUGGGAUACAUCUUUGUCUCAGUGACCUUGGUUAUCCUUAACCCUAACUCCUUACUUGUGGUUUACUUGUGUUACUUGAGCAUACAUACNNNNNNNNNNNNNNNNNNNNNNNNNNNNNNNNNNNNNNNNNNNNNNNNNNNNNNNNNNNNNNNNNNNNNNNNNNNNNNNNNNNNNNNNNNNNNNNNNNNNCGCCCAUUCCUUGGACAUGAUGGACCACAAACAUGAUGCAUACAUGUAAUGAUCAUUGCCAUGAAUAAAUAUUGCAUGACUAUGCGCUUUGCAUAAUUUGUCACGGGGGGGGGGNNNNNNNNNNNNNNNNNNNNNNNNNNNNNNNNNNNNNNNNNNNNNNNNNNNNNNNNNNNNNNNNNNNNNNNNNNNNNNNNNNNNNNNNNNNNNNNNNNNNNNNNNNNNNNNNNNNNUGUUUUGGGUUGCCGUCAUACCAAAGGGAUUGAAUCCAUCCGUGGCGACGCAGACUCAAGGAUGCCUUGGAUCUGCUGCUUUAUCCAUAUGUAAUGAAUCGAAGUGCUUCCACGCUUCCACGUACGAUGUGUGUACCGACAUCUUAUUUCCAUCUGCAUCUAGUUUGGUCCUUUUGCCCAAUUUGUGCCAUGUCAUCAGUCUGGCCGUCUCUUCGACCAUGAAAAGACGUUGAAGACUUGGUAUGUACCGAAGAAUAUUAUCUAUGACUUUGGUCUGCUCUUCUCACCCAUACUGUUGUCUACCACAACAUACUUGGAAGACUUGCAAAUGGGACAGUAGUUCAAUUCCGCAUAAUCAAACCUAAAUAAGGCACUUCCUCUCUCACAACCAUGUAUCUUCUCAUAGGGCAUCUUAAGGACACGAAGUAUUUUGUCCGACUGGUAUAGGUUUGCAUGCAUGACAUGGCCUUUGGGUAAAAAAACGUCCAAAUAGUGUCAUCAUCGCAUCAUAGCAUUCUCUUCCCAAGUUGAAUUGAGCCUUCAAAGCUAUUACUUGUGCAAUGGCAUCCAGCUGACAAAGCUCAGUAUGCUCGUGGAGAGGACGUUUUGAAGACUCUAACAUUUCAUACAAGGCCUUUCAAGAUUGCUCCAGCUCAUCAUCCGAAUCCCGAGCAUCAUCAAAGUCUUGCACCUUGUGUUCGAUCUUGGUACCAUGCUCGUUGGUGUGACGAGAACCACCUCUGCUCUGGUGCGUUGGACAGACUCACCAUGAAAUGUCCACAUCAUAUAAUGAGAUGUAAAACCCCUCCUUUGCAGGUGUUUACCUAUUUCAUCAUGUGUCCUCUUUUCAAAGUUGUCGUACCUAGGACAGGGGCACCAGGUUGUUGUCUGGCCAUUUGCAAAUAUGGCUUUCACAAAUUCCUUGGUUUUUGUAAACCAUUCUUUGGUCAUCUCUUUCUCACUAGUGUGACCAGUGUACAUCCAUGCACGAUCACUCAUCUUGCCUAGCUACUAAACACACAAGAAAUAUAUAUAUAUAUAUAAUUCAGCAUAUAUUCAUCAGUUAAUCAUGUUUGUAGGUUUUAUUACGUCCAUGCAACCUACACACUAAUAGGUAAAGAUAGGUCCUAAUCCCACCCGAGUAUCUGUAGAUUGGGUUCGUGUUCCCAUGCUCUUCUCGAGAUCUGACGCAAAAUUUCGGAAGCACCUCCCCGCUGUUCUCUUGAUACAUGUCUCGGCAAUAAACAAAGAGGAUGUGUACCCGACGAACAACAAUGAGGCUCUGACAAAAUUAUGCAUUGGAUCCGGAGCAGCGCAUAUGGGAAAACGAACCCAAUCUACACAUACUCGGGCUGUCCAUGGAUAACGUUGGACAAUUCGUAAGAAUCACAGUUAUAAAUAUAUGCAAAUGCUUGCAUAUUUAUAACUGUAACCCUUUUGAACAUGAGACGCAUACUGGUCACGAAUACCGAUGAUUUAAUGUACCUAUAUCUAGCAAGUUUCAUCGGCACGAAGCCCAGAAUAGAGCAAAUGAAGGGGAGGAGGAGAUGUCAUUUAUGCUCAACCACGAACACAGGGGCAGAGCUCGUCAAACGCAUGGGGAGGUUGUCGAACACUAGACCCCCGCAGCGAUGAAACAACUCCACAUUUAAGUCCACUCGAUCAACACAAAUAUUUGGUUUUUAUAACAAAAUCAGAAAAUAUAUGACCUAACUCAUAAUUUACAAAAGUAUAACCCACUCGGCAUCUGAUAGGCCGAAGAGGAUCUUUUUGGUAGACAGGAGGCUGAAGCGGUGUCGUGGUUCAAGGGUGAGUGGCGUCGGGAGCGACGUAUUAACAACUGCGCGGGGGAUUGUAGUGGCGAUCUAUCAGUGACAUCUUCCCGUUACCACACGCAAGUGCAGAUGACUGGUGUCAUGUCGGGGUGUCGUGUAAGGGUGUCGGGGUGUCAUGUCGGGGUGUCGGGGAGUCAUGUCGGUGUGUCGGUGUGUCGGGUGUCGGGUGUCGUAUAAGGGUAUCGGCGUGUCGUGUAAGGGUGUCAGGGUGUCAUUUUCUUCUUCUUGCUAUUCUUUCUUUUAUGCUUCUUCCUUUUCUUCUUCUUCUUCUUCUUCUUCUUCUUCUUCUUCCUCUUCUUCCUCUUAUUCCUUUUCUUCUUCUUCUUCUUCUUCUUGUUUCUUCUUCUCCUCCUCCUCCUCCUUUUCGGUAGACACGAGGCUGAAGCGGUGUCGGGGUUCAGGGGUGAGUGGCGUCGGGGGCGACUUACUAACAACUGCGCGGCGGAUUGUAAUGGCGUCUAUCAGUGACAUCUUCCAAUUACCACAUGCAGGUGCAGGUGUCUGGUGUCAUGUCGGGGUGUUGUGUAAGGGUGUCGGGGUGUCAUGUCGGGGUGUCGGGGAGUCAUGUCGGGGUGUCGAGGCGUCGUGUGGGUGUGUCGGGUGUCGUAUAAGGGUAUCGGGGUGUCGUGUAAGUGUGUCACGGUGUCAUUUUUUUCUUCUCCCUAUUCUUUCUUUUAUGCUUCUUCCUUUUCUUCUUCUUCUUCUUCUUCNNNNNNNNNNUUCUUGUUCUUCUUCCUCUUCUUCUUCUUCUUCCUCUUCUUCCUCUUCUUCCUUUUCUUCUUCUUCAUCUUCUUAUCCUUCUUCUUUUUGUUUUUUCUUCUCCUCCUCCUCCUCCUCUUCUUCUUCUUCUUCUUCUUCUUUUCCUUUUUCAUCUUCUAAUUCUCAUCAUCUCCUCUUUUUUUCUUCUCCUUCUUAUUCUUCUUAUUUCUUCUCCUUAUUAUUCUUCUUAUUUCUUCUCCUUCUUAUUCUUCUUAUUUCUUCUUCUUCUUCUUCUUCUUCUUCUUCUUCUUCUUCUUCUUCUUCUUCUUUUUCCUCCUCCUCUUCUUAUUCUUCUUCUUCCUCCUUCUUCGUCGUCGUCCUCCUCCUCCUCCUCCUCCUCCUCCUCCUCCUCCUUCUUCUUCUUCUUCUUCUUCUUCUUCUUCUUCUUCUUCUCCUCCUCUCUUCUUCUUCUUCUUCUCCUCUCUUCUUCUUCUUCUUCUUCUACUUCCUCUUCUUCCUUUUUCCUUUAUCCUGUUCUUCUACUUAAUUAUUCUUCUUCUUCUUAUUAUAUUUUCCAUCUUUGUUGUUCUUCUUCUAAUUAUCUAAACCUAAACCUAGAACUAACCUAAACCAAACACUAAUUACCUAAACCUAAACAAUAAAAACCAAAAAAAACCAGAAAAAACUGGAAACAAAUCUCACGUUGAGGUCCUUCGGAGGGGGUGGCGUGGUGGUGGUGGUGAGGCGUGGUGGUGGUUGUGGUGGUCGGGGGGCGCCGGGAGAGGGAGCCGUUGCGAGGGGCUGGUGCGGUGGUGCCAGCGUGGGGAGGAGAGACAAGGAGGUGUGGGAAGAUCGGGAGAGAGAGAGGUGGGGAUCCGGGAGAGGCAGACGAAAAAGAGGGCAGAUGGGGUCGUGGGGAGAUGGGGUGCGCCACCCGUUAUGUGGCCGUCCCCUUUGCCGUCCGCCUGGGGCUCCUGCUGACGGCAAAGUGGGGGAGGCAGAUGACAAAGAGGGCUACGACGGAUGGCAAAGAAGCACGUGACAGAAACCAUGCCAUCCACUUAACCUAUGGUGCAUUGGGGCUGUCGAGUCUCUUUGCCGUUUGCCUGGUCCAUCUUUGUCAUCCGCGAGUACACGAGAAAGAAUGCACUGAUGGAAAUAGUAUCUUUGCCAUCAACCAGUUCUUUGCCAUCUGUUUGUGGGCAGCUAACGACAAGGAGUCUCUUUUCCAUCAGUGAGGAGACGACAAAGACCACACAUAUGCCAAAUUCCCUGAUUCCAGCAGUGUCUCUCUGUUGGUGCACAGAUGCUCGGAGUCGAGAUGGAGAUCACCGCUUCAGGUCAUCGGUGCUCGCAUGGUGAGAGCCCUCCCCGCCACCCCUUCUUCCUCGAUCUGGAGCCGCCGCAACCUCUAGACCUAUUCCCCUCUAUUCCCCCUCUGUUUGGUGCGCGGGGCGACCAGGGCUUCACCUUCCCGAACCGUUGCCGCCGAACUUCUCGUCAUCAACAAACAGGGGCUCUCCGGCGUCCCUCUCCUCCACUAACCAACGUGCGAUGAUGCCCUGGACCUAGCUGUAACGCGCACUCAUUGAACGACCGCCUGAAUCUUCGCGGGUGAGCACCUCCUCCUCCGUGUCGCAAGGAGGGAGAUGGCAUGUGGUCUCCACCUAUCAUCGUCCCCGUGUCGCCCCCUCUCUCUCACUCACCGGUCUGCCUUGCUAGUGAGGUUUAAAUAGCCGCAUGUUGCACGCACCCCUCUGCCUUGGGCCGAUUUCAUCUGGGCCGGUUGGACUGGCGUCAGUUUUGGCCCAAAGGCCAAUAUUAGCUUUAUCUUUUUCCUAUUUUAGCACAUCUUGCAAAAAUCCCCCAUAUUUAAAUAUAGGUCCAAAUGCAAUGAUUCCAACUCAUAUUUUUUUUCAAAAACCCCGCCUAUUUUAUGAUGCCACUUAUGUAAUUUUUACAGAAAGUUUCAUGCACUGUUUUAUUUAAAAACCUAGUUUUGAAUAUUUUAGCUAAUUGUUAAAAUGCUUUUUAUAACUUUUUAUAUUUAAAAAGUAGAAUUCAAUAAGUUUUACAAAGCUAACAUUCACCACACUAUUUUGCAAAAAUGGUGUGACUUUUUUAGGGUGACUUUAUUUUCACUGUUUCGUCGUGCUCUUAUUUUUGCGUGUUAAAUUGCGACGAUAGAUUGCAUUGUUGACGACGGGUUUGGACCAGAAGACUUUGAAGACCCCGGAGACUUGUUUAGCUAGGCAAGCAACCCUUUUACCAUGUCUAAGAAACCAUUUUAUUGCAUGCCAUAUAGCACUCUACUUUGUUGCAUCUGAUUCAUGUUGAAUCAGUGACCACCUUGGUGGGUUGUCUCUAAGAAACUCCUUGUUGAUACUUGCACUUGGGCAUGACCCUACCUUCUUAUGAGGGUUGUGUGGUUGGGACGGGAAUAUGCAUGGUGAUGAUGAAGCAAACAAUUUCAAAGAGUUUUCAAAAACCCCGUCGAGUGCCACUAAUGCGCGAGGGAGAUGGUGUUGAGCUAGGUAACCAAUUGACAAAGAAGUGGUUCACCCAGGGAAGUUGUGUGUGUUGUUUCGGAGAUAGGAGUGACUUAAGAUUUGUCGACAGUCCCAACCUUACAUGUGCGACCACAUUACACCUUUAUGGGACGAGGAUUUGUCGAUUACCUUGGUGGAUGCUAGCAGAGGGGCCACAUUACUACUGGCGGUUGAGCCGAGUCACUCUCUCGAUAGAGGGUCGUGCGAGGUAGGGAGUCAAUGGACUGUUUUCACAAACACCAAUCACACCGUUGUGUCCCCUCAGAGAUGGUACGUUCUUGAGCGAGGCCCGUAUGAUGUACAUCAUGAGGACGUGGCCAAACGGGUGGACUCUUUGUUUAGUGUCGCCAGGGGAAAUGAAUUGUUCACGUGCUUACCAUGGGUAUGUAGUAUACUGGGAGUCGUGGAUGACGUGGAGGUUCCCCGAGUCUCUUGAGUACAACGCGCAAACCUCUAUUGAGUGUAAAACUAUUCGAAUGUCCACGAUCAAGGAAAGUUGGGUGGUACUGCUUAAACUACGAUGAGAAGUUUUCGCAUAAACCAAGUGUGCGUGUGUGAGAAAGGUGAUUAUGUGAGAAAGAUGAUACAUGAGCUAAGUCAGACUACUUGGCAUGAUGGGUGGACAUGGGAUGUUCAACACUCACUUGAUAUUGAUAUUUGUAACCAGUUCAUAUGGAUAUCGUUUACCUCAUGAUGCAUGCCCUUACUUGAUCAUGUCACUGCACUUGAAAUUCUUCUUUCCGUAAUUUACCUAUUAGUGCUAUGUCAUGUAUUAUUAUUGCCUCGUUCCACAACUUGGGUUGCUUGCAAAUACAUUCAAAGUACUCAUUGGCUUGCCACUUGUUAUUUAAUUUGCCAGGAUGGAAGAGAAGGAAUAUGGAGAAGAGCUCACUGCUGACGAACAUGCGAACUAGGAGGCUUCCCAGUUAGAAUGUGUGUAGGUUAAGGCAGAUGGCAAGGGUUCACGCUUUCGUCCAAGAAUUCCGCUGCUAUUUCUGUUUGGUAGUUAUGUAUGGUGUGUCGACCAUCCAGGGCCUAUCUAUGUAAGACUUGACCUUAAUGGUUUCUAUUUGUAUGAGACGGUGUGUAAGGAUGUAAGACUCUUGUAUUCAUGUUUUGUGUAUUCCGUGAGCAUUGAUAUCUCUGAUCAUUGUGUAUGUGCAUUCCGUGAUCACGACUUAUGAGUCGGGGUCCCCACAGAGCUGGUAUCUGAGCCAUCCUGACUGUUGGAAGCCUUAGUUAGCAUGGACAUUAGAUAGGAUAAACCCCCUUUCAGAAACUAUACCUAGUAUCUAUACUUCGGAGUUUCUGCAUUUCUUACCCCUUCCACUCUAUUUCAAAAGCAUUACUAAGACCCUCCCCUUAAACCUUGUAGAUGGCCGUCGUAGCCGAAGACCUCCUAGCAUCCGACUUUCCCCUACUCCUUGAGGACAGCUUGGAGAAGUGCCAGUUCUUCUAAUCACCUGUUUUCCUCUACCACGAGCGUUGGGUCGAUGCCACCAUGAAGGAGUACCAUGUUGAUGUGGUCGUUAAGGCAAACGACUCAUCGGCGAGUUGGUUCUUUGAAGGACCACAGAUGGAGACCCUGGCAUUGCCAAUUGAUAUAGCUACACGGAAGGCACUCGUCCACCUUCGAGACAUCAUCCCAGAGAUGGACGACAAGCUGGCUACUCGCCACUUUCCUUUCAGGAAAGAUGAUAUUGGCGAGAGUUGGAUAUUGGUCCCAUCACCGGAGGAUGGAACACCAAUCAGAUUCCAGACCUAUUUCAGACUCUCAGCCGAUAGUCCAGCACACAACCUGAUUAAGGAGUUCGUGAAGCUCUACAAGGAACUUCACCACACCCGUGAGCUGCUUCGACAAGCGAAGAUGAAGCUAGACAAGAUCAAGAAGGAUGGAGCCCCCGAGGGAUGACCAGCUAUUGGUUACAGAGGAGGAGUACCACCAGCUAGAGAUACACCCACACAUCAUUAUCGCAUGAGUUUGAAGGAGUAUCGUGCGAUCUUCACUGAUCCGUUGAAGAAAGCAUCAUCGGGAUGGACCUCCUCGUCCUCCGCCCCCCUCGAUGGGAGACGAUGCGUUUAUGGAUGACGACCAGGAGUAUGACCCAGAGGAGCAUGAGCAUGAGACCGAGCACUCCACCACUUGAGUCUGAGAACCCCUCGGAUAGGAUAAGUCAUGUAUACCUCAUGCGAAAUCAAGUCCGUGUAAUGGUUCAUAGGAAACCAUGCGUGCUUAUUGUUUGUUUUACUAUUUGUGUUUCGAUGUGAGUCGCUCUUUUGCCUUAGGCAACAUGUGAGCGACUACACCGCCUACCUUAUCUUUAUGUUAUGUGUUGGGUCUUACGACCUUUGUUUGUCACACUUGCACUAUACCAACUCCCUUAGGCGCAUUUUCCUCUUGUUGCUUUUUUCCAUCGUCUAUUCUAGUUGUUUGACUUGCCUUCUCCAAACAGGAUCGUGACUUCUACCCGCACCAGUACUUUUGGCAACCCGAGCAACGACAACUCUAGCCAGGACCCGGAGGCCGGUGGGUCUGCUCAAGCUAGAGGUUACCAGGAGUAGCCACAAGGCGACUGUCACACCCUGUAUUUAAUAUCACUUAUCUGUAUUGUGAAAAUCUGAGCUUGUUAAAACAUUUUCAAGACUAAUGUUGUCAGUGCCAUGAUUGUCAUUGUAUGAUUGUGUGCUUGAUCAUGUGAUGAUAAAACCCUAUUUCAUAAAGCAGCGAUUUCCAAAAACCCUUACUUAUUUCUAAACAGGGAAAAACCCUACCUUGAGUUGCAGUACAUGCCCUUGAUAGCAAGCAGUGCUUCUACUCAAAGUUGGUGAUCUGAUUUCAACCUAUCUUUAUAUUCCAAAACAAAAAAAAUAAUUAUUUUUGUAAUUAUUUUCCUAAUUAAAUAACAUGUCCAAUUCUGAGGCCAGAAUUGGUAUUCUUACAUGGAAAAAUAUUUUUCAGCCUUAGAAAAAUCUGAUUAAAUUUAGAGAUAAUGAGAAGGACAUAUAUUUUCCAUACAUAAGAUAUUAAACCCUAUUUUAUAUGAUAAUUAUUCAAUAAAACCAUAAAAGUCAUUUUUGUCUCUUUUAACCUUUAGAAAUAUUUCCAAAGGGAAUAUUCUCAAUAAAAUCGUAGAAAAUUCCAGUGAUAUCCCUAAGCUAUAUUUGGUUUCCACAUAAAGUUUCACCUUGAUUAAAUGUGAUUAAGGACCCCAAAUAACCCUAAAACCCCUUUUGUCUAGAUUGAAGUUAGAGCAACUCUACAUAGCAAAGUUUAUCCAAUGAUGGUGAAACUUUGCAAGAAUGCCUAAUACCUCAAAUGAGGGUUCCACACAAAAAAUGGGAUUUGUGGGACUUAGUUUGCCCACACUCUCUUUGGAAGGGACAAAUAUGGUCAUAAUGGAGUGUUUUCAAGUUUACAAAGCUAAACUUGUCCAAUGGAGCUUAAACUUGGUGAAACCCCAUGAUUUAGCACCAAAUGCAAACCUGUUAAGUUGCAGCACCACUGGUGGGGUGCAACACCCUCAAACCACUGUCGAGCACCUUCUGACAGAUAGGGAAAAGCCACCUUAGCCACAGCUAAACCCAACCCAUUUGCUCCAAACUCAUAGAUUAGGUGGCCAAUAUCUGUGUCUAACCCCAGUCAACUGCCCCUCACUGGUUCAAAGUGGAAAGGCCAAAAACCCCAAUUUAGAUUUCAGUUCAAGGCUGACAGCACAAGUAUUUUUUGUCUCCCUUGACCAGCCGAAGCUCCCUCAAGACCCAAAAGGCUAGAAACACUCCCAGCCAGUGCCAGGAUAUCCUAGACACGUCCAAAGUGCCUCAGAGCGCACUAGCAUGCCGUUGCACGCCAAAACUGCGCUCUGGGCGCGCUACAGGAAGCCACUAAGGUGGGGGCAGCGCUCUCGGCCAGUUCCAGCCUCCCCCGAGGUGUCCAACCUCUUCCCCGACAACCUCUCUGUGUCGAGCAACCCUCAGGGCCUCUCCUCUCCCAUGCUAGAGCUCGUGUGACGCGUGCCCACGCACCAGAACCUACCAAGGUUGCAUGGCCACGGAUGCUCGACUUCUCCCCCUCUGCCUCUGCAGCAGAUGGCUCUGGUAGUCCAAAACCAUGUCCUGAGACCGUGGUUUCGGCCCUAGCCUCUCUCUGCACCCCCAUACACGCCACGGUGAGUCACCGGCACACCUUGACCAGCUCACCGUCGCGGGCCUAUAAAUAGCCCUCCCCCUCACUCCAGCACCCCUUAGAUCGCUUCACCACGAUCACUAGUACCUCCCUAGCAACCCCAGCAACCCACCAGAGCCCCGGUACUCGAGAUCGACCAAGGCCCCUCCGCCUCGGAGCUCCGGUCGAUCUGCGGCGACACGAUGACAACUGCGCCCCUCGACCCACCAAACUGAUCCUCUCAACCCCAGAAAGUUUUCUCCCAACUCGCCCGAGCAUUUCCGUGUCUCUAGCCACCUCCUCGACCACCUCCCGAAACUCCUCCGCCAUGGCCUCCUCGUCGCCGGCGAACCCCUGCCUCUCCGACAUUGUUCUGACCACCAGCAGGUAGGCGACAGCAAGGCGAACCCAUUCCAGUCCUUGUUGGGUCUUGAGAGCAUCGGCAACCUCGCCGGCGUGCUCCUCCUCCUCUCUGGCCAAAGGUAGGAGACGACCCCGACAGGUGUGCCCCACCUGUCCGUGGCCCAGCCUCCUACCCCGCGCUGUCCACAGCCACUGACCGAAGGGCCCCGCACGUCAGGUUCAAACCUCACGCGCGCGCGCCUCGGCAGGCUGUCGGCUGGCCAUGGGCCAGCCCAGCUCCAGGCCGAGCUAGGCCAGGAGUUUAGCCGAUUUUCUUUUUAUUUUGAAAAUAUGGUUUCUAAGAUUUUUAUAAAAACAUUUAACGAGUGUAAAAAUAUAUUUUUUCCACUUUUAUUUUUCUAAUAAUAUGAUUGGAUGAAUUUUUCUACAACUACUCUGUUUUACAAUAAUAAAAAGGACUAAAUUGGAAUAGUUUUGCUUCUGUUUGGUUAAUUUCAAAAAUGCUCCUUCAAGGGAAAUUAAGGCAAAUAUUUUUCAAAAUGAUAACUUAGANNNNNNNNNNAAAGAACAUUUUUAAAAUGACUUUGUGAUCUGUUUCUGUUGAGCUAUUUUUUAAUUACUGUUUUAUCGAUGAUAGAAAACCCGUGUGACGAGGGAAUCAGAGCGAAAGACCUCGAAGACCCCGAAUACUUAGCUGACCAAGGCAAGCAACCCUUUGACCAUGACUGAGCAUAUGUUACUUUGCAUGAUUAAAAUAGCAAGUAUGUCCGUUGCAUAUGAUCGUAAGUGCCGGUAAUCAUUUGAUAUGAUUUACCGAUGGCUCCCCCGGAGCACCUGCAUUGAGCUUGAUCCUACCUCUUGAGGGUCAUGCUAAUAUCAUGUUAACAAGUAAACAUAGAAGUAGUAUUAUCAUGAGCAUAUUGAUGACAUAAAGAAAGAGUUUAUGAAAACCCCAUGGGGUGCCACUAAUGCCCGAGGGUGAUGAUGAGUUAGGUGGUCACUUUUGAUGAGCUGAUGCACCCGGUAUUUGUGUGAGUAUGGUUUCAGAAAUGGGAUUAGAUUUAUGAUGUGUCGAUCGUCCCAACCUUACCAGUACAACCACUUACCCCUUAUGGGACGGGGCUAUGUUAAUUACUCUGGUCGGUGCUAGCAAAGAGCCACAUUACUAGUGGCAGGAGUGAUGUGUGGUCACUCUCAUGAUGGGGUCGUGCCAGGUAGGACGACUAUGCCAUUUUUAUGAGUUCCAGUCACACCGUUGGUCCCCGCAUGGUUGGUACUGUCCAGAGUCGAUGCUCGUAAGAUGUACAACAUGUGGGCUGGGUACCAAUUGAGUGGACCUCUUUGUCUAUUAUCGUCAGGGGAAAGGUAUUGAUCUGGUACUUACCUCGGGUAUGUUAUAUACCGCGAGUCGUGGAUGACACGGAAGUUUCCCGGAUCUCGUNNNNNNNNNNNNNNNNNNNNNNNNNNNNNNNNNNNNNNNNNNNNNNNNNNNNNNNNNNNNNNNNNNNNNNNNNNNNNNNNNNNNNNNNNNNNNNNNNNNNCCAUCAAGUGUGUGUUGAUGGGAGGCAAGUCUUUCUCUUUAUGAUGCUUUGUUCCAUCAUGAAAAUUUAUCGAUGGCUUGGUUUGUUGGAACCUAGCUCUCUUUUGGAAAUUAGAUACCUCGUGUUUGUUUUCCUUCAAUUGGUUUCUUGUUUCCUUUUAUUUGGCAUGUGUCAAUGGAUAUCUUAUUCCUUGAGGUAUCUUCUAAUUGAUAUCCUUCAAGUGAUAGUUAUUUUUUGUUUAGUAUCUUAUUAUCACUUGAUACCUUGUCUUUUGGUGACUUAUCAACUUUGUGUUGAGUUGAUUCUUGAGAGUCUUGUGCAUGCAUAUCUACUAUAUACAACUUCUUUUGCUUGCUUUCCUUCUUUGACCCAAUAUAUAGCGGAAACUCCACCUUGUCAUAAAUUGGCUAAAGUGUGCAUGAAAUUCAAAUUCAUAUCUAUAUGCACAUAUGUAUGUGGAGUUUGUCCUAUGUAUUGCUGGUUUUCUAACUCUUUGGUCCCAAUGAGUUUGGGCACCAUUUUGUUUGUUUUGCUGUUCCAGGAACAACUGGAGAUGCAUUGGAUGCUCGGCUCACCUAUAAGGAAGGUGUUGAGACCAUGUGAUUAUUGGAGCCAAGUUAGGAUGAUCAAAGAACAACUAUCUACUACAUCAAUCCAAUGUUGUCUCGGUAACAAGUAUCCACUUCAUGCAUUCUUUUAUUGCAAAGGCCCCAACCUGUCUUUUCUUUUCCAGGUUGCAUCAUGGCAUGAAUCUCUUGAUUCGUACUUGUAGUACUUGUUUGCUUUCUCAAAGCAUCCGAACGAUGAUGUCUUACUACUAGUUGGGAUGUCUUUGAUGUUCGUAUGUUGGAAGUUCAUAUUGUACAAUAAGAAAAUAUUAGGCCAUGUGCGAUGCUUCCAAGCAAAAGAUCUCAUUGAUAUAUUUAUGACUUCCUUUUGGAUAUCUAGUUUGUUCCUUCUUGUAACCAUUUCGUGUGUACAUCCUUCUUUGUGGAUAUAUAUCAUCAUGAUUGUCUUCUACUUAGAAUAUUUUACACAUGAGAGAAGUUACAUCUCUAAUUGAUAUCGUGUUUUCUUUCACGUCCAUCGUUGCAUUUCCUUUUUCAGUUUUUGGUGGCUUCGUGAAAGGAUUUGUUUUGAGUGCGUAUCUUAUUUUCCUACAUCUUGAUGCACUCUUUGGCCGUGAAGAUAAUUUUUCCUCAUGCAUGUCUUGAUGAGGGUUUUUCCAUUUCAAUUAGUAUCCCUCCUCUUGACAAGGUUCUUACUUCCUAUCUUCACAAUGGGUUGUCACAAGCGUUGGUUCUUAUUUUUUUUAUUAGUAAGCUUGUGAACCCAUUUUCUAGUAUGUGUGUGUGGGAAUGAUAUGUCUUGCACUUUGUAUCUCAUUUCAUCACGACUAUGUUGAUGAGUAAUGCACAUCCUUAUCUUAGUCUUCUCAAGUGCUUUGACAUGACUCACACACAUUACUUUGGUUGACCCUAUUCUUAAGUUGCUUCUUUUACUUGUUGCUCAACCAUUUGUUUUGUGCAAUUGAUAUGCUUAUUGUAUCAUCUAUCUUGUUGCACUCGUUGUGUGUUUUUAUUAAUUUUGGGGGAGCAACGAUCCUAUUUUGUGCACCUGUAUCAAAUAAAAAAAUCGCGUAUUAGUGCACAAAUCAUGGGGAGCUUCUCUAGUUUUUGAUAAAACACUCUCUUGCCUUUAUCAUAAUAUCUUUUAUUCAUGUGGUUUGAAGGACCAUAUGAUUGUUUGUUCCAUCUGGAAUCUUUUGAUUGAUUGCCUCUAUUUUUGUAUGUCUUUGUGGCAUACGAUCCUUUUAUUUGCAAUCUUUGGGUCCUCAAUAUAGUUUGUUUUCCUCCAACUACUUAUAAUUGUAUUUGUGUAUUUCUCUACACUCAUUUGCUGAGAAGUACACAUUUUUUUGGAGGACCACCUACUAUAUUGGCUUUCUAAACUUUUCGUCCAUUUUGGCAAUCGAUGCCAAUGGGGGAGAAGUUUAGAGAGUUUACUUUGGAUAUGUUUAGAGGGUUUUGCUUUUUAUUGCGUAAGCAUUUACAUCUUGCACGCAUGCAUUAUUACCUUGUAUGUGUGUGCUUGGUUAUGCUUAUUUCCUUAUAUAAACUCUCUUGAAGUGGUUGUCUUCAAUUACCAAAAUGGGGGAGNNNNNNNNNNNNNNNNNNNNNNNNNNNNNNNNNNNNNNNNNNNNNNNNNNNNNNNNNNNNNNNNNNNNNNNNNNNNNNNNNNNNNNNNNNNNNNNNNNNNUCCCUUCUCCACUAUAAAUACCCCCCUCCCACUUCGUGAGAGGGUGCCCAACACAGCCAUAUCCUCAUAAGAACACAUUUCUACCUCACACACAUUUGCUCACACCAAAUCUUAGAUCCCAAGAGCAUUUGUGAGCCCCUUUGAGAGUUGUUCCAAUCAAAAGAUAGAUCGUCUCCCUCUCCUCCUCUCAACCCAAGCUAUUUGAGAUUUGAGCAAGUUUUGAGCAUUCCAAGUGAUCUUGUUACUCUUCGAGGUUGGAGACUCCUAGGCGGUAGGAGUUCUUUGGAGAGGAAUCAAUCCGUGUGAUUUCCCCCGGAAAAUUUUGUGAGGGUUUGGAAGCUACCUCAAAGGCUUACCACUAGUGGUUGAGAAACGCCUUCGUGGUGUUANNNNNNNNNNUGCAAGUUUUGAGCAUUCCCCGUGAUCUUGUUACUCUUGGAGGUUGGAGACUCCUAGGAGGUAGGAGUUCUUCGGAGAGGAAUCAAUCCAUGUGAUUUCCCCCGGAAAAGUUUGUGAGGGUUUGGAAGCCACCUCAAAGGCUUACCACUAGUGGUUGAGAAACGCCUUCGUGGUGUUAUCUCAAAGGGAGAAUAGGGUGAGCCUUCAUGGCAUUGGUGUGCCUUCGUGGUAACAUCCACCUCUCUAACGGUGACUAGCUUCCCUACAAGGAAGAGAACAUCGGGAUACAUCUUUGUCUCAGUGACCUUGGUUGUCCUUAACCCUAACUCCUUACUUGUGGUUUACUUGUCUUACUUGAGCAUACAUACAUUGCAUAUUGUUUGUGCUCAUUAUAUUGUNNNNNNNNNNCCAAGGAAGUGAAUAUUGGGAUACAUCUUUGUCUCAGUGACCUUGGUUAUCCUUAACCCUAACUCCUUACUUGUGGUUUACUUGUGUUACUUGAGCAUACAUACAUUGCAUAUUGUUUGUGCUCAUUAUAUUGUGUUGGCUAUUUCUUUGUACAAGAUUAAUCGUUCAAGCAUACCCUCUAUAUCCACACGUUCACACUUGCAGCUUUUGAUAUAUCGUGUGUUAUAGUGUGAUCUAGUAUCUUAUGUCGUUCACCUACUUGUCGUGUGAUAUAGCUCAAGUAAGUUUGUGUAACUUACUUGUGCUUGUUAGUAACCGUGUUGUGUCCAUCUUGGUAGAUCAUGUUGUUGGUGCAUGUUGUGGUGCCUAUUGCAUUUAGGAUUUGUGCUUGAAAAGUAUCCUCUUAGUUNNNNNNNNNNNNNNNNNNNNNNNNNNNNNNNNNNNNNNNNNNNNNNNNNNNNNNNNNNNNNNNNNNNNNNNNNNNNNNNNNNNNNNNNNNNNNNNNNNNNAGGAUCAAAAGAUUUUAUGAUGGGUGAAUAAAGAGAGUGUUCUAAAGAAAAUAGGAUAGCUCCCCCAAGGGACGUGCAUUAUAUAGAAUUUGCAUUUAAAUACAAAAUGCACACGAUGGGAUCAUCACUUUCUCUAUAUCUAUAAAAACACUAGACAUGUUAAAAUAGAUCCAUAAGAGGCAAGGAAGACAAACGAAACACAAAAUCCAAUGUAAAGACAAUUAGCAAUUCCUAUCACAUGAUGGGAAUACCAAUUGUCAAGGACAAUAAGUAUUUUGGAAGUGAUACUCAUUGGUAGAUCGCAAAUAUAUCCAAGAUCAUCUUUACCCAUAAAACGCAAGCAAAUGACACUUGUAGAGCUACCAUGCCACCUAGGAACAAGAUAAUUUACAAUAUCAACACUAAGUGGCAACACCUCAAAUGUACACAUUUUCUAGGUUUGUAAUAUGCACAUAGCAUAUUACUCCCCCAUAAUGUGAUAAACCAACAAUAUUAACAAGUGGCAAAUUAAAACCAACAAGACAUAAUUAAUGGACCAUAUAGAAUUUGAAUUUCUCAUGAGUAAGACAUACCACAUAGAAACUAGAUAAUCUUGAAAUAUCAAUACUAAGUGGUAUUCCCCAUGUAUACACAUUUAUAGGAUUGUGAGGUGUGCAAAGCACAUCACUCCCCCAUAAUGGGAUAAUCCAUUAAUCUCCCACAAGAGCCAACAAAGAUACAAACAAGAUGCAAAAAGGCUCAAUACAAGACUCACAUGUACAUGAUAUGCAAACCAACAUACACAUACUCGAUUACUCAAGAUAAGCAAGUUGGAAGCACAACAUAUACAAAUGCAUGCAAGAUACAAAACCACAACAUGCAAAGGGGCAAGCAACUAACACUGUAAACAGUUUAAGUACAAGUUACCGUAAUGAGGCACAUUGGAUAUAAGAUAGAAACUCGAUAAUCCAAAUGACUCGGCUUGAUAUAAUAUGAAUGAUGAAGACCCUUUAAUUCUUCAUUAUGUAUCCAAGUCUCUAAUGUCCUCCAUAGUCACCUAUUGAUCAAGUUUGAGCUUGUUGGUCCCCAACUACGUUGGUUCCUAAGAGGUUAAUUACAAUAGGCUUGGCAACCCAAAUGGUUCUUUUCUUGACAUCAUUUUGAGUACCAACAAACUUGGCAAACACAUUGCCAACCUUAUCCUUCGCAAGGGAAUAGAUAUCAUGAAUAGUGAUUGGGUUGGAUAAGUUACCUCUUGUGCAAGACGAAGCAACGUGACCCUUCUCACGACAUAAGUAGGAAUAUCUACCCUUUGCUUUCUUCCCAGUUCAUUUCUCACCUCGGGGAGUGUUGGCUUGGGUCUUAUUAGGAAGAGGCCUUCCUUGAACUUGUAGCUGAGUAUGUGAUUGAGUUUGCGGUCGCUUCCCUUGUUGCUUGUGACUUUGAGACUUCGUCUUUAGAGGGCAAGCUCUAACAUGGUUCCCUUUAACUUUGCACUUGAAGCAAAUGAUUUUGGCUGAAUUCUUGACUUGUUCUAGGCCCCUCUUGUUCUUGUUUGAGUUUACUCCAACAUCAUUUUUUUCAUUUGGAGAUGUUUGCUCACAUAGGACGUUGUUGAGUGUGGACAUCCCUUCAUGACAUUGUUCCAAGUCUUUCUUCACAGAAGUGAGUUGGGCCUUGAGCUCUUCGAUAUCCUCUGCACGGUUAGUAUCAACGCAAGUACUAGAGGAAGUGUAAGCUUCAAUGUUAGAGAAACAAGGCAAGGAAAGUAAUUCAUCACACGAGGUAGCAACAUUAUGAGUAGACGAAUUACGAGGACUAGCACAUGGAAAUAUAGUAUUUUGACUAGAAGUAGUGCCAUUGUCCACAUGAGGCUCACUUGAUGUUACCUUGGUGAUGAUAGCCUCAUGAGCUAACUUUUGCACAUUAUGGGAUGUUAAAAGAUCGGCAUGAGAGCUUGUGAGCAUUACAUGGUUUUCUUCUAACUUCCGAUAACUGCUAGUUAGUAAGUCAAGUUGAGCACGUAGCUCAAUAUUCUCCUUCAAUGUAGAUACUUCAAAUGAGGUAGAGUUAGAUGUACAAGUAUCAUCAACAAUAUGAGAGGAGUAAGUAGAAAAUAGAGACUUCUCAUGAGUAGAUUGAAGCUCCUCAUAGAUCUUAGAGGUUUUGAUGAGCUCUCCCUUGACAUUAUUGCAUUCCAGGAGAAGGACCUCAAAAUCCUUUUUAAGUUUAUCAUGAGCAACUUCAAUCUCUCCUUUUGAAGAUCUUAAGUCUCUACAUGUUUGAUGACUCUUCUCAAGUUCAUGUUCAAGUUGUUCACUUUUAGCUUGUUCAUGAUUAAGUGAAUCAAUACAAUUUUCAAAGUAAGCAAGAACAUCUUGGAAUCUUUGAAGAGCGUUAUUUUUAGCUUUAUGAAGAAUUUUACAGAUCACAUAGAUAUUUUCAGUCAAGUCAUCAUCAUCAUCCUCAUCACAAAUAUCAUCGUUAUUGCACAGGGAAGAUGAUACCUCAUUAUUUCCUCUUGCCAUGAGGCACAUGUGAACUGGAGGAGUUGAUGAUGAUUCUUUUGGUGAAUCAGAUUCUUGUUUAGUCAAAAGUACUUCAUAUUUCUUGAUUUCCCUUAAAUGAUUAGUCAUAGAGCAACAAGGGAGAAACAAGAUAUUUUGAUCAAGAGGACACGGGAAAGCAGACAUAUCACCACAGAUAUUUGUCGAGGGAUCUUUACGUGAAAUGCAUGACCCAUCAGCACAAUAAUUUACACUAUGUGUGGUGCUUGAUAUGCUCGUGUCCAUAGAGGCUAUGACAUUUCCAUUAACAUAUAUUUCUUCACUCACCAUGUCAUUACCUUGUGAGAUUGAAGAAGCUGAGGUGUGCAAGCAAUCGGAUAUGGAAGUAGUGGUGGACUCUUUAUGACCGAAAAGAGUGAAGAGCUCAUGCACCAACUCCUUCAUCAUAAUAUCGUCUUCAUCAAGAUUGGAUCCACCAUAUAUAUUUUCAAGUUUAGUCCAAACUUCAUGAUCUGACUUGUAAGUUGAGAUAGACUUAAAAACUUCAGGACUUAUGGUUCGAUGAAUGGCAAGAAAAGCCUCACAAUCAAGAUACAUUUCAUUAGUAGAUUAAGAUGCAUCAUCCUUUUUGUCGGCAAUCCCUGCAAGAACAAUUCAUAAAGUAUUUGGGCCCAUGGCCCGAAAGUGAUGAAGCAUACGAAUUCUCCAUAGGGUAUAAUUUGUGCCAUCAAAGUCAAAGGUGUCAUUGUGCACUAAUCGAAUAGUCGACAUCGAUACUCUCUAGGUAAUGAAACCUAAUUAAAGAGAGACCUUGCUCUGAUACCAAUUGAAAGGACCACGAUGACGCCUAGAGGGGGGGGGGGGGGAAUAGGCUCUUUAAAAACUUCUUCGGAUUUGGAUUAAACCUAAUGCGGAAAUAAACUAAGAGGAUACUUUUCAAGCACAAAUCCUAAAUGCAAUAGGCACCACAACAUGCACCAACAACAUGAUCUACCAAGAUGGACACAACACGGUUACUAACAAGCACAAGUAAGUUACACAAACUUACUUGAGCUAUAUCACACGACAAGUAGGUGAACGACAUAAGAUACUAGAUCACACUAUAACACACGAUAUAUCAAAAGCUGCAAGUGUGAACGUGUGGAUAUAGAGGGUAUGCUUGAACGAUUAAUCUUGUACAAAGAAAUAGCCAACACAAUAUAAUGAGCACAAACAAUAUGCAAUGUAUGUAUGCUCAAGUAAGACAAGUAAACCACAAGUAAGGAGUUAGGGUUAAGGACAACCAAGGUCACUGAGACAAAGAUGUAUCCCGAUGUUCUCUUCCUUGUAGGGAAGCUAGUCACCGUUAGAGAGGUGGAUGUUACCACGAAGGCACACCAAUGCCAUGAAGGCUCACCCUAUUCUCCCUUUGAGAUAACACCACGAAGGCGUUUCUCAACCACUAGUGGUAAGCCUUUGAGGUAGCUUCCAAACCCUCACAAAAUUUUCCGGGGGAAAUCACACGGAUUGAUUCCUCUCCAAAGAACUCCUACCGCCUAGGAGUCUCCAACCUCGAAGAGUAACAAGAUCACUUGGAAUGCUCAAAACUUGCUCAAAUCUCAAAUAGCUUGGGUUGAGAGGAGGAGAGGGAGACGAUCUAUCUUUUGAUUGGAACAACUCUCAAAGGGGCUCACAAAUGCUCUUGGGAUCUAAGAUUUGGUGUGAGCAAAUGUGUGUGAGGUAGAAAUGUGUUCUUAUGAGGAUAUGGCUGUGUUGGGCACCCUCUCACGAAGUGGGAGGGGGGUAUUUAUAGUGGAGAAGGGAAAGUGACCGUUGGGGUCAGUUAAGUCUGACUGUGGUCGGGCAUCCGGCAGUUCUCGGAUGUCCGGAAUCCCACACGGGGUCGGACGUCCGACAGGGGUCGGUCGUCC
rnacentral:lncRNA from 1 species